rnacentral:lncRNA from 1 species
CCCUGAUCUGAUCUGACCGAGGACCAAACCCUAGCUACAUUGGCCAGAUCGAUUAGCCGAGCGCGAGACAGGGACUGGACCCCGGCGAUUGGAAUAAUACCUGGGAGAACUUGGUCUGGAGCUGGUGGUUGACGUCCUCGAAGGUGCGGCGGAGGUUGGCGAACUCCUUCCGGGCCUCCUCGGAGACGAGCAUCUUCGCCAUGCCGUCCCAGUCGAUCGCCUUCCCGGCCUUGGCCGCAACGUCCGCCACCUUCUUCACCCCGCUCAUCUUCGGCUCUGGAUCUGCUAACCUUGCUAGACCUGUGUCUGUGUAAAUCUUGAUUGUUUCAGGAGUUGAGAUCGGUCCAGAGUUAUAUGUCCCUGUUAUCUCCUCCCAAGUCCCAAGUUUAUGCGGCGCUAGAAUGACGAGCGCUUUCCCCGCUCCAGGCAAUUUCAGCCGCUAGAUCUUCACUCUAAACGAUCUCAGCCAUUUGGUGCUGUGGAGCAGGCUUUCCGUUACCCUAAAGUUGCAUUUCUCCGGUGACUGUUAAUGCGGCCUGCUUGGUCUUGGCCCGUGACACAGGACUCUUCAUCAUUUCGAGUGAAGUGUUAAACUUGUAUAUAUAAAAAAUAUUCCGGAUGUAUACAAAAAUGUAUAGUGUGUAUAAAAAAAAGUAGACACCCAAAAAUACAUAUUUUUUUUAAAAGGUUAAUACCCCCCCCCCAAAUUUUAAACAAAUGUAUCAGAUGUAUAAGAAAAAUGUAUAAUGCGUAUGAAGAAAAGUAGACAUAAAAAUGUACUAUAUUAAAGUAGGCAUAAAAAAUAUACAAUAUGGAUCGACUAUUCGUCAUCUUGGAUGAGGAAUAAAAAUUCCUCACCUCACCUCUUCAUGCAUCACAUAGUCACCAUAAGAACCCAAAUGCAUGUAAGGUAAUAUUACGGUGUGUAGUUAAGGGCUUUUAAAAUUGACCGUGAGGGCUCUUAAAAUUGACCGUGAGAAACUAAUGUAUCAUGCAUGUCAGAUAAGAUUACGACAUACAUGUGUGAGGUGAGGUCAGAUUAUAACAUCACGGGUGAGAAUUUAAUGCAUGUGAGGUAAGAUUCCAACACGACGAUGAGGUAAGAUUACGACAUGUGUGAGGUAAAAUUACCACAUCCAAAAGAACCAUGUCUUUUGUUAGUUUUUAUUAGGAUAAAGAAUUACUUAUUCUUCAUCCUGGAUGACAAUAGACUUUUAUAUAUUUACGAUAAAUAGACUUAUAUGUGUAUGUGUGUGUUGAAAUAUUUUAAAUGUAUAUUAGAAAUAUACAAUGUGUGUGAAAACAAUAGACAUCAAAAAAAUUAUUCUAAAAAUAUAUUAAUCAUGUACUUAGAAAAUGUUAAACGUGCAUUACAACGUUCUUGACGUAUACGAAAAAUGUAUAAUGUGUAGCAAAAAUAUAGACAUGUGUUGACGAAAAAACAAAGAAAGAAACUAAAAAAAACUAAAUAGAAAAAGAAAACCGGAAAACGGUGAAAAAAAGAAAGCCCAAGGAAGAAACAAAAGAUAAUCGAGAAGAAAGAGAAAUAAACCAGAGAAAAACCAGCAGAAAAAAGAAACAACAAAAGAACAAAGAAAAUUGGGCCACGCCACUAAAAAAUGGAGAAGAAACCCAUAGAGAAAAAACUAGACCAAAAACUAUGAAAAAUGGGGGAGAAGGACUAACGAUGCUGCAGUAUUAGGCCCUAUCGCACCUUGCGUGACGCGAUGGGAGCAUGCAUAUCGUUGUAAGCGAGAUAUAACUCAUGUGGGUGUUAAAACCUUCUCCCCCAUCUCCAACGAGUCUAUCUCCAAUGUAACAACAAAAGAUAUGGGCAAACCCGCAGCGGUGCCAUCGCGGUCUACAUAUCCCAACCUCUAGCUGAUUUCCUUCAAAUAUGUGCAUGGGGGCAGCAGUGCUUGCGUCUGGUGCAAUCGAGCUAGAGGUGGGGACCAAGGAGUCGGAGAAGUGUAGCCGAAGAUGGAGCCCGCAGAUAGGGUGGGGUGCUGAGGUCCGACGAUAGGAGAUGAGGUGCGAAGUGGCUGCAGACGGAUCAAGGUAACGCGAUGUCAACAUUGCACGACUCUAACCGAAUUGGAGUGUCAGGGUGUGGCGUGCAACUAUCGGCAACACGGUUGCAUCCCUAUUUUGGUUACGCGCUUUUGUGAGCAUUGUGAUCACGGGAAGCAACCUUUUUGCAUGAUGGGCGGUUGUGCACACACGGCCAUUGCAUGUUGGCUCAACCAUCCCCUAUAUAUGGUGGGUGUGUGGGAAGGAAGCCACACCCCUUCCCACGGGGUUGCCCCCUCCUCGUCUCUCUCAUUUCCUCGUCCCGGUUUCACUUAUUAAAGCGUUGCUAGUGGUGCACCACCACCCCCCCCCCCCCCCCCCCGUGCUGGUCGUGAUCCGAUCACCUUCUCCCCUUCACUUGCUGGAUCAAGGAGGAGGAGAUUUCAUCGAGUUGCACGCGUACAUAACUCGUAGGUGCCAUCCAUUUGGUGCUAGAUCGAUUUGGAUCAUGAUUGGAUCCGGAAAGUACGACUACAUCAGUCGGGUUAUAUAUGAUUCUGCUAUUUGAUCUACAAGGGUACAUCGACACACUCUCCCUCUCGUUGUUAUGCAUUUCCUAGAUUAGGUCUUGGGUUUUUGUAAAAAAAAGUUGUUUUCCAUGCAACGUUCCCAACAACUCGGUCCCUUCCCAUGCCUCACGGUCCACGACAUUAGUGCUCCCGGACCGGUUGGUCAACGGGGUCAGCAAACGACAAUCAUCGCAAGAGGACUAAUGUGGAGAGGCUGACAGCUGGGACCCACAUCCCAAACGUAUCUACUUUUCCAAACAAUUUUACUCUUGUUUUGGACUCUAAUUUGCAUGAUUUGAAUGAAACUAACCUGGACUGACGUUGUUUUCAACAGAACUACCAUGAUGUUACUUUUGUGCAUAAAUAGAGGUUCUCGGAUUAAGCUGACAAUUUACGAAGAAUAUUUGUAGAAUAUAUAAAAAAUAUAGGCAAAGAGAACUAUCGGAGGGGGGCCACCACAAGCGACGAGCUCACGUGGCGCGCCCACCCCCCUAGGGCGCGCCAUGCAGGCGCGUGGGUCCCACGGGCCUCUGUUUUCCCUAACUCGACUCGAUAAGUACCGUCUCACGGAGAAAAUAAUCAGAGAUAAACUUUCAUCAUGUUUUACGAGAUAGAGCCGCCCCUAGCUCCUAUUCUCAUUGACAGGGUUGAUCUGGAGUCCGUUUGGAGACCCGGAGAGGGGGAUUCGCCGUCGUUGUCGUCAUCAACCCUUCUCCAUCAAUAGUUCCAUGAGGCUCACCAUUGAGAGUGAGUAGUUCCUUUGUAGGCUUGCUGGACAGUGAUGGAGUUGGAUGAGGUUUGUCAUGUAAUUGAGUCAAUUUGUUAGGCCUUGAUCCCAAUUAUCCAUUAUGUUUUGAGAUUGAUGUUGCUAUGACUUUGCUAUGCUUAAUGCUUGUCACUAGGGGCCAAGCGCCAUGAUUUCAGAUCUAAAACUAUUAUGUUUCAAUGAAUAUGAGAGUGUUCUAGAUCCUAUCUUGCAAGUUAUAUGCUCCUAUUAUGUAUUAUGAUCAGUAGACCCUAGAGUGGCGAUAGUUGGGAUCCUCUACGAUGAUGACCGUAGUAUGAGGAGUUCAUGUAUUCAUUAUGUGUUAAUGCUUUGUCUCGACACUCUAUUAAAAGGAGGCCUUGAUAUCUCUUAGUUACCCUUUGGACCCCGCUGCCACGGGGGGUAGGACAAAAAUGACAUGCAAGUUCUUAUUAUAAGCAUGCAUGACUACAUACAGAAUUCAUGCGUACAUUACAUUGAUGAAUUCAAGUUAUUGUGUAUCUGUUAGAGCAUAUUUCUACAUGUGUGGUUUUGAUAAUUGAUGAAAAUCCCUAUGGACUAAUUAUUGCUUUGAAUUUUACUUCAAGGAUUUUUCAAUAGGCAUUUCUUGAUGUUCAUUUGUUGGUUUCAAGGAGUUUAUGUGAUAACCAAGGUGGUAUUCAAGGAUUUAUCCAAAGAUUGGUCAUUUAAGAUUUGAACUUAUUGCAAGCAUGUCUUGAAGAAGAAGAUUGUGCAUUGUGUGUCGUGGUUACCUUCAAUACAUCAUCUUUAUGAAGAGAGAAGAUAAGAUACAAGGUUGAUCAAGCCUAAGGCAAAGAGUGAUUCAAGUUGAUCAACACAUAAAGCAUGGAAGGUGUACCAAGCGGGAUCAAGUGAUCUCAUGGUAUGGUAAGUAUUGUCCAUUACGCUUUGUAUACUUGUUGGGGAACGUUGCAUGGGAAACAAAAAAAAUCCUAUGCACGCCCAAGAUCUAUCUAUGGAGAUGUAUAGUUACGUGAGGGUGAGUGCAUCUACGUACCCUUGUAGAUUGCUAAACAGAAGCGUUAAGAGACGUGGUUUAUGUAGUCAAGCGUCUUCGUGAUCCAAUCACGAUUCGUCCCAAUCUAGCACCGAACGGACGGCACCUCCGUGUUCAGCACACGUACAACUCGAUGACGUCUCUGCUACCUCUAUCCAUCGAGCGUGGGUGUAGUAGUACCUGAGUUCUCCAGCCCCGGUGAUGGUGGUGGUGGUGCGAUCUCGGCAGGGUUUCGCCAAGGGCAGUCGCGACGCGAUGGAGGAGAAGAACUACUAGAGAGAGGGAGGGAGGGCAACGCCAAGAACUUGUAUGUUGGAUGCCUCCCUCUCCUCUCAUAUAUAUAGGAGGAGGUUGGAGAUGUGGCCGCCAUAGGGUUUCCCUUAGUGUUAGGGGUGGCGACCAAGGGGCUCCCUUGGCCCCCAAGGAGAGGGGGUGGCGGCUACCCUUGGGUCAGGCCAUGCCCUUGGCCUCAUGGACCUUUGGUAGGAGGGGCGGCCAGCCCACCAGGGGCUAGUGCACCACCUCUAUCAUCCCAUGGGGCCAUUCGGGGCAGGUGGACCCUCCCGGUGGACCCCCGAACAAUUCCGGUAACUCCAUCACAAAACUGUUAAGUCCCAGAACUUUUCGGGAACUUGAAUACCAACUUCCCAUAUAUCAAUAUUUACUUGCGUACCAUUCCAAAGCUCCUCCUUAUGUCUGGGAUCUCAGUCGGGACUCCGAACAACAUUCGGUUACCAACAAAUGCAACUCAACAAUACUAUCUCAUCAUCGAACGUUAAGCAUGUGGAUCCUGCAGGUUGGAGAACUAUGCCGACAUGACCGAGACACCUCUAUGGUCAAUAACCAAUAGUGGGACCUAGAUGCCCAUACUGGUUCCUACAUAUUCAGUGAAUAUCUUUAUUGGUCGAACCAUGAUGCCAAGGAUUCAAUCAAUCUCGUAUGCAGUUCAGUUUGUCCAACGAUAUGUUACUUGCCCAAGAUUCGAUCGUCGGUAUCUCCAUACCUACUUCAAUCUUGUUAAUGGGAAGUCUCUUUACUCGUUCCGUAAUACAAGAUCCCGUGACUAACUCCUUAGGCACAUUGCUUGCAAGCUUCUUGUGAUACUGUAUUAUUGAGUGGGCCCAGAGUUACCUAUUUGUCAUACAGAGUGACAAAUCCCAGCCUCAAUCCAUGCCAACUCAACAGAUAACCUCAGAGAUACCAAUAGAGCAUUUUUGUAAUCACCCAGUUAUGUUGUGAAGUUUGAUACACACAAGGAAUUCAUCUGGUGUCAGGGAGUUGCAUGAUAUCAUGGUCUUAGGAACACAUACUUGCCAUGCAUAAAUCAACAACAAUAUACUUAAUGAUAUGAUCACAUGCUAUGCUUACGGUUGGGUCUUGUCAAUCAUAUCAUUCUGCUAAUGAUGUGAUCUCGCUAUCAAAUGACAAAUCAUGUCUAUGGCUAGGAAACCUUAACCAUAUUUGAUCAACGAGCUACUCUAGUAGAGGCUUACUAGGGGCGUGGUGUUGUCUAUGUAUCCACACAUGCAUCUGAGUUUCCAAUCAAUACAAUUAUAGCGUGGAUAAUAAACUAAUAUCAUGAACAAGGAAAUAUGUUAAUAACCACUUUAUUAUUGCAUCUAGGGCAUAUUUCCAAUAGUCUCUCACUUGCACUAGAGUCAAUAUUCUAGUAUUACAAGGUAAUGAAUCUAACACCCAUAGAGUUCUGGUGUUGAUCAUGUUUUGCUCGUGCGAGAGGUUUACUCAAUGGGUGUGCACCAUUCAGAUAGGUAUGUGAUACAUCUCCAACGUAUCUAUAAUUUUUGAUUGUUCCAUGCUAUUAUACUAUCAACUUGGGAUGUCUUAUAUGCAUUUAUAUGCCAUUUUAUAUCAUUUUUGGGACUAACUUAUUAACUCAGUGCCCACUGCCAGUUUCUGUUUUUCUGUGUUUUUGACCUUUUUUAGAAAAGAAUAUUAAACGGAGUCCAAACGGAAUAAAACCUGCGGGGUGAUUUUUUUUUCCAUAACAGAAGAUACGCAGGGGACUUGAGAACCAAGGCAGGAGGUCUCGGGGGAGGUCACGAGCCCCCUAGGCAUGCCCUAGGAGGGGGCCACGCCCAGCGGGCUCGCCCCCCCCCCCCCCCCGUGGCUCCUCUGCCCUACCUCUUUUGCCUAUAAAUUCUCUAAAAUCCUAAAACCAAAGAAGAGAGCCACCAAAAUACUUUUCCGCCGCCGCAAGCUUCUGUCUCCGCGAGAUCCCAUCUGGGGACCGUUCUGGUGCCCUGCUGGAGGGGGAUUCGUACAUGGAGGGCUUCUUCAGCAACACCAUUGCCUCUCCGAUGAUGCGUGAGUAGUUCACCACAGACCUUCGGGUCCAUAGCUAGUAGCUAGAUGGCUUCUUCUCUCUCUUGGAUCUUCAAUACAAAGUUCUCCAUGAUCUUCAUGGAGAUCUAUCUGAUGUAACUUUCUUUUGCGGUGUGUUUGUCGAGAUCCGAUGAAUUGUGGAUUUAUGAUCAGAUUAUCUAUGAAUAUUAUUUGAGUCUCCUCUGAUUUCUUAUAUGCAUGAUUUCGUAUCCUUGUAAUUCUCUUCGAGUUAUGGGUUUCGUUUGGCCAACUUGAUCUGUAAUUCUUGCAAUGGGAGAAGUGCUUGGUUUUGGGUUCAUACCGUGCGGUGUCCUCACCUAGUGACGGAAGGGGUAGCGAGGCACGCGUCGUGUUGCUGCCAUCAAGGGUAAAAAGAUGGGGUUUAUAUCAUAUUGCAUGAAUUUAUCCCUCUACAUCAUGUCAUCUUGCUUAAGGCGUUACUCUGUUUGUUAUGAACUUGAUACACUAGAUGCAUGCUGGAUAGCGGUCGAUGUGUGGAGUAAUAGUAGUAGAUGCAGAAAGUAUCGGUCUACUUGUCUCUGACGUGAUGCCUAUAUGUAUGAUCAUUGCCUUAGAUAUCGUCAUGACUUUGCACGAUUCUAUCAAUUGCUCGACAGUAAUUCGUUCACCCACCGUAAUAGUUGCUAUCAUGAGAGAAGCCUCUAGUGAACACUAUGACUCCCGAGUCUAUUUUACACAUUAUAUAUUCAGAUCUACAUACAAAAAUACCAAAAAUACCUUACUGCACUUUUAUUUUUACCUUUCAUCACUAUCAGAUCUCACCUUGCAAGUAAUCGUGAAGGGAUUGACAACCCCUUUAUCGCAUUGGGUGCAAGUUUAUUUGUUUUUGCGCAGGUUCAUUGGUGCCUCAUCUUGAUACUCCUACUGGAUUGAUACCUUAGUUCUCAAACUGAGGGAAAUACUUAUCUCUAAUUUGCUGUAUCACCCUUUCCUCUUCAAGGAAAAAACCAACGCAAGCUCAAUAAGUAGCAAGAAGAAUUUCUGGCACCGUUGCCGGGGAAUAUUCAAGUGAAGCAUAUCUACCAAGUACCUAUCGCAAACUCAUCUCUUGCAUUUACAUUAUUUGCCUUUUGCCUCUCGUUUUCCUCUCCCCCACUUCUAAAACGAUUUUUCGAAAAUACCAAAAAGAUUUUCCUUUUUAUUCGCUCUUCUUCUGUUCACCUUUUUGUUGGUAUGUUUGCUUGUGUUGCCAUGUGCCUUCUAUUUGCUUGCAUCUUCGCUUGCUAAAAUUCUAUUGAUAUGGAUCCUCAUCCACUUGCUAAUCUUUUCAAAAGACCAAAUUAUGAUGAACAAUUUGUAGUGAGUUGAGUGCUCUUGACUAUCUCUAUGGAGUUUUGUUUGAAAAUCAUGAAUCUGAAAAUUUUGAUGAAGUGUUGAAAGAAGAAAAUUAUAAAGUGGUUCAUGAUAUCUGCUUGAAUGGAAAACAUGAUUGCCAUGUUGUUAGUAUGAAUUUUCUGAAUAUCUAUGAUGCUAAUGAUAUGCAAAACCACAAGCUUGGGGAUGCUAUGCUUGAUGAAGAUGAUAUUUUUUGUUUCCCAAGUUUUGGUGAUGACCCUUAUGCUAUAAUUGAUCAUGAAAAGAAUGCUUUGUGUGAUAGUUAUAUUGUAAGAUUCCUUCAUGAUGUUACUGAAAAUUACUAUGAGAGAGGAACAUAUGCUUUUACAUAUUGCAAUAAUAUCAAGCUUCCUCUCUAUGUGUUCAAUGUUUUGAAGUUAUGCUUGUUUUGCCUUCCUAUGCUAGUUAAUUCUUGUUUCCAUAAAUUGUUUGCUCACAAAAUCCCUAUGCAUAGGAAGUGGGUUAGACUUAAACGUGUUUUUUGCCAUUCAUGAUGCUCUUUUGCAUAUCUCAACUACUACUUUUUAUGUGAGCAUGAUUGAAAUCUUUAAGCCUAACUAGGGGCGUUAAACGAUAGCGUUUGUUGGGAGGCAACCCAAUGAAUAAAUUUAUUUUUGCUUUUUACAUUCUGUUUUGUUGAGUCCACACCAUCAUAAUCCUGUUAUGAUUGUGUUUUUUAUGUUUUAAUUAGUGUUUGUGCCAAGUAGAACCUUUAUGAUUAGUUUUGGUGUUAGCUGUUUAAUCAUGCUGCAAAAACAUAGAAACUUUAUGCUCACAAAAUUAUUUUUAAUUCCUAUCCAGAAAGAGAUUUUGAGUUUAUUCCUUUUUAUGCUGAUUUAUAUGCAAAUUUCCCUAAUUUUCAUAAUUUUUCAGAAAUUUUGGGAUAGCAGAGUUAUACGAAAUAUACAUAUUGCUACAGACUAUUCUGUUUUUGACAGAUUCUGUUUUUGUUGUGUUGAUUACUUAUUUUGAUGAAACUAUGGUUAGUAUCGGAGGGUACGAGCCAUGGAGAAGUAAGAAUACAGUAAUAGAACAUCAAUCUAAAUGGAAAUCAAGUUUGCGACACUACCUAAAAAGUUGGUGGUUUGUUUUCUUAUGCUAAUGACAUCACGAGUUUCUGUUUUAGUUUUGUCUUGUGAAGUUUUCAAGUUUUGGGUGAUUUUCUUAUGGACAAUGGAAUAAAGAGUGGAAAUAGCCUAAGCUUGGGGAUUCCCAAGUCAUCCCAAGCCAAAUUCAAGGACACCAAAAAGCCUAAGCUUGGGGAUGCCCCGGGAAGGCAUCCCCUCUUUCGUCUUCAAUCCAUCGGUAACGUUACUUGGAGCUAUAUUUUUAUUUACCACAUGAUAUGUGUUUUCUUGAAGCGUCGUGUAUUAUAGGAUUCUUUGCUUUUUGUUUUAUCACAAUCAUCUUUGCUGCACACCUUUUUGAGAGGGACAUGGACUCAUCGUGAAUUUGUUAGAAUACUCAAUGAGCUUCACUUAUAUCUUUUGAGCUAGGCAAUUCAGCUCCCAUGAGCUUCACUUAUAUCUUUUGAGCUAGAUAAUUUUGCUCUAGUGCUUCACAUAAAUCUUUUUAGAGCACGGGGGUGUCAUAUUUUGUAGAAAUUAAAACUCUCGAUCUUCACUUAUAUCAUUUUGAGAGUGCUCUCUCUAAGUAACUUGGUAAUUAGCGUGUGCUAUGAAAUUAGUCCUAAAUAUGAUAGGCAUCCGAAGAGGAUAUAAUAAAAACUUUCAUAUUCAAGUGCAUUGAUUAGUAAGAGAAGUUUAAUUCCUCACAAUUAGUUUUGACAUAUGGAUAUGGUAAUAUUAGAGUUAUGUUAGUAGGUGUUGUGAAUCUAGAAAUACUUGUGUUGAGGUUAGUGAUUCCCGUAGCAUGCACGUAUGGUGAACCGCUAUGUUAGGAAGUCAGAGCAUAAUUGAUUUAUUGAUUGUCAUCCUUUGUGUGGCGGUCGGGAUCAUGCGAUGGUUAACACCUACCAACCCUUCCCCUAGGAGUAUGCGCUUAGCACUUUGUUUUGAUUACUAAUAAAACUUUCGCAAUAAGUAUAUGAGUUCUUGAUGACUAAUGUGAGUCCAUGGUAUAGAUGCACUCUCACCUUCCACCAUUGCUAGCCUCUCUAGUGCCGCACAACUUUCGCCGGUGCACAAACCCACCAUAUACCUUCCUCAAAACAGCCACCAUACCUACCUAUUAUGGCAUUUUCAUAGCCAUUCCGAGAUAUAUUGCCAUGCAACUUCCACCGUUCUGUCUCAUGACAUGUGCCGUCAUUUUCAUUUUUCCAUUGCAUGAUCAUAAGAUAGCUAGCGAGAUGUUUCAACGUCAUACGCUAAGCUAGAUCAUCGCAUAUCCCGGUACACUGUCGGAGGCAUUUCAUAUAUAGUCAUUAUUGUUCUAAGUAUUGAGUUGUAAGUAAAUAAAAGUGUGAUGAUCAUCAUUAUUAGAGCAUUGUCCCAUGUGAGAAAAAAAAGAGGCCAAAGAUGCCCACCAAAAAAAAUGAAAUGAAAAAAAAGAGGCCAAAGAGCCCAAACAAAAAAAAUGAUGAGAGAAAAAUAGAGAAGGGACAAUGCUACUAUCUUUUUCCACACUUGUGCUUCAAAAUAGCACCAUGUUCUUCAUGAUAGAGAGUCUCUUGUUUUGUCACUUUCAUAUACUAGUGGGAAUUUUCAUUAUAUAACUUGGCUUGUAUAUUCCAAUGAUGGGCUUCCUCAAAAUUGCCCUAGGUCUUCGUGAGCAAGCAAGUUGGGUGCACACCCACUAGUUUUCUUUUUGGGCUUUCAUACACUUAUAGCUCUAGUGCAUCCGUUGCAUGGCAAUCCCUACUCAUUCACAUUGAUAUCUAUUGAUGGGCAUCUCCAUAGCCCAUUGAUACGCCGAGUCGAUGUGACCAUCUCCUCCUUUUUGCCUCACAACCUCCACCACACUCUAUUCCACCUAUAGUGAUAUAUCCAUGGCUCACGCUCAUGUAUUGCGUGAGAGUUGAAAAAGUUUGAGAAAGUAAGAGUGCGAAAACAAUUACUUGGCCAAUACCGGGGUUGUGCAUGAUUUAAAUUUUUUGUGUGGGGAUGAUGGAGCAUAGCCAGACUAUAUGAUUUUGUAGGGAUAACUUUCUUUGGCCUUGUUAUUCCAAAAGUUCAUGAUUACUUUGCUAGUAUGCUUGAAGUAUUAUUGUUUUCAUGUCAAUAUUAAACUAUUGUUUUGAAUCUUACGGACCUAAACGUUCAUGCCACAAGAAAGAAGUUACAAAGAACAAAUAUGUUAGGUAGCAUUCCACAUCAAAAAUUUGGUCUUUAUCACUUCCCUACUCGAGAACAAGCAGGAGUUAAGCUUGGGGAUGCUUGAUACGUCUCCAACAUAUCUAUAAUUUUUGAUUGUUCCAUGCUAUUAUACUAUCAACUUGGGAUGUCUUAUAUGCAUUUAUAUGCCAUUUUAUAUGAUUUUUGGGACUAACUUAUUAACUCAGUGCCCAGUGUCAGUUUCUGUUUUUUCCGUGUUUUUGACCUUUUUCAGAAAAGAAUAUUAAACGGAGUCCAAACGGAAUAAAACAUGCGGGAUGAUUUUUUCCAUAAGAGAAGAUACGCACGGGACUUGAGAACCAAGGUAGGAGGUCUCGGGUGAGGUCACGAGCCAACUAGGCGCGCCCUAGGAGGGGGACGCGCCUAGCAGGCUCGUGGGCCUCCCGUGGCUCCUCUGCCCUACCUCUUUCGCCUAUAAAUUCUCUAAAAUCCCGAAACCAAAGAAGAGAGCCACCAAAAUACUUAUCCGCCGCCGCAAGCUUCUGUCUCCGCGAGAUCCCAUCUGGGGACCGUUCUGGUGCCGUGCCGGAGGGCGAUGCAGACACGGAGGGCUUUUUCAUCAACACCAUUGCCUCUCCGAUGAUGCAUGAGUAGUUCACCACAGACCUUUGGGUCCAUAGCUAGUAGCUAGAUGGCUUCUUCUCUCUCUUGGAUCUUCAAUACAAAGUUCUCCAUGAUCUUCAUGGAUAUCUAUCCGAUGUAACUUUCUUUUGUGGUGUGUUUGUCGAAAUCCGAUGAAUUGUGGAUUUAUGAUCAGAUUAUCUAUGAAUAUUAUUUGAAUCUCCUCUGAUUUAUUAUAUGCAUGGUUUUGUAUCCUUGUAAUUCUCUUCGAGUUAUGGGUUUCGUUUGGCGAACUUGAUCUGUAAUUCUUGCAACGGGAGAAGUGCUUGGUUUUGGGUUCAUACCGUGCGGUGUCCUCACCUAGUGACAGAAGGGGUAGCGAGGCACGCAUCAUGUUGUUGCCAUCAAGGGUAAAAAGAUGGGGUUUAUAUCAUAUUGCAUGAAUUUAUCCCUCUACAUCAUGUCAUCUUGCUUAAGGCGUUAAUCUGUUUGUCAUGAACUUAAUACACUAGAUGCAUGCUCGAUAGUGGUCGAUGUGUGGAGUAAUAGUAGUAGAUGCCAAAAGUAUCGGUCUACUUGUCUUGGACGUGAUGCCUAUAUGUAUGAUCAUUGCCUUAGAUAUCGUCAUGACUUUGUGUGAUUCUAUCAAUUGCUCAAUAGUAAUUCGUUCACCCACCGUAAUACUUGCUAUCAUGAGAGAAGCCUCUAGUGAACACUAUGAUCCCCGGGUCUAUUUUACACAUUAUAUGUUCAGAUCUACAUAAAAAAAUACCAAAAAUACCUUGCUGCACUUUUAUUUUUACCUCUCUUCACUAUCAGAUCUCACCAUGCAAGUAAUCGUGAAGGGAUUGACAACCCCUUUAUCGCGUUGGGUGCAAGUUUGUUUGUUUUUGCGGAGGUUCAUUGGUGCCUCAUCUUGAUACUCCUACUGGAUUGAUACCUUGGUUCUCAAACUGAGGGAAAUACUUAUCUCUACUUUGCUGCAUCACCCUUUACUCUUCAAGGGAAAAACCAACGCAAGCUCAAGAAGUUGCUGUAUGUACUUUGCAAAUGUUUAUGUCCUCCUCCUUGAUAUAAUCGUAGAUGGAAUUGAAGCGCUGCUUUAUGUAUCUGGUCAUUUUGUGAAACCUGGGUUCCUUGGCCACAACAAUGGCAUCGGUGUUGUCACAAAAGAGGGUCACUGGAUUUAGUGCACUGGGCAGAACUACAAGAUCCGUCAUGAACUGCUUCAUCGAUACACCUUCCUUUGCUGCUUCCGAAGGAGUUAUGUAUUGUGCUUCACAUGUAGAAUCUGCUACCACGCUUUGCUUGGAACUGCACUAGGUUACCGCUCCAUCAUUCAGAAUAAACACUUAUCUGGUCUGAGACUUAGAGUCAUCCGGACCUCUGUCAAAGCUAACAUCAAUGUAACCCUUUAGGACGAGCCCUUGAUCACCUCCAUAAACGAGAAACAUUUACUUAGUCCUCUUCAGGUACUUAAGGAUAUUCUUGACCGAUGUCCAAUGUUCCACUCUUGCAUCUCUUUGAAACCUUCCAGCCAUACUUAUGGCAAGGCUGAUAUCUGGUAUUGUGCACAACAUUGCAUAUAUGAUAGAGCCUAUCGCCGAGGGGGGUGACACUCAUCUUCUCACUAUCCUCUAUAGUUGCUCGGCAUUGAGUCUUACUCAACUUUAGACCUUGCAGGAUAGGCAAGAACCCCUUCUUGGACUGAUCCAUUUUGAACUUCUUCAAAACCUUAUCAAGGUAUGUGCUUUUUGAAAGUCCUAUUAAGCGUUUAGAUAUAUCUCUAUAGAUCUUGAUGCCUAAUAUGUAAGCAACUUCUUUGAGGUCUUUCAUUGAAACACUCUUGUUCAAAUAUAUCUUCAUGCUUUCCAAAAGGUUUAUAUUGUUUCCAAUCAGCAAUAUGUCAUCCACAUAUAAUAUUAGAAAUAAUAUAGAGCUCCCACUCACUUUAUUGUAAAUACGAGCUUCUCCAUAAACUUUUAUAAACCCGAAAGCUUUGGUCACCUCAUCAAAGCGAAGAUUCCAACUCCGAUAUGCUUGCACUAGUCCAUAAAUGGAUCGCUCGAGCUUGCAUAGUUUGUCAACAUUUUCAGGAUCGACAAAACCUUCCAGUUGUAUCAUAUACAACUCUUCCUUAAGGAAACCAUUAAGGAAUGUUGUUUUGACAUCCAUAUGCCAGAUUUCAUAAUAAAAAAUGCAGCUAUUGCUAACAUGAUUCUGAUGGACUUAAGCAUCGCUACGGAUGAGAAAGUCUCAUCGUAGUCAACUCCUUGAACUUGUGAAAACCCAUUUGCAACAAGUCGAGAUUUAUAGAUGGUGACAUUACCGUUUGCGUCCGUCUUCCUCUUAAAGGUCCAUUUGUUCUGGAUAGCCUUACGUCCAUCAGGUAAUAGUUCCAAAGUCCAUGCUUUGUUUUAAUACAUGGAUCCUAUCUCGGAUUUCAUGGCCUCUAGACAUUUUUUGGAAUCUGGGCCCACCAUCACUUCUCCAUAUCUUGUAGGUUCAUUGCUGUCCAACAACAUGACCUCCAAGACAGGAUUACUGUACCACUCAGGAGCAGUAUGUGUCCUUAUAGACCUACAAGGUUUGGUAGUAACUUCAUGUGAAGAUUCAUGAUCAUCAUCACUAGCUCCCUCUUCAAUCGGCGUAGGCGUCACACAAACACCUUCCUAUGCAGUGCUACUCUCCUUUUGAAGUGACGGUUCAUUAACCUCAUCAAGUUCUACCUUCCUCCCACUCAAUUAUUUUGAGAGAAACUCUUUCUCCAGAAAGGAUCCAUUCUUGCAACAAAGACUUUGCCUUCGGAUCUGAGAUAGAAGGUAUACCCUACUAUUUCCUUCGCGUACCCUAUGAAUACGCACUUCUUCGCUUUGGGUUUGAGCUUGUGAGGCUAAAGCCUUUUGACAUAAGGGUCACCACCCCCAAACUUUAAGAAACGACAACUUAGGUUUCUUGCCGAACCAUAAUUCAUACGGUGUCAUUGAAAGCACAUAUGCUCCCUUGGUGGUUUUGAUAAUUCAUGACAAUAUACAUUGUCUCUUGGACUAACACUUCUACCUAGUAUAUUUCAGGAUUAGUCCAUAGAGAGCAAUCACUAAAGGCUUGUGAGGAGAAGCUCCUUGAUGAAGGAAAGGGAAUAAGAUUUGCUCAAGCUUCAAGCUAGAAGACUCUUCAUUUUAUAUUUGUGAGGGAUCACUUUUGAGUGCAUAGGAAAGCUAAUACUAUUAAAAGGGGAUGAGGUAUUAAGAUGAAUUGGUUGCUCAAGUGCUCAAAGAUAGCCAUAAAAAAUGCUCAGCCAUUCUCCCACAUAACAUUUCUGUCCAAAGCCAACUAUCCAAAAUCGAUGCCACCAAGUUUUUAGAUUCGGCCUUACCGAUUUCCAACCCAUACAGAACCCUAGACAAACCUACCAUUUUGGUACAACCAAUUCUGCAUCGGUGUCACAACCCUAGAAUAUUGCUUGUAAAUAGUUGCACUGGCAUCCAUGACAUCAUGUUAAUUGUCCUUGAAUUUGAAAUGGGGAUGAUCAAACCCUAGCAUCAAUUUAGUUCAAUUAGGUUCAACCUUAUAUAAUUUUCAAUUAAUAUAAAAUGGCUUUAAAAAUGUCUAUUAUUUUUGGAAAAUGUUGGGAACAUCAACCAAAGGCGAUGCACAUUUUUCUUAGUCACGUGGGUUUUUGAAUUAACACAUAUUAUAUUUGAUUUGGGACCUUUAAAAUGCUAUAAAUAAUUUGAUGGCUCCAAUAAUUUUGAAACUUGCUGAGGGCCAUUGGAAUAAUCCUUUUAGUGCCCAUGAAAAGUUCCAGAAUUUUUUAUAAAUGAUUUGGUUAGUAAACAAAUUUUAAAACAAUUGCAGAAAAAUUGAAAAUACAAACAAAUAGAAAGAGAGACCCCCCCCCCCCCCCACGUGCAGUCCAGCCACAAGUUGGGCCAACCCACCAUGGCGUCGUGGUCAUCUUCAACCUAUGCCUACUGGUACACGUGAAGUCACGCACGCGCGCGUGCUCGGGCCGCCACGCCUUGCUUUGCGCUGGAGACGCCUCUCUCCCUUAUCCCCACGAUGCUGGACCGCCUCGACCCCCUCUAUUCAUUCCCCCUAUCUCUGCUCUUCCCCCUCGCCGCUAUCGAGCUCUUCUUAUCCGCCACAGCCGCCGGAAGCCUUUGUCGAUCCGCCACCGAGAGCCUCCUCCGAGCCAGUUGAGACCGCCCCGACCCCGCCGUGAGCCUCUGAUCCGUUUUCCCUAUCCUCCUCGCUGUGCUCACCCCCUAGAUGCCAUAUCCGCUAUGGCCGAGAUCCAGCCACCGUGUUGUUCAUGGCCGCCACCUACUCCGACCACCUCCGUUGCUGCCGCUAGCUCUAAUGGAUGCGUGCGAGAGCCAGCUCCCCGUAGCCGCAAACCGCAGUCGAAAUGGAGCUCUAUUGGCAAAUCCCGAGCAACGCCGGCAAGUCAUCGUCGUGGUUUUGGGUCACCGCGGCUAAAUGUCGGUGGUGAUGAUGUGGUAUUUUAGUUUAGGGCUAAUGACGUAUUUAGUAAACCACUAUCUAAUUAGCACACUAACCAGUCACUGACAACAGAACCUAGAGCCUGCUAAUUAUUCUCUUAGUUUGAACCAGACUAGAUUAAAUAACUGUUUCACUGGCUGAUGGGCCCCACAGGUCAGCUUUAACCAGGCCACGUCAGGGUUGACUGGCCCCACCAGUCAGCCUCUCGAGAUGCCCUUGUGUCAUUGACAUGUGGGUCCAGCCAGUCAGCUUUGACCUGGACCGUCUGACAUCAAGCUGACCUCAUGCUGAUGCAUUUAAUAAUUCCUGGAAUUAAAAUAAUUUAGGAAAUUCCACCCAUGAUUAAAACUUCUAAAAAUCAUAGAAAAUAAAUUAUAUAUGAAAAAUUAUCAGAAAAAUCCAAAGAAUUUGUUUAUGGCAUUUUCAUGCAUGUUAGGACAACUUUUGUCCUCUGUUUUGGACAGAUCAAAUAAAUGCCAUUUAAAUAACCACAUAUGAAGUUUGAAUUUGAACCUUUGGUUCAAACCAACUUCAUUUAAUGUUGUUGCUAGUUUCAUUAGCUCAACCAACAUCAUAUUGCCAUGUCAUGAUCAUGCAUCAUAAUGUUGCAUUUCCGUGAAUUAAAUGUUGUUCCUUUCCUGUUGCCGGUGUUUGUUCACCCUCGGUAGAUGAUGGUUCCGCUGUUGUGAUUGUUGACACCAAUGAAGACUCAUUGUUAUCUUCAGAACUGUCAAGCAAGAAAACAUCCUUGAGUAUUCCUAUACAAUCCCACUCUCUCGUUCGUGCUCUCUUUUACUGCAUUAGGACAACAACGCUUCAAGUGCUACAUGUUUUGGUAGUUGAACCCAUUCCUCUACAUAGCCUGUUUUUGCCACAAUAAAUAGUUGGAACCACUUAGCAUGAGUAUCAACUGCUUGAGCCUUGUUGUGCUUACUCAUACAUGCUUGCUUACUGUGUCUACUAUGCUUGGAGUGUGACGGGUCUGAUCCAUCUGGGAGAUGAAUUGGAAUGGUUGUAAUCAUGUCCUACUGUGUGAAAGCUAAGUGUGUGAAUGUGAUUUGGUAAAGGUAGUGAUGAGAGGCCAUGUAGGAGUACAUGGUGGGUUGUCUCAUUGAAACUGCUCUUAGGACAUGAGAUCUUGUGUUUCUGUUCCAAGACAAGAUACUACCGCACAUUGGGUUCCAGUAACUCGACCCCUCUCGGCCUAUUAACUUCCAUGUUCUCAGUCCAGGAGUCGCAGUAGUUUGAAAUGUUGAUAGGUGUGGCACGUCCCGCGAAGUGGAUGAAUGACCCAGUCGAGACCGGCUUGGGGUCGUGCUCACAACGUUUGAGGCCAUAUUAGAAACCUCGACCGGACUUCCAUUAUGGGUUCCGACUCAGAUAGGCAACUGCCUUGGAUGUGAGUCAUUGUAAGUUAACGUCCGUGGCGGACUCCCCCGCUGUGCUUUCGCUUGAAGGUUGCCGAGGUGCAUGAUGUGCACAUGGCGAUAAGUGGCGGGAGCAUGUGUGAAGAAGUAUACCCCUGCAGGGUGAAUGAUCUGUCCGAAUAGCCGCAUCCUCGGAUAUGGACUACUUGGACACUUAUAUGGUUCAUAGACAACCUAAACGGAUACUCUAGAAUACGCAAGAUAAGUGUGAGUGCUAUGGAUGGCCUUCUCGUAGGGAGACGGGAGAGGAUCCAUAGUGGUGUAUUGAUUUGGUGAAUAUGUGGACUCUUGUGCGCUAUCCCACCUGAAAGAAAGAAUUCAUGGUCGUAGUAUAGGUUAGCCAAGAGUCAAAGAUGGCUUGCUACAAUAAACUCCACAAUCCCCUAUGUCAAAAAUGAUGCAUAUGUAGAUAUUUCUGAUGUAAGACUUGUUGAGUACCUUUCAACUCACGGUUGCUUAAUUUAUGUUUUGCGGAUUAGGCAUUAGUCUCACUAUUGGUCUACGCGAUGUGUUCGACGUUAACCGGAAUAGCUUGGGAAUCCCACACAGAGGUCUAACUCCUAUGGUAGGGCCGUUGUAUCUUUUCAGGCUCUUUGAGCCACUUUUAAUAGAUGUCUAUACCCAGACAUGUAACUUCCGCUUGAUGUUUGUAUGCUCUGAAUGAUGGAUCAUGUGACACCCCUGUUGUAUCAUUGUACCAUGUUGGCUCUUCGAAGCCUAUUAAAUAAAUGGUGUGGCGUAGAGUUAUGUUGUGAUGCCAUGUUGUAUCUACACAUAUCAUGCAUAUUGUGUGUGUGUGUUUGAAAUGCAUUGAUAUGUGUGGGAUUCGACACCUAAUUGUGUGCCUCUAAUAGUACUCCUUACGGGGAAAUGCCUCUUUGUGCUUCCACCGAGCCUUGGUAGCUUGCUACUGCUUCGGACACAUUGAUUGACCGGCAUGUAUCCUUGUUUGCUGUUGUGUCCGUCCCCUAGGGGAAAUGUCACACAGUGUAACAGAGCCCCUGUAGCUUGCUACGACUCGCCUACACACACUGUUGACCGACACCCGCUUUGAUGGGUUAUGUGUGCAUGUCCCUGUAUGGAUGUGCCACUUGGGUUUAUAACAAGUCAUGUCGACCCAGGUUCUCUAACCUAUGAUUGUCGGCGAUAUAGUCAUAUACAUGAGCCAAAAGGCGCAAACGGUCCCGACCAAGGUAAGGUGGCAACUGUGGUGAUUACUGUGCGUGAGGCCACAAAGUGAUAUGAUGUGUUACAAGCUGCAACUAUAUGGCUUAGGAUCGGGGUCCCGACAGCCGGUGCUACCGAGUUCAGGUGACCAACCUUCUGUUGCUUCGGGACACAAAAUCGGAAUUUCCGAGUUUGAGUAUCGGUGUCACGAGUUGGGUCCUCUGACGGUUAGCCACCUUUUUGGUUCUAUCGAUUUGUUUAUAUCGGUCUCACCGAGAUUCCAAAGUUGCUGCCUUUUAUGCAAGUCAAUACCACCGAGUUUAUGACUUCCGUGUCACCGAGUUGGUCACUUUAGGUGUAACGGUUGGAUUUUGGGUGCUGCCUAUAUAUACUCCUCCACCAACCUCUCAUUCUAAGAGGAAGCACUCAGAACACACACUUCAUAGCCAAAUCCAUUUUUUUGAGAGAGAGCCACCUACUCAUGUGUUGAGAUCAAGAUAUUCAAUCCAUUCAUUUGAAACUUGAUCUCUAGCCUCCCCAAGUUGCUUUCCACCAAAUCAAUCUCUCGUACCCAUGCCUAUUCUGUGAGAGAGUGAUUGAGUGUUGAGGAGACUAUCUUUAGAAGCACAAGAGCAAGGAGUUCAUCAUUCUACCACAUCUAUUACCUUUUGGAGGGUGGUGCCUCCUAGAUUGGUUAGGUGUCGCUUGGGAGACUCCUACUUCGUGUUGUGGUGUUGAACCAAGAUGUUUGUAAGGGCAAGGAGAUCGCCUACUUCGUGAAGAUUUACUGUGAGUGAGGGUAGUCCUUCAUGGACGGAAACCAUGGUGGAAUAGACAAGGCCACUUCUUCAUGGACCCCUUGUGGGUAAAUCCCUCCGUGGACUCUCGCAGCCGUUACCCUUCGUGGGUUGAAGUCUCCACUAACAUGGACGCACGAUAGGGACACCUAUCGGAACCAUGCCAAACGAAGUCGAACGUACAUACGACGAUCUUCAUGCAUGAAUCGCCCUAUCAACCUCUUUGCGUUUGAUCUCCUAAACUCUACUCCUUACUACAUGUGCAAAGUCUUUUACUUUUUGUAGCCAUAUAUGUUGACUAACAUGUGUAGGCUGCACUAGACUUGUUAGAAUCGCUAGAAUCUGCCAACCAUUAAUUUGGGAAAAUGCUAGGAUUUUAAUCUUGUCAAGUAGUCUAUUCACCCACCUCUAGACACCUCUUCUAUCAAUCCCUCAAUUGGUAUCAGAGCGAGGUCUCCAAAACCUUGGUUUAAUCACCAUUGGAAGAAGAUGAAUGUGACUAGUUCAAGAAUUUUUAGUUGUAGAGUGUCCAUUCUCAAUGGUGAGUAUUAUACACAAGGGAAAGAUGAAAUGCUUGAUAUAUUUGAUGAAUUCCAUUUGCACAAGAUGUUGAAUAUCCCUAUGCGCCUCCCAUUGAUCCCGUACAUCCUUCUCAUGAUGAUGAAAUUGAUAUGAUUGGUAAUCUUAACAAUGUUAAUGUAAUCAUUAGAGGACUACCAAGAAAUGUGCUUAAUCAAAUGCAGAACUUUGAGUGUGCUCAUACUUUGUGGAAAGACUUAGAGGAAAGGUAUCCAAAUUAUUCCUUGAAAAAUAUUGAUAUCAUUAUCCAAAAAUGCAUUGCCUUUCACAAAAUGAAGCAAAUUUGAGCUUCGUGAGCUCACGCGUGCUAAAGGAGAUGUCAUUUCUGUUAACAAUAUCAUUGUUGAAGCCAUUCACAUGCAUAAAUAUGAAUAUUGUCAUAGUCAAAUUUCUGAUGAAAUUCUUGUUUCUUAUGAUGAGGGAACUUCAUCCGAUGAUGACUAUGUGGAGCAUGGCUACUACGAUGAAGAUGAGGAGUUUCACAUUGAGUAUGAGAAGACCAUGAGGAACCUUAGUCUUAUGGCGAACCUUAGAGACUACGUGGCUGGAGGAAAGGAGUGGAUACUUGACAGUGGAUGCACCGAUCACAUGAACGGAGAUAAGGACAUGUUCCAUGAGCUCACACCAAACCGUGGACCUCAAAGGUAUGUGACCUUUGGAGAUAACUCCAAGGGUAAGGUACUUGGUCUUGGUAAGGUGGACGUAUCUCAUGAUAGUUCCAUUCAAAAUGUCAUGCUUGUUGAAUCCCUUAGCUACAAUCUUCUUUUCGUAUCUAGACUAGAAGACUUUGGUUUUGAUGUGCUAUUUACGAAAGUUGACUGCCGAGUGUUCCGUAGCGGUGAUCUAUACAUUGUCGAUUUCAUUAAAAAAUCCAAACCUCGUACAUGUCUUAUUGCAAAAUUUUCUAAGGGUUGGCUGUGGCAUAGAAGGUUAGGACAUGUUGGUAUGCGUAAUCUUGACAAACUUAUAAAAGGUGAUCAUAUUCUUGGUGUUAAAGAUGUUAUCUUCGACAAAGAUAGACUUUGUAGUGCUUGUCAAGCAGGAAAGCAAGUUGGUGGAAGUCAUCCCGUGAAGAACAUCAUGACUACAAGAAGACCACUCAAGCUGCUUCACAUGGAUAUCUUUGGGCCCAAUGCUUACAAGAGCCUCGGUGGAAAUUCUUAUGGUUUAGUUAUUGUUGAUGAUUUUUCUAGAUUUACGUGGGUAUUCUUUCUUGAUGAUAAGUCGCAGGUACAAUGGAUCUUCAAGAACUUCGCUCGAAAAGCUCAAAAUGAGUUUGAGGUGAAGAUCAAAAAGGUUCGGAGCGACAACGGAACGGAGUUCAAGAACACUAAUGUGGAUACUUUUCUUGACGAAGAAGGUAUCUCACAUGAGUUCUCAGCGACGUACACACCUCAAGAAAAUGGAGUUGUUGAGAGGAAGAAUAGGACUCUCGUAGAGAUGGCCUAAAUGAUGCUUGACGAAUACAAGACGUCAAUACACUUUCGGGCAGAAGCCGUGGAAAUAGCUUGCCAUGCCAUAGAGCGACUUUACCUACACAAGCUUCUUGGUAAAAACGGCAUACGAGCUACUCACCGGUAACAAACCCCAAGUUGGAUACUUUCAAGUAUUCGACUCUAAGUGCUGCAUUCUUGAUAAGCAUCAUUGCUCUAAAUUUGCUCCUAAAUCUUAUGAAGCCUUGGCAUAUCUUCCUCCAAGAGAGUUAAUGGGACUUGGUCUCGAUGUCAACUAAAGAAUUGACUGAGUCAGGUAUUCCCUUAUGAAGGGCUAAUGCAGUCGAUUUCUUCACAUCUUCGGUCAAUUGGACUUUUUUCUAGUCUCGCCUUACUAAAAGGUAUUCCCAUAUCGGGUGAAUGACCAGAUCGAGAUAAGUUGGCCUUCUCUGAAUCUUUCUGAAUCCUUAAUCUAUCAAUAGAAGGACGACGAUACUCGAAGACUUUCCACUUUCAGCCCUAAGAGGAAACAACUCUCAAACGUGAUAAAAGCCCUAUUUUCGGCACCUUCACGCUCCUUGAAAAAUAGGGUACAACCCUAUAAUCUAAGCUCGGACUCAGUCAAGAUCCGAACAACGACGGAGCACUCAACUACAUGUUUAAUAACUAGUUGUCUUUUUCUCUUUGGAUUUUAGCGAACAGGCGUUUACAUGAGAUUAGUUGAGUAGGCUUGCCUUAUCUGCUAUAACAUAGCUAGUUGUGGGGAGUUGGCGCCUACAUAACAUGUAGCUUGUUUACCAAGCCGACUUUGAAAUAUUAUGCGGAUUGGGUAUCCAACCAAUUAAUCCUCCAAACCAACUAAAUCGGGGAAGCUGAAGCAGAAAUGCAAUUCUCGGGUGAGGGAAGGGGGAAGCUUCUGGAAGGCUUCGCUCGCUCGCUCAGAAAGCUCUAAUGCUCGUUUACAAGUGGUGUGCAUAAGCCCUUAUUGAAGUAGGGUGAGAUCUUACUACACGAGUUCGUAAGUCAAGCACCCACCUGUCAUUUGGUGGGAGUUGUGGGGCCCAUAUGUCAUUGGAACAGUGAGACACACCUACACUACACGCACACACAAUCUGUACACAUGUUUAUAUUCAUUCAUACAUACAUAUACACAUGCAUACAUAUAUUUGCACAUACACACAUCUGCACAUAUACAUACAUAUUUAUAUACACAUGCAUACAUACAUAUAUACCCCUUUUUCUACAUCCACACACAUGGGGGGGGGUAUCCCAAUACAGUAAUCACAGGGGGGUUUAACCCCCCUGGUUACAGGAUGGCGCAGGGCCGGCCGAGGCAAGGCCANNNNNNNNNNNNNNNNNNNNNNNNNNNNNNNNNNNNNNNNNNNNNNNNNNNNNNNNNNNNNNNNNNNNNNNNNNNNNNNNNNNNNNNNNNNNNNNNNNNNNNNNNNNNNNNNNNNNNNNNNNNNNNNNNNNNNNNNNNNNNNNNNNNNNNNNNNNNNNNNNNNNNNNNNNNNNNNNNNNNNNNNNNNNNNNNNNNNNNNNNNNNNNNNNNNNNNNNNNNNNNNNNNNNNNNNNNNNNNNNNNNNNNNNNNNNNNNNNNNNNNNNNNNNNNNNNNNNNNNNNNNNNNNNNNNNNNNNNNNNNNNNNNNNNNNNNNNNNNNNNNNNNNNNNNNNNNNNNNNNNNNNNNNNNNNNNNNNNNNNNNNNNNNNNNNNNNNNNNNAGAAUCUUACGAUCCAAACUAGCCCCUCUCAUUCUACAAUUUUGGUCAUAAAAUCGAAGUUUCUACAAUCCUGAUAGUUAUGAUUCUACAAUUCACGAUCCUAGCAACGGAGCUCCGAUCCGAUUCAGAAUCGUGAUUCUGACAACUUUGGCGCUCGGUCCCUCGCGUGGUCAUGGCGCUGGUGGGUGAGGGAGUGGGGCGCUCGGGGUGUGGGUUAGGUUUAGGUGGGGGUUAAAUACCCCAGGGGUGGCGUGGGCUUGUGGCUAGUUAGGUUGGCUGGGGGCCGACCCAAUGGUUUUUUUAUUUAUUUCUUUUCAAUUUAUGCUUUAGUUUCUUUUUAAACUUUGAUUUAUAAAAUANUGUCUCGGCCACAAAAAGUUUUAACCCCAACUAAAACUAGUCUAGUAUUUCAUAAAAUAUAAAAGGCACUUAUUUAUUUGUUUUUCUGUUGUUUUAAAUAUUAUAGUGCAUUCAAACAGUUUAUAAAAAUGUGGUUUUUUCACCAAAAUUAAUCAUGAUUUAUUUGCUACAACGUGAACAUUUUAGUUUUGACAUUUGAAAACUUUUAUUGUUUGACUUUAUUUUAAAUUUGAAUUGGAAUCGGUUUUGAACUAACGCGAGAUUAACAACAGUAAUCAUGGUGACGUGGCAUCAUUAGCAUAGGAUUACUAUAGCCUAAUUACAGAGAUCACUGUAGAAAAAACUGAGGAUGUCACAAAGCUACGGCAACAAAAGUCCUUCCCAAGCAACGCCAGGAAUUCUUCUUGCUACUUCUCUUGUUUGCGUCCGUUUUUCCCUUGAAGAGGAAAGGGUGAUGCAGCACACGAGCAGUAAGUAUUUCCCUCAGUUUGAGAACCAAGGCAUCGAUCCAGAAGGAGGGUAUCGUCAAGUCCAGAGUACCUGCCCAAACACAAACGAGCUUGCACCCAACGCUUCAAAGGGGUUAUCAAUGCCUCCAAGAUUGUUUGCAAAGUGAGAUCUGAAGGCGGAAAGUGCAACGAAGUAAAAAGUGUAAGGCUGAAAAUAUGGUGUGGAGUAGACCCGGGGGCCAUAGUGUUCACUAGAGGAUUCUCUCAAAAUUGCAAAUAUCACGGUGGGUGAACAAAUUACUGUCGAGCAAUUGAUAGAACCGCGCAAAGUCAUGACGAUAUCUAUGGCAAUGAUCAUACAUAUAGGCAUCACGUCCGAGACAAGUAGACCGAUACUUUCUGCAUCUACUACUAUUACUCCACACAUCGACCGCUAUCCAGCAUGCAUCUAGUGUAUUGAGUUCAUGAUGAACAGAGUAAUGCCUUAGGCAAGAUGACAUGAUGUAGAGGGAUACUCUCAAACCAAUGAUGAAAACCCCAUCUUUUUACCCUUGAUGGCAACAAAAUGAUGCGUGCCUCGCUACCCCUUCUGUCACUAGGUGAGGUCACCGCACGGUAUGAACCCAAAACCAAGCACUUCUCCCAUUGCAAGAAUCAUAGAUCUAGUUGGUCAAACAAAACCCACAACUCGAAGAGAAUUACAAGGAUAUGAAAUCAUGCAUAAGAGAGAUCAGAAGAAACUCAAAUAAGAUUCAUAGAUAAUCUCAUCAUAAAUCCACAAUUCAUCGGAUCUCCAUAAACACACCACAAAAGAAGAUUACAUCGGAUAGAUCUCCAUGAAGAUCAUGGAGAACUUUGUAUUGAAGAUCCAAGAGUGAGAAGAAGCCAUCUAGUUACUAGCUAUGGACCCGUAGGUCUAUGGUGAACUACUCACGCAUCAUCGGAGAGGCCAUGGUGUUGAUGAAGAAGCCCUCCAUAUCCGAAUCCCCCCUCCGGCAGGGCACCAGAACGUGCCCGAGAUGGGAUCUUGCAGAGACAGAAGCUUGCGGCGGCGGAAAAGUACUUUCGAUGAUCUCCUGAUUUUUUGUGGAAUUUUUGGGGAUAUAUAGGCGCAAAACCUAGGGCAAAGGGCGCCCACGGGGCCCACAAGCUGUGGGCCGCGGCCUCCCCCCUGGCCGGAGGGUUAGGGCUUGUGGGGCCCCUGGGGCUCCCCUGACUUGGCUCUCAAGUCUCCUGAUCUUCUUCUGUUACGGAAAAUUCUUUUCAGGGAUUUUAUUCCGUUUGGACUCUGUUUCAAAAUCUCCUCUGAAAGGGGUCAAAAACAGGAACUGGCACCUGGCACAGUACCAAAAAAUAUAUAAAAGGCAUGCAAAACAUCCAAAGUUUGACAAGAUAAUAGCAUGAAACCAUCAAAAAUUAUAGAUACGUUGGAGACGUAUCAAGCACCCCCAAGCUUAACUCCUGCUCGUCCUUGAGUAGGGAAGUGAUAAAGAAUGAAUUUUUGAUGUGGAAUGCUACCUAGCAUAGUUGUCCUUUGCAACUUCUAUCACAUGACAUGAAUGUUUAGAUCCGUAAGAUUCAAAACAAUAGUUUGCUAUUGACAUGAAAACAAUAAUACUUCAAGCAAACUAGCAAGGUAAUCAUGAACUUUCAAAAUAACAAGGCCAAGGAAAGUUAUCCCUACAAAAUCAUAUAGUCUGGCUAUGCUCCAUCAUCCUCACACAACUAAUGUAAAUCAUGCACAACCCGGUAUUGGCCAAGUAAUUGUUUUCGCACUCUUACUUUCUCAAACUUUUUAUAACUAUACAUGAACGUGAGCCAUGGAUAUAGCACUAUAGGUGGAAUAGAGUGUGGUGGUGGUUGUGAUACAAAAAGGAGGAGAUGGUCACAUUGACUCGGUGUAUCAAAGGGCUAUGGAGAUGCUCAUUGAUAGAUAUCAACGUGAAUGAGUAGGGAUUGCCAUACAAGAGAUGCACUAGAGCUAUCAGUAUGUGAAAGCUCAAAAGGAGAACUAGUGGGUGUGCAUCCAACUUGCUUGCUCACGAAGACCUAGGGAAAUUUGAGGAAGCCCAUCAUUGGAAUAUACAAGCCAAGUUUUAUAAUGAAGGUUCCCACUAGCAUAUGGUGGUGACAAAGCAAGAAGCUCUCAAUCAUGAAGAACAUGGUGCUUAUUAUGAAGCACAAGUGUGGAAAAAGAUAGUAGCAUUGUCUCUUCUCUUUUUUUUCAUUUGGGUUCUUAGACCUCUUUUUUCUCUAAUUUUUUUAUUUUUGGGCUAUUUGGCCUAUUUUUUUCCUCACAUGGGACAAUGCUCUAAUAAUGAUGGUCAUCACACUUUCAUUUACUCACAGCUCAAAGCUCAAAAUGAUAAUGACUCUAUAGGAAAUGCCUCCGGCAGUGUACCGGGAUGUGCAACAAUCUAGCAUGGCGUAUGACGUUGAAAACAUCUCGCUAGCUAUCUUACGAUCAUGCAAUGGCAAUAUAAGAGUGACGACACAAGUCAUGAGACAGAACGGUGGGAGUUGCAUGGCAAUAUAUCUCGGAAUGGCUAUGAAAAUGCCAUAGUAGGUAGGUAUGGUGGCUGUUUUGAGGAAGGCAUAUGGUGGGUUUGUGCACCGGCGAGAAUUGCGCGGCACUAAAGAGGCUAGCAAUGGUGGAAGGUGAAAGUGCUGUUGGGAAACGUCGCAUGGGAAACAAAAGUUUUCCUACACGCACGAAGACCUAUCAUGGUGAUGUCCAUCUACGAGAGGGGAUAUUCGAUCUACGUACCCUUGUAGAUCGCACAACACAAGCGUUAAGAAAAUGCGGUUGAUGUAGUGGAAUGUCCUCACGUCCCUCGAUCCGCCCCGCGAACCGUCCCGCGAUCCGUCCCACGAUCUAGUGCCGAACGGACGGCACCUCCGCGUUCAGCACACGUACAGCUCGACGAUGAUCUCGGCCUUCUUGAUCCAGCAAGAGAGACGGAGAGGUAGAUGAGUUCUCCGGAAGCGUGAUGGCACUCCGGAGGUUGGUGGUGAUCUAAUCUCAGCAGGGCUCCGCCCGAGCUCCGCAGAAACGCGAUCUAGAGGUAAAACCGUGGAGAUAUGUGGUCGGGCUGGCGUGGCAAAGUUGUCGCAAAUCAGCCCUAAAACCUCCGUAUAUAUAGGUGGGAGAGGGGGGGCCUUGCUUUGGGGCUCAAGGAGCCCCAAGGGGGUCGGCCGAGCCAAGGGGGGGGAGUCCUCCCCUUCCAAACCGAAUCCAACUAGGUUUGGAAGGAGGAGUCCUUCCCCUUUUUCCCACCUCCUCUUUUUUUUCUCUUUGAUUUUCUUCCUAUGGCGCAUAGGGCCUUCUUGGGCUGUCCCACCAGCCCACUAAGGGCUGGUGCGCUACCCCCAAGGCCUAUGGGCUUCCCCGGGGUGGGUUGCCCCCCCGGUGAACACCCGGAACCCAUUCGUCAUUCCCGAUAUAUUCCCGGUAACUCCGAAAACCUUCCGGUAAUCAAAUGAGGUCAUCCUAUAUAUCAAUCUUCGUUUCUGGACCAUUCCGGAAACCCUCGUGACGUCCGUGAUCUCAUCCGGGGCUCCGAACAACAUUCGGUAACCAACCAUAUAACUCAAAUACGCAUAAAACAACGUCGAACCUUAAGUGUGCAGACCCUGCGGGUUCGAGAACUAUGCAGACAUGACCCGAGUGACUCCUCGGUCAAUAUCCAAUAGCGGGACCUGGAUGCCCAUAUUGGAUCCCACAUAUUCUACGAAGAUCUUAUCGUUUGAACCUCAGUGCCAAGGAUUCAUAUAAUCCCGUAUGUCAUUCCCUUUGUCCUUCGGUAUGUUACUUGCCCGAGAUUCGAUCGUCAGUAUCCGCAUACCUAUUUCAAUCUCGUUUACCGGCAAGUCUCUUUACUCGUUCCGUAAUACAAGAUCCCGCAACUUACACUAAGUUACAUUGCUUGCAAGGCUUGUGUGUGAUGUUGUAUUACCGAGUGGGCCCCGAGAUACCUCUCCGUCACACGGAGUGACAAAUCCCAGUCUCGAUCCAUACUAACUCAACGAACACCUUCGGAGAUACCAAUAGAGCAUCUUUAUAGUCACCUAGUUAAGUUGCGACGUUUGAUACACACAAAGCAUUCCUCCGGUGUCAGUGAGUUAUAUGAUCUCAUGGUCAUUGGAACAAAUACUUGACACGCAGAAAACAGUAGCAACAAAAUGACACGAUCAACAUGCUACGUCUAUUAGUUUGGGUCUAGUCCAUCACGUGAUUCUCCUAAUGACGUGAUCCAGUUAUCAAGCAACAACACCUUGUUCAUAAUCAGAAGACACUGACUAUCUUUGAUCAACUGGCUAGCCAACUAGAGGCUUGCUAGGGACAGUGUUUUGUCUAUGUAUCCACACAUGUAUAUAAGUCUUCAUUCAAUACAAUUAUAGCAUGGAUAAUAAACGAUUAUCUUGAUACAGGAAUUAUAAUAAUAACUAUAUUUAUUAUUGCCUCUAGGGCAUAAUUCCAACAGUCUCCCACUUGCACUAGAGUCAAUAAUCUAGCCCUCACAUCAUCAUGCGAAUUACAUUGUAAUAAAUCUAACACCCAUACAGUUCUGGUGUUGAUCAUGCUUUGCUCGUGGAAGAGGUUUAGUCAGUGGGUCUGCUACAUUCAGAUCCGUGUGCACUUUGCAUAUAUUUACGUCCUCCCCUUCGACGUAGUCGCGGAUGAGGUUGAAGCGUCGUUUGAUGUGUCUGGUCUUCUUGUGAAACCGUGGUUCCUUUGCUAAGGCAAUGGCACCCGUGUUGUCACAGAACAAGGUUAUUGGAUUCAGUGCGCUUGGCACCACUCCAAGAUCCGUCAUGAACUGCUUCAUCCAGACACCUUCCUUAGCCGCCUCCGAGGCAGCCAUGUACUCCGCUUCACAUGUAGAAUCUGCUACGACGCAUUGCUUGGAACUGCACCAGCUUACCGCACCCCCAUUAAGAAUAAAUACGUAUCCCGUCUGUGACUUAGAGUCGUCCGGAUCUGUGUCAAAGCUUGCAUCGAUGUAACCCUUUACGGCGAGCUCUUCGUCACCUCCAUACACGAGAAUCAUCUCCUUAGUCCUUUUCAGGUACGUCAGGAUAUUCUUGACCGCCGUCCAGUGAUCCACUCCUGGAUUACUCUAGAACCUGCCUGCCAUACUUAUGGCCAGGCUAACGUCCGGUCUAGUGCACAGCAUUGCAUACAUGAUAGAUCCUAUGGCUGAAGCAUAGGGGACUGUGCUCAUGUGCUCUCUAUCCUCAUCAGUUGCUGGGCACUGAGUCUUACUCAAUCUCGUACCUUGUAAAACUGGCAAGAACCCUUUCUUGGACUGUUCCAUUUUGAACCUCUUCAAAACUUUAUCAAGGUAUGUGCUUUGUGAAAGUCCUAUCAGGCGUUUUGAUCUAUCCCUGUAGAUCUUAAUGCCUAGAAUGUAAGCAGCUUCUCCUAGGUCCUUCAUAGAGAAACUUUUAUUCAAGUAAUUCUUUAUGCUCUCCAAAAACUCUACGUUGUUUCCAAUCAGCAAUAUUUCAUCCACAUAUAAUAUUAGAAACGCCACAGAGCUCCCACUCACUUUCUUGUAAAUACAAGAUUCUCCAACCACUUGUAUAAACCCAAAUGCUUUGAUCACCUCAUCAAAGCGUUUGUUCCAACUCCGAGAUGCUUGCACCAAUCCAUAAAUGGAUCGCUGGAGCUUGCACACCUUGUUAGCAUUCUUAGGAUCGACAAAACCUUUGGGUUGCAUGAUAUACAACUCUUCCUUAAGGAAACCGUUAAGGAACGCCGUUUUGACAUCCAUCUGCCAGAUUUCAUAAUCGAAAAAUGCAGCUAUUGCUAAGAUGAUUCUGACGGACUUAAGCAUCGCUACGGGUGAGAAUGUCUCAUCGUAGUCAACUCCUUGAACUUGUGAAAAACCCUUUGCCACAAGUCGAGCUUUAUAAACGGUCACAUUGCCGUCAGCGUCCGUCUUCUUCUUAAAGAUCCAUUUGUUCUGAAUAGCCUUGCGGCCCUCAGGUAGUACUUCCAAAGUCCACACUUUGUUCUCAUGCAUGGAUCCUAUCUCGGACUUCAUGGACUCUAGCCAUUUGUUGGAAUCUGGGCCCACCAUUGCUUCUUCAUAAUUUGCAGGUUCACUGUUGUCUAACAACAUGAUUGACAAAACGGGAUUACCGUACCACUCUGGAGCAGCACGUGGUCUCGUCGACCUGCGUGGUUCGACAGGAACUUGAACCGGAGUUUCAUGAUCAUCAUCAUUAACUUCCUCCUCAACCGGCGUCGCAACAACAAAGGUUUCCCCUUGCCCCGCGCCACCAUCUAGAGGGAUGAGUGGUUCGACAACCUCAUCAAGUUCUAUCUUCCUCCCACUGAAUUCUCUCGAGAGAAACUCCUUCUCGAGAAAAGGUCCGUUUUUAGCAACAAACACUUUUCCCUCGGAUUUGAGAUAGAAGGUGUACCCAACUGUCUCUUUUGGGUAACCUAUGAAGAUGCACUUUUCCGCUUUGGUUUCCAGCUUUUCAGGCUGAAGCUUUUUGACAUAAGCAUCACAUCCCCAAACUUUAAGAAACGACAACUUUGGCCUUUUGCCAUACCACAGUUCGUAUGGUGUCGUCUCAACGGAUUUUGAUGGUGCCCUAUUUAAAGUGAAUGCAGCUGUGUCUAAUGCAUAACCCCAAAACGAUAACGGCAAAUCGGUAAGAGACAUCGUAGAUCACACCAUCUCUAAUAAAGUACGAUUACGACGUUCGGACACACCAUUACGCUGUGGUGUUCUAGGCGAUGUCAACUGUGAAACAAUUCCACAUUGUCUUAAGUGGGCACCAAACUCGACACUCAGAUAUUCACCCCCACGAUCAGACCGUAGGAACUUGAUCUUCUUGUUACGAUGAUUUUCAACUUCACUCUGAAAUUGCUUGAACUUUUCAAAUGUUUCAGACUUGUGCUUCAUUAAGUAGACAUAACCAUAUCUACUCAAAUCGUCAGUGAAGGUGAGAAAAUAACGAUAUCCGCCGCGUGCCUCUAUGCUCAUCGGACCGCACACAUCGGUAUGUAUGACUUCCAACAAGUCACUGGCACGCUCCAAUGUUCCGGAGAACGAAGUUUUAGUCAUCUUGCCCAUGAGGCAUGGUUCGCACGUGUCAAGUGAAUCAAAGUCAAGUGACUCCAAAAGUCCAUCAGCAUGGAGUUUCUUCAUGCGUUUUACACCAAUAUGACCUAAGCGUCAGUGCCACAAAAAUAUGGCGCUAUCAUUGUUAACACUAACUCUUUUUGUCUCAAUGUUAUGUAUAUGUGUAUCACUAUCAAGAUUCAAUAUGAACAAUCCUCUCACAUUGGGUGCAUGACCAUAAAAUAUGUUACUCAUAGAAAUAGAACAACCAUUAUUCUCUGACUUAAAAGAGUAACCGUCUCGCAAUAAACAAGAUCCAGAUAUAAUGUUCAUGCUCAACGCAGGAACUAAAUAACAAUUAUUCAAGUUCAUAACUAAUCCUGAUGGUAACUGAAGUGAAACUGUGCCGACGGCGAUUGCAUCAACCUCGGAACCAUUUCCUACGCGCAUCGUCACUUCAUCUUUCGUCAGCCUUCGUCUAUUCCGCAGUUCCUGUUUCGAGUUGCAAAUGUGAGCAACAGAACCGGUAUCGAAUACCCAGGCACUACUACGAGAGCCAGUUAAGUACACAUCAAUAACAUGUAUAUCAAAUAUACCUGAUUUUUCUUUGGUCGCCUUCUUAUCAGCCAGAUACUUGGGGCAGUUGCGCUUCCAGUGACCCAUACCCUUGCAAUAGUAGCACUCUGUUUCAGGCUUAGGUCCAGCAUUGGGUUUCUUCGUCGGAUUGGCAACAGGCUUGCCGCUCUUCUUUGAAUUACCCUUCUUGCCUUUGCCGUUUCUCUUGAAACUAGUGGUCUUAUUCACCAUCUACACUUGAUGCUCUUUACGGAGUUCAGACUCUGCGACUUUCAGCAUCGCAAACAACUCGCCGGGUGACUUGUUCAUCCCUUGCAUGUUGUAGUUCAACACAAAGCCCUUAUAGCUUGGCGGCAGUGAUUGAAGGAUUCUGUCAGUGAUAGCCUCUUGCGGGAGUUCAAUCCCCAGCUCAGCUAGACGGUUUGAGUACCCAAACAUUUUGAGCACAUGUUCACUGACACACAAAUUCUCCUCCAUCUUGCAAGCAUAGAAUUUAUCGGAGGUCUCAUACCUCUCAAUCCGGGUGUUCUUCUGAAAUAUAAACUUCAACUCCUGGAACAUCUCAUAUGCUCCAUGACACUCAAAGCGACGUUGAAGUCCCGGUUCUAAGCCAUACAAGACUGCACAUUGAACUACUGUGUAGUCCUCCUUACGUGUUAACCAAGCGUUCUUAACAUCCUGGUCAGCCGUAGCGGGUGGUUCAUCUCCUAGCGCAGCAUUAAGGACAUAAUCCUUCUUCCCAGCUUGUAAGAUUAGCUUAAGAUUACGAGCCCAGUCUACAAAGUUGCUUCCAUCAUCUUUCAGCUUAGCUUUCUCUAGGAACGUAUUAAAAUUCAGGGUGACUGUCGCGUGAGCCAUGAUCUACAACACAAAUAUAUUCAAAGUGGACUUAGACUAUGUUCAAGAUAAUUAGAGUUUAACUUAAUCAAUUUACUUGCUAAACUCCCACUCAAAAAGUACAUCUCUCUAGUCAUUUGAGUGGUUCAUGACCCACUUACACUAGCUCAAGUCCGAUCAUCACAUGAGUUGAGUAUAGUUUCAGUGGUAAGCAUCCCUAUGCUAAUCAUAUCAUCUAUAUGAUUCAUGAUCGACCUUUCGGUCUCAUGUGUUCCGAGGCCAUGUUUGCACAUGCUAGGCUCGUCAAGCUUAACCCGAGUGUUCCGCGUGUGCAAUUGUUUUGCACCCGUUGUAUGUGAACGUUGAGUCUAUCACACCCGAUCAUCACGUGGUGUCUCGAAACGACGAACUGUAGCAAUGGUGCACAGUCGGGGAGAACAAAAUUUCGUCUUGAAAUUUUAGUGAGAGAUCACCUCAUAAUGCUACCGUCGUUCUAAGCAAAAUAAGGUGCAUAAAAGGAUUAACAUCACAUGCAAUUCAUAAGUGACAUGAUAUGGCCAUCAUCACGUGCUCCUUGAUCUCCAUCACCAAAGCACCGACACGAUCUUCUUGUCAUCGGCGCCACAACGUGUCGCCAUCGGGGUUGUCGUGCUACUCAUGCUAUUACUACUAAAGCUACAUCCUAGCAAAAUAGUAAACACAUCUGCAAGCACAAACGUUAGUUUAAAGACAACCCUAUGGCCCCUGCCGGUUGCCGUACCAUCCACGUGCAAGUCGAUAUUAUCUAUUACAACAUGAUCAUCUCAUACAUCCAAUAUAUCACAUCACAUCGUUGGCAAUAUCACAUCAGAAGCAUGCCCUGCAAAAACAAGUUAGACGUCCUCUAAUUUUGUUGUUGCAUGUUUUACGUGGUGACCAUGGGUAUCUAGUAGGAUCGCAUCUUACUUACGCAAACACCACAACGGAGAUAUAUGAAUUGCUAUUUAACCUUAUACAAGGACCUCCUCGGUCAAAUCCGAUUCACCUAAAGUUGGAGAAACUGACACUUGCCAGUCAUCUUUGAGCAACGGGGUUACGCCAGUGAAGGUGAGAAAAUAACGAUAUCCGCCGCGUGCCUCUACGCUCAUCGGUCCAAGACGCUUCAAUCCAACAAUACCGCGGAAUCAAGAAAAUACUACGGAGGGCAGAAAAAUGCACAUCACCGCCCACAAAAACUUUUGUGUUCUACUCGAGAAGACAUCUACGCAUGAACCUAGCUCAUGAUGCCACUGUUGGGAAACGUCGCAUGGGAAACAAAAAUUUUCCUACGCGCACGAAGACCUAUCAUGGUGAUGUCCAUCUACGAGAGGAGAUAUUCGAUUACGUACCCUUGUAGAUCGCACAAUAGAAGCAUUAAGAAAACGCGGUUGAUGUAGUGGAACGUCCUCACGUCCCUCGAUCCGCCCCGCGAACCGUCCCGCGAUCCGUCCCACGGUCUAGUGCCGAACGGACGGCACCUCCGCGUUCAGCACACGUACAGCUCGACGAUGAUCUCGGCCUUCUUGAUCCAGGAAGAGAGACGGAGAGGUAGUUGAGUUCUCUGGCAGAGUGACGGUGCUCCGGAGGUUGGUGGUGAUCUAAUCUCAGCAGGGCUCCGCCCGAGCUCCGCAGAAACGCGAUCUAGAGGUAAAACCGUGGAGAUAUGUGGUCGGGCUGGCGUGGCAAAGUUGUCGCAAAUCAGCCCUAAAACCUCCGUAUAUAUAGGUGGGAGAGGGGGGGGCCUUGCCUUGGCGCUCAAGGAGCCCCAAGGGGGUCGGCCGAGCCAAGGGGGGGAGUCCUCCCCUUCCAAACCGAAUCCAACUAGGUUUGGAAGGAGGAGUCCUUCCCCUUUUUCCCACCUCCUUUUUUUUUUCUCUUUGAUUUUCUUCCUAUGGCGCAUAGGGCCUUCUUGGGCUGUCCCACCAGCCCACUAAGGGCUGGUGCGCUACCCCCAAGGCCUAUGGGCUUCCCCGGGGUGGGUUGCCCCCCCGGUGAACACCCGGAACCCAUUCGUCAUUCCCGAUAUAUUCCCGGUAACUCCGAAAACCUUCCGGUAAUCAAAUGAGGUCAUCCUAUAUAUCAAUCUUCGUUUCUGGACCAUUCCGGAAACCCUCGUGACGUCCGUGAUCUCAUCCGGGACUCCGAACAACAUUCGGUAACCAACCAUAUAACUCAAAUACGCAUAAAACAACGUCGAACCUUAAGUGUGCAGACCCUGCGGGUUCGAGAACUAUGUAGACAUGACCCGAGAGACUCCUCGGUCAAUAUCCAACAGCGGGACCUGGAUGCCCAUAUUGGAUCCUACAUAUUCUACAAAGAUGUUAUCGUUUGAACCUCAGUGCCAAGGAUUCAUAUAAUCCCGUAUGUCAUUCCCUUUGUCCUUCGGUAUGUUACUUGCCCGAGAUUCGAUCGUCAGUAUCCGCAUACCUAUUUCAAUCUCGUUUACCGGCAAGUCUCUUUACUCGUUCCGUAAUACAAGAUCCCGCAACUUACACUAAGUUACAUUGCUUGCAAGGCUUGUGUGUGAUGUUGUAUUACCGAGUGGGCCCCGAGAUACCUCUCCGUCACACGGAGUGACAAAUCCCAGUCUCGAUCCAUACUAACUCAACGAACACCUUCGGAGAUACCAAUAGAGCAUCUUUAUAGUCACCCAGUUACGUUGCGACGUUUGAUACACACAAAGCAUUCCUACGGUGUCAGUGAGUUAUAUGAUCUCAUGGUCAUAGUUACAAAUACUUGACACGCAGAAAACAGUAGCAACAAAAUGACACGAUCAACAUGCUACGUCUAUUAGUUUGGGUCUAGUCCAUCACGUGAUUCUCCUAAUGACGUGAUCCAGUUAUCAAGCAACAACACCUUGUUCAUAAUCAGAAGACACUGACUAUCUUUGAUCAACUGGCUAGCCAACUAGAGGCUUGCUAGGGACAGUGUUUUGUCUAUGUAUCCACACAUGUAUAUAAGUCUUCAUUCAAUACAAUUAUAGCAUGGAUAAUAAACGAUUAUCUUGAUACAGGAAUUAUAAUAAUAACUAUAUUUGUUAUUGCCUCUAGGGCAUAAUUCAAACAAGUGCAUCUAUACCAUGGACUCACAUUAGUCAUGAAGAACUCACAUACUUGUUGCGAAAGUUUUUAUUAGUAAUCGAAACAAAGUGCUAAACACAUACUCCUAGGGGAAGGGUUGGUAGGUGUUAACCAUCGCGCGAUCCCGACCUCAACACAAAGGAUGACAAUCAAUAGAUCAAUUAUGCUCCGACUUCCUAACAUAGCAGUUCACCAUACGUGCAUGCUACGGGAAUCACUAACUUCAACACAAGCAUUUCUAGAUUCACAACACCCUACUAACAUAGCUCUUAAUAUUACCGAAUCCACGUCUCAAAACUAAUUGAGAGGAAUCAAUACUUCUCUUUCUACUCAAUGCACAUGAAGAUGGAGGUUUUUGCAUCCUCUUUGGGUGCCUAUCACCUUUGGGACUACUUUCAUAGCAUAAGCCAACUACCAAGUCACGCACCGCUGUGCUCUAAAAGAUAUAAGUGAAGCACAUAGAGCAAAAGUAUCUAGCUCAAAAGAUAUAAGUGAAGCACUAUGAGCAUUCUAGCAAAAUCACGAUGAGUGCAUGUAUCUCUCUCUCUCAAAAAGGUGUGAAGCAAGGAUGAUUGUGACACAACAAAAAGAAAAGACUCCUACGAUACAAGAUGCUCCAAGCAAAACACAUAUCAUGUGGUGAAUAAAAAUAUAGCUCCAAGUAAUGUUACCGAUGGAUUGAAGACGAAAGAGGGGAUGCCUUCCCGGGCAGCCCCAAGCUUAGGCUUUUUGGUGUCCUUGAAUAUGGCUUGGGGUGCCUUGGGAAUCUCCAAGAUUGAGCUCUUUCCACUCCUUAUCUCUUUGCCAUGGGAACAUCACCCAAAACUUGAAAACUUCUUAACACAAAACUUAAACAGAAACUCGUGAUAACAUUAGCACAAGAAAACAAACUACCACUUCUUUUGGUACUGUAGAAAACUUGAAUUCCAUCUAUAUUGGUGUUGGGCUACUGUAUUCUCACUUUUCCAUGGCUAGUACCCCCCGAUACUAACCAUAGUUUCAUCAAAACAAGCAACCAACUCAACAAAAAACAGAAUCUGUCAAAAACAGCCCAGUGUGUAGCAAUCUGUAUACUUUGUAUACUUAUGGUACCUCCAAAAAUCUGAAAAAUUAUGAAUGACUAGGCAAAAGGCAUAUCAACCAGCAGAAAAAAGAAUCAACUAAAAAGAUCUUUCUGAAUAAAAAUGAAAAAUCAUCUCGUGAGUGAAAAGUUUUUGUCUUUUUCCAGCAGGAUCAAACAACCAUUACCAAGACUAGUCAUCAAGGUUUUGCUUGGCUCAAACACAAAAAGAAACACAAAAACCACAACCAGAACAGAAUUAUGAUGGUGUGGAUGCAACAAAACAGAAAUAAAAAGAUAAAUUCAUUGGGUUGCCUUCCAUCAAGCGCUAUUGUUUAACGCCCUUAGCUAGGCAUAAAAGCGAUAGAAUCACGUAUCGUCGUCUUUGGUGCUCAAACCAUAAGUGGCCCUCAUCAUGGAUUCAUAAGGCAAUCUUAUUUUAUUUCUAGGAAAGUGUUCCAUGCCCUUCCUUAAAGGAAAUUGAAAUCUAAUAUUCCCUUCCUUCAUAUCGAUGAUAACACCGAUAGUCCUUAGGAAAGGUCUACCAAAAAUAAUAGGGCAUGCAGGAUUGCAGUCUAUGUCAAGCACAAUGAAAUCCACGGGUACAUAGUUCCUAUUUGCAAUAAUAAGAACAUCAUUGAUCCUUCCCAUGGGUUUCUUGACGGUAGAAUCCGUAAGAUGCAAAUUAAGAGAACACUCUUCAACCUCAUUAAAACCCAGAACAUCACAUAAAGACUUUGGAAUCGCAGAAACAUUAGCACCCAAAUCACACAAAGCAUUGCAUUCAUAGUUUUUGAUUUUGAUUUUGAUGGUAGGUUCCCACUCAUCAUGAAGUUUUCUAGGGAUAGAGACUUCCAAUUCAAGUUUCUCUUCAAGAGAUUUUAUCAUAGCUUCGAUGAUAUGAUCGGUAAAGGCCUUGUUUUGGCUAUAAGCGUGUGGAGAGUUUAACAUGGAUUACAUCAAAGAAAUGCAUUCAAUCCAGGAGCAACUAUCAUAAUUGAAUUCCUUGAAAUCCACGGUAGUAAUUUCAUUACUACUCAAAGUUUUAACAUCUUCUGCUCCACUUUCAAUGCUUUUAGCAUCAACAUAGAUGGACUCCGAAUCAUUGGGCACUUUUCAACCAAAGUGGAUUCAUAUCCAGCCCCAUAAUCAUUAGGUUUGACACAAGAAAACAAAGAUUCAAUGGGAGUCACACCAAGCACUUUAGGAUCUUCAUGAUUCUCAUCACGAGAACACGCCUUUUUAAGCCAUUCAUGUCUAGCACGAAUUUGGGCGGUUCUUUCUUGGCUCUCAAUCGUGGAAACACGCAUAGCUUUCAAAGUUUCAUCCAUGUUGAUUUUGGGAGGAGCACAUCUAACUUUCAAAGCAUCAACAUCACUAGACAUUCUAUCAACGCUCUUAGCCAACUCAUUAAUUUUGAGUAGCUUUUCCUCUAUGGACGCAUUGAAAAUCUUUUGAGAGUUGAUGAACUCUUUGAUAUUACUCUCUAGAUCAGAGGGUAAUCUAUUGUAAUUUCCAUGAGUAUUGUUGUAGGAUUUGCCAAAUUAUUAGAGGAGUUACUAGCAAAAGGCCUAGGAACAUAGUUUCCUCUAAAAGCAUUGUUGUUGCCAAAGUUAUUCCUACCAACAAAAUUAACGUCCAAGCUAAUGUUGCUACUCUCAAUCAAAGAAGACAAGGGCAUAUCAUUAGGAUCCAAAGGAGCACUUCUACUAGCAACCAAAUUCAUUAACUCAUCCAUCUUAGCACUCAACGAGUUAGUUUCUUCUAUAGCGUGUACCUUCUUACUAGUAGGUGACCGUUCAGUAUGCCACUGAGAGUAGUUCAUCAUGAUGUUGUCUAAGAGCUUUGUGGCUUCUCCUAACGUGAUUUCCAUGAACGUUCCACCUAAGGCGGAGUCCAAGAUAUUUCUAGAAGCAAAAUUCAAGCCAGCGUAAAAGAUUUGAAUAAUCAUCCAAAGACUCAAGCCAUGAGCGGGACAAUUUCUAAUCAUUAAUUUCAUUCUCUCCCAAGAUUGUGCAACAUGUUCAUGAUCAAGUUGCUUGAAACUCAUGAUAUCAUUAUGGAGAGAGAUAAUCUUAGCCGGCGGAAAAUACUUGGAUAUAUAGGCAUCUUUGCACUUAUCCCAAGAAUCGAUACUAUUUUUUGGCAAAGAAGAAAACCUAGUUUUUGCGCGAUCUCGCAAUGAGAAAGGAAAAAGCUUCAAUUUAAUCACGUCAUUAUCCACAUCUUUCUUCUUUUGCAUGUCGCAAAGUUCAAUGAAGGUAUUGAGAUGGGAUGCGGCAUCUUCACUAGGAAGGCCGGAGAAUUGCUCUUUCAUAACAAGAUUCAGCAAAGCGGCAUUGAUUUUGUAUGACUCCGCACUAGUGGAGGGAGCAAUCGGAGUACUAAUGAAAUCAUUAUUAUUAGUAUUCGAGAAGUCACAAAGUUUGGUGUUUUCAUUCAUGGUGACUUCGGCAAGCAAGCAAGCACACAAGGGAACAAAGAUCAAGUGAGAAAAAGGCGAACGAAAAGGCAGACGGAAAAAGGCAAACGAAAAAGGCAAAUUGGUGCAGUGGGGGAGAGGAAAACGAGAGGCAACUGGCAAACAAAGUAAAUCCCAGAGAUGAGUUUGCAACACUUACUUGGAUGAGUUCUUGACUUGAUCUUCUGCUACGGCAACGGCGCCAGAAAUUCUUCUUGCUACUUCUCUUGUUUGCUACGGCAACAAAAUUCCUUCCCAAGCAACGCCAGCAAUUCUUCUUGCUACUUCUCUUGUUUGUGUCGUUUUUUCCCUUGAAGAGGAAAGGGUGAUGCAGCACAGGAGCACUAAGUAUUUCCUCAGUUUGAGAAUCAAGGUAUCGAUCCACAAGGAGGGUCUCUUCAAGUCCAGAGUACCUGCACAAACACAAACGAGCUUGCACCCAACGCUUCAAUGGGUUGUCAAUGCCUCCAAGAUUGUUUGCAAAGUGAGAUGUGAAGGCGAAAAGUGCAACGAAGUAAAAAGUGUAAGACUGAAAAAUAUGGUGUGGAGUAGACCCGGGGGCCAUAGUGUUCACCAGAGGCUUCUCUCAAAAUAGCAAAUAUCACGGUGGGUGAACAAAUUAUUGUCGAGCAAUUGAUAGAACCGCGCAAAGUCAUGACGAUAUCUAAGGCAAUGAUCAUACAUAUAGGCAUCACGUCCGAGACAAGUAGACCGAUACUUUCUGCAUCUACUACUAUUACUCCACACAUCGACCGCUAUCCAUCAUGCAUGUAGUGUAUUGAGUUCAUGACGAACAGAGUAACGCCUUAAGCAAGAUGACAUGAUGUAGAGGGAUAAUCUCAAACCAAUGAUGAAAACCCCAUCUUUUUACCCUUGAUGGCAACAACACGAUGCAUGCCUCACUACCCCUUCUGUCACUGGGUGAGGUCACCGCAUGGUAUGAACCCAAAACCAAGCACUUCUCCCAUUGCAAGAAUCAUAGAUCUAGUUGGCCAAACAAAACCCACAACUCGAAGAGAAUUACAAGGAUAUGAAAUCAUGCAUAAUAGAGAUCAGAAGAAACUCAAAUAAGAUUCAUAGAUAAUUUGAUCAUAAAUCCACAAUUCAUCGGAUCUCGACAAACACACCGCAAAAGAAGAUUACAUCGGAUAGAUCUCCAUGAAGAUCAUGGAGAACUUUGUAUUGAAGAUCCAAGAGAGAGAAGAAGCCAUCUAGUUACUAGCUAUGGACCCGUAGGUCUAUGGUGAAGUACUCGCACAUCAUCGGAGAGGUCAUGGUGUUGAUGAAGAAGCCCUCCGUAUUCGAAUCCCCCCUCCGGCAGGGCACCAGAACGGUCCCCAGAUGGGAUCUUGCGGAGACAGAAGCUUGCGGCGGUGGAAAAGUACUUUCGAUGAUCUCCUGAUUUUUUGUGGAAUUUUUGGGGAUACAUAGGCGCAAAACCUAGGGCAAAGGGCGUCCAGGGGCCCCAUAAGCCUGUGGGCCGCGGCCUCCCCCCUGGUCGCGGGGUGAGGUCUUGUGGGGCCCGUGGGGCUCCCCUGCCUUGGCUCUGAAGUCUCCUGAUCUUCUUCCGUUACGGAAAAAUUCUUUUCGGGGAUUUUAUUCCGUUUGGACUCCGUUUCAAAAUCUCCUCCGAAAGGGGUCAAAAAGAUGGAAAAAACAGGAACUGACACUUGGCACUGAGUUAAUAAGUUAGUCCCAAAAAAUAUAUAAAAGGCAUGCAAAACAUCCAAAGUUUGACAAGAUAAUAGCAUGAAACCAUCAAAAAUUAUAGAUACGUUGGAGACGUAUCACACAACUCUCCACCACUAAAAGAAAUUCUCGUCGUGAGAAUUCAGAGGUAGGGGUAAGGGGAAAACGUUUGGUUACGAAAUUCUAACGAGCCUUCUCGGUUUUGUUUGUUCUCCCCGAAGAAAUUCAUCCUUUUCGUUGAGGUCCUCAAUUCUCUGAGUUAGGUCAUCCUGAUGAAUUCAUCAUCAUUCCUUCAGGAUGUUCAUCAUCCUACGAAUGCGAUAACAGGGAAAACCAUGGAAGAACGUAGCUACACAAAGUUGGGCAUUUGACGGCGAACUCACAAAAGAGGGCAAGAAUUAUUCUUCAAGUUGUAACUCUCUAAAUUCAUUGGGAAUACAACAUCAUGGUACACAGGUUUCAAACGAUUAGACAAUCGUUUGAUGCCUAAACACUUAUGAAAAAGGGGGGUUAGAGCAACGAAAUAAAUAUUGCUGAUCAUACAGGAAUAGAUCGUCACAUUGAAGGUGGCUUGGGAAUUUCAUACGAAGCCAAGUGUAAAGGAUACUUUGGAGCCAAAGAUGUACAGGGGAGCCAGGUUUCGAUCCUAUGGAACUUUGGGUUAUGGGUCCAUCAUGCGGGCCAAGAGUAGGCAGAGCGGUGACAUCUUAUACGGUCUUGGUAGCAAGAUAUGUCAGAGGAUAUCCUCCCAGUUAUGUGGGCCACAACGUCGGUACCAAGGGCGGGGGACGAAUAGAACCAUUUUCCUGCUCGUUGAAACGAGGCGGACCAAUAGGCAAAGUUCUCAUCCACCGGCGGCUACCGGAAUGUUAUCCACAAUAGUAACAGGGUCUUACUGACAGAGUUGCAUACCGAGGUUUUUACCUAAGAAGGGGAUUACCACUUCUCAGAUAGGUUAUGCCACAAGAAAGGUCAAACAGACCAAUGGAAAGGAAAAUGUGUUCACACACACAAGUAUUUAGAGUAUACCAUUCCCGAGGGAAAAUAGGGUAUGGUAUACAAGAUAGGUCAUCAAGUACAUAACCAUUUUGAUAAAAGGGCAAGGAGAAUCAUGAUGCUUACCCAUACCAUACGAUUUGGAUAAUUGAUCCAUAACAAUUUAGCAUUGUGCUUCCAAUGUUCCUGUUGAAAUUUGAAGUACCACAUCCGUGCUCCGAGGUAGCAUUGACAUGGUCAUGAGAUAAAUGUCGGACUUUGGGUACACAAGGGAUACGUGAGGAACAACUUAUAAUACAAGUCCUACAAUUUCCUCAGGGGAGAAUGGCUAACCUUACCAAGGAAGAUAAUAUACAAAUAGGUCCUUCAGCCAGGUGUGCUGGACAAGACAGUACCGUACCGGUUUGCAUAAAGACCAAAGUUAUGAUUUAUUGGGAAAAGUUCCAACCAUCAUAUCUGCCCGAGAUUCAGAUCUGAUUGGUGUCACGACACCUCAGGCUCCAGAUACCUAAGAAGAAAAUAUGAUGAUGCAAUAUUCUCGAGACAUGAACUACAAAUGCAAGUCUUGGAUCAUGAGUUGGAUUGUAAGACACAUGAACACAAUGUCAAAACAUUCGUGCCCACGUGGAAUUCUUACAACACAAUGCAACCGGGUUCUGAUUUGAGAACAAUCAUCGAGGAUAUCGAGGUCCUUGUGUAAGCCUCGAUUAGCUCUUAUGAAGGAACUUCUUUUCCUUGAUCAAAUCAGUCAGUGGCUUGGGGUGCUAAGAGAAGUUAUAUGAAGUGAAGAUAGCAAAUCUUCAAAACAUAUAACGCUUCGCACAUGCAUGAAUCAUUUGGGAUUACCCGAGAGGAAGCGAAACAAGACUUUCUCAUAUUCAUGGCAGCAAGAAUGCAUGUGAACCUUGGGAAACACCUCUUCUAUCAAACAUUUUCUUCACAAGCUAGGCACGAGGAUAAUGCUUUCAAAAGUUUCAUUACGAAACAUGGAGAAGUUGAGGGUGUGGCCGAAGGGCUCAGUAACAAUCCCUCAAGAUUUUGAUAGGGAUGAAUUUCCAAAUUUAUAAGAUCAAGGAGAUAACAUUUGUGAGAUCAAAUGAUAUAAUGACGUAUGCUUGAGGAAACAUCAACAAUUAAACAUUGAUUGGAGGGUGCACUCGGAAAUACAGAAUGAGUAGCACGACCAAUGCUAGAAUGGUGAGUCAACAACCAACAUACCAAGAAUGAAACAAUCAAUUGUUAACCUCAAGGCAAUAGGGUUGCCACAAGUAUUGGAUCACACAUCAGAGUUCACUUGUCGGUAUUUCCGUUAGAAACAACACGUGACCAAUAAAUGAAUGGUGACGGCGAGAAGUAUCACCAUAUCAAGAAUUCUUAAGAGGUGCAAUGAUGCUCACCACAUUCUUGACAUAAAAGAUGGUCAUACUCCAAGGUAGAAGGUCACAUAAGCCAAUUAGCAAGGAACUUAAGGGACACCACAAAACAUGAACAAGUUUGUGUUGGAGGGAAGGCAAUAAGGUUGACGACGAUUUCAUAAAUCAUCGAGGGGCAAGGAUGGUAUUUCUCAUCAUGCAUUUGAUUUAUACCCUCGAAGAGCUCAGAAUGCUGAUGAUGAUCAUGAUACAAUUGUCGAGAAGUUUCAUGAAGAUUUAAUUGUUCAGCGACGACAUGAAGCAAAGGAAUGGUGAAGCUAAAGGUUGUUGGAAAUACAAAUAAGAUUGUUAGCUCGGAAUCGGAAUUGCCUUUCAAGACAACCAACACGAUGUUGAAAUCUCGAUGUAAGCUGGACGCACAAUUGGAAAUGUGUUACAGGGAUGAAAGACACAGAUAGUAUGGUCAAGCUCUAGCAUGACGAUGAUGAUGUAGCCUAAUAGCUUGGAAAGACAUGAUCGAGUACAACUCAUAAGCAAAGAAGAUUAUUAAGAGUUGUGAAAUCGCAAAGCAUACGCGAUUCAGUCAUCGGUGUCAUUGAGUGUUCAACAACUCAAAACACGAGAAACUGGAAUCAACAAAAUAUCGUAGUUGAUGAGGAGCUCACAAGAAGUUAGGUAGCUCCGUGAUAUUCUCGGGAUACGAGGGAUAAUACUCGAAGAUAGACCAACAUUAAGGCUUGGACCGAUGUGUUUAUAUGAAGAAGACAAGCACUUUAACUUGUCUACGUAUGGAAUUCAAGGAGGAUCAAUAAUGGUCGGAACCACGGUUGCAAAGGAUAAGAUAACAAAUACCAGAUUAAAACAUAGAAUGAAUGAUUAUUGAUAAAAGAAGUUUCUAUGAUAGGAUCAACAUCGUUUCCAUGGGCAUGAACAUAAAGUUCAAGGUCGACUCCCACUUCAUCAUUGCAUCAGCUGCCAUUUACUCCUCGCCUUUGAUGAGGUUGUAGCUUGGAAAGAUUAUCUGGCCAAACACCAGAAGAGUAAGACUCGUGAAAACUCUUCGGAUCAUAUUGUUUUAGCAAGGCAUAGGUUCAACCCAUCGGGGCAUCUUAGGAACAUAUACCACAAACUUCAAGAGUAAUUAACACAUGCUUGAAGAGCAUGGCUGACAAGGGCACAUGAUACAACUUAUCAGAAGGAGAAGACACAAUUUACCAAUGGCAUUAUGUAUGAGGGGAACAAUAUCACAAGAAUUUUGAAUGCAAAUGAUGCCAUCGGAUAAUAACCCAACAAUGGGUCUGGCGGUUCAGAAAGGACCUGAUGUGAGUAUCGUUACUUGAUCAGAGGAAGAUAGAAUGCAAGGCAUCAUAUUAUAGAACAUCUGAAAAAAUACCGAUACUUAAUUACCAUAGGAAUUAUGAUUACCAGGUUGGUGUAUCAGAUUCAGAUGCUCCGAUUAAGUACAAGUAAACUGAAUGGACUUAGACGAACAAUCAAUCAAGGUUGAUUUGCCGAGAACCACCUCCUGUCUGAAAGGACGUCUGAGUUGGAAAGAUAAUUUAUGAGAAUUAGCUCAUGAUUGUGUGCAUUCACACAAAGGUUGAAUAAAUAAGAUCAAAGGAAAAUCACAAAGGAUUGAAAUGAUGGUUACUAGACAUAUGGAAUUAACCAUAAUGCAAGCAGGUGAGAAGGUCAAGCGCAAUAGGCUACUGAGAAUUUCGGAAGAUCAAAUAGCAAUUCGAGGAACUUAUGAAACCCAUGACAACUGAGGAUGAACGAAUCCCUAGUGAGAUAAUUCGAUGCACCUUAUAAUAACAAGAGCAAUCGGGAGAGUAAGUAUGAACGACCUUUGUAUGCAGUCAUCCAUAGGGAUUGAGAGAAGAAGGGAAUCACAAAAGGCGACGAGCACAAGUUCUCGGGAUAACAUCGGAGAGUAUCUUCGGAGUCUUCUGACGAAUCAAGCCAUUCUCUAGAACGUGGGGCUCUCCGGGAGAAAUUAGUUUCGAGAACCUAGAGUUAGUGUUAGUAAAAUCUUUAACCCGAAAGAUAAGAGAGAUCAGAAAUGAGAGUAUAGAAGAGGAGUAAAAUAUACUAAUACCACUCGAUUGAGAUGUGGGCCCGUAAGCCACAACAUCAAAGUUAGUACGCUUUUCAAGUACUAGACUCAACUUCGGCCAAGGAGUUGGGAAGGGGGCUACCUACAGGCAGUCGGCUCUGAUUCCAACUUGUCACACCCUCGUUUUGAUCGUACGCUAAUCAUACACGCAAAUGCGUACGACCAAGCUGAAGGACUCAUGGGAAGAUAUCACAACACAACUCUAGACACAAAUAAAACAUACAAGCUUCAUAUUACAAGCCAGGGGCCUCGAGGGCUAGAAUACAGAAGCUCGAUAAACACACGAGUCAGCGGAAGCAACAAAUAUCUGAGUACAGACAUGAAACAUGACAAUGCCUUAGAGAAGGCUAGCACAAAAGAAACAAUGAUCGAACGAGGCGAGGCCUCCUGCCUGGGAACCUCCUAAACUACUCCUAGUCUCCGGCGGCCUCCACGUAGCAGCAGAUUCCGUUGGGGUAGUAGUCGUCAUCGGCGGGAUAUGCCAUCUCCUGGGCUCCAUCAUCCGGUCGCAGCAACGGAUCAAGGGGAGCAGGGGGAGCAAAGCAACGGUGAGUACUCAUCCAAAGUAAUCGCAAGACUGACAUCAAAACUAUGCUAAGUAUGCAUCAAUAUCAAAGGAAGGGGUUAUAUGUGGACUGACUGCAGUAAUGCGAGAAAGGGAGUGAAGGCCUAGUCCUAUCGAAGACUAGCAUCUUCAGGGGGUCUUGCAGCAAUAGACGAGAGUAGAAUAGGUAACACAAUUAAUAGUCAUAUUGUUGCAACAAUAUUAAUUAAAGUCACGCCCACAGAUUCUUCCUCGACUCCCUGCGAGGAAGCAAUCCCGGAGCAACAUUCCAGUUAAGUAAUAGUUGUAGUUGUAUAAGAUCGGGGCACAACUCCAAGUCGUCCUAUAACCGUGGACACAACUAUCCGAAUAGUUAAUUUUCAUCCCUGCACGGGUGCACCAAGUUUCCCGUCACACUCGAUAAACUCUGGCCGGACACACUUUCCUAGGUCAUGCCCGGCCUCGGAACAUCGACACGUCACAGCCCUACCUAGACUCAACAGAGAGUCCAGCCCGCCGGUCUUAAUCCUAAGCGCAGGGGUCAUGGGCCUGUCACCCAUCGUGCUCCUGCACGUUGUGUGGGCGUCCGAGGUCAGUCCUGGCACCUCUUAUACAAGAACAGUGAUAAUCCAGACCACUCGGGUGCGCGCCGCUCCAUUGCUGACGUCUGAAGAGGUUCAACUCAUACCACGGCAUCGAGUACCCAUAACUUCUCCCAUGUAGCCGGUUAGUGCGAAAAGGUCUCCGACCAACCUAGAUCAAAUACCCAAAUCCAUUAACAUUUUAAUUAACUCAUCGACACAUCCACGCGGGAAUGCACCCGCCUAACAUUUAAUCAUCAAUGUUCCCAGUAACAUGGUCAAGUAACUGUGUGGUUGUAACAUAAGGGGGAUCCGAGGUAUCACCCUCGUUGGAUUCUGAACGAUGUAACCGUCAAGGUGGACUUAGAGGAAUCACCCUCGAGGGUCUCACACUUGAGGGGUUGCAUGAUAGAGUCAUCGUCGGGAGUGGUGAAGGAGGAAUCACCCUCGAUAACCAUGACCGACUAGCUGCACUACAGGGAUAUCAUCAUGAGUACUUCGCGAGGUGUCACCCUCGAUACCCGAUAGUAGCUCUGCAGCGUCGUACAACUAAGGGGGUGUAAGUGCGGUGUCGGGUCUUGGCUCGUCGAUCAGGGAUUGAGACUUGAUGAUAAAGUGGGGGCAACUAGACUAAGGGUCGGAGGGGAUGACUGAGCAACCCAUACUAAACAGUUUUAAGGUGUAGUAGAAUAAUGUAGUAGUUUAUCAAAAUUAGCUAUGCAUCAAAUAUAGGAUCUAAUCUAACUACAACAGUAGCAAAAUUCUAAUGCAAACACGAGGGAGAAAGAAUAGGUGAUAUAGGAAUGAUCAAGAGGGUUUGCUUGCCUUGUUGCUCUGCAGCAAAGGGCUGGUCAUCAUGAGGGUAGUCAUACCCGGCAGCACCGUCAGUCUCGGGGUCUACCGGUAAGAAGGAGGGGGGGGGAGAAACAAUAAAUAUAAACACAAAUAAUAUCACUAAGCAUGACAUGGCAAUAUGCAGGUCUAGGCAUGAGCUAACACAGUAUCAUCCGUCAUAGACAGAUUGGGAAAAUAUCGGAUGAUAUUUCUCGGGUCUCUCAUUACUACCGGACAUGCGAAACAGAUGGAAAAGUUCCAUGUUCGCUAUGCUAGGGACGCAUGACAGACGAACGGAUAGCGUAUCCGGGUUCGUCUCGUUUUGCACAUGAACUUUCAUGUUCAAAAUAUUUUCAUGUGACUUACAGUUUAUUUUAUAUUAUUUUUUAAAGUUUUAAUAUUUAUUAGGAAUUAAAGAAAUUUAAACAAUUUAGAUAAUUAAAUAUGACAUCAUUGUGAUGUCAGCAUAACAUCGGUAGUCAACAGGGUUUUGAGUGGUCAAAUAUGACCCGUGGGUCCCAUGUGUCAUAGGCACAUUUAUUUUUAGGGCUUAAUAAAUAUUUAAUCUAGUUAAUUAGUUGGGUGGGACCCAACUGUCAUACACUACUUCACGAUAUUUUAUUUAUCUUAAUUAACAGAUUUAGCUAACAGUAACUUACCUAAUCUUAAUCAUUAUAAUUAACUAAAAUACUUAUUUAUCUAUUAUUAUUAUUAUAUUAAAUCCUAAUUAUCCAAAACAAGAAUUACUAUUUAACUAAAUAAUUAAUUGAAUUAAUUGAUUUUAUUAAUAUUAAACAUUUAUAACAAUUUUUUUUUAUUUUUGCAUGUUUUUAUGAGGGACCCCACCUGUCAUUUGGUGGGAGUUGUGGGGCCCAUAUGUCAUUGGAACAACGAGACACACCUACACGACACGCACACACAAUCUGUACACACGUUUGUAUUCAUUCAUACAUACAUAUACACAUGCAUACAUAUAUUUGCACAUACACACAUCUGCACAUAUACAUACAUAUUCAUAUACACAUGCAUACNNNNNNNNNNNNNNNNNNNNNNNNNNNNNNNNNNNNNNNNNNNNNNNNNNNNNNNNNNNNNNNNNNNNNNNNNNNNNNNNNNNNNNNNNNNNNNNNNNNNNNNNNNNNNNNNNNNNNNNNNNNNNNNNNNNNNNNNNNNNNNNNNNNNNNNNNNNNNNNNNNNNNNNNNNNNNNNNNNNNNNNNNNNNNNNNNNNNNNNNNNNNNNNNNNNNNNNNNNNNNNNNNNNNNNNNNNNNNNNNNNNNNNNNNNNNNNNNNNNNGGGGGACGAGGGCAAGCGAGGGAGAGGGCGCUCGGUCCCUCGCAUGGUGGCGACGCUAGUGGGUGAGGGAGUGGGGCGCUCGGGGUGUGGGUUAGGUUUAGGUGGGGGUUAAAUACCCCAGGGGUGGCGUGGGCUUGUGGCUAGUUAGGUUGGCUGGGGGCCGACCCAAUGGUUUUUUUAUUUAUUUCUUUUCAAUUUAUGCUUUAGUUUCUUUUUAAACUUUGAUUUAUAAAAUAUGUAACUAGUCCCUAAUUUAGUUUUAGUAAUUAUGUCUCUGCCACAAAAAGGUUUAACCCCAACUAAGAAUAGUCUAGUAUUUCACAAAAUAUAAAAGGCACUUAUUUAAUCAUUUUGCUGUUGUUUUAAAAUAUUAUAGUGCAUUUAAACACUUCAUAAAAAUGUGGUUUGUUCACCAAUAUUAAUCAUGAUUUAUUUGCUACAACGUGAACAUUUUAGUUUUGAUAUUUGAAAACUUCUAUUGUUUGACUUUAUUUUAAAUUUGAAUUGGAAUCGGUUUUGAACUAACGCGAGAUUAACAACAGUAAUCACGGUGGCGUGGCAUCAUUAGCAUAGGAUUAUUGUAGCCUAGUUACAGAGAUCACUGUAGCAAAAACUGAGGAUGUCACAAUUAUAGUGAUAAUGGACAUGUGAAGAUGUGCCGAAGAGAGGCCUGCCCAUAGUGGAUUAUAGGGGAUCAAUCUACUAGUCUUCAUCAAGCCGGUGCAGUCAAGAAAGGUGGUCCAUCUUGAGGAGGACAAGAUCAUCAUCAUCUAGCUCGAGUGGACUAUGGACAAGGUAAAGGUUUGACCUUGAUAGGUUUUCUAUUUUUCCGGUCUCAUGGUGGUAGCUGGAAGACCGGGUUAUAGGAUCGAUUGUCUGACUAUCAAGGGGCUCUCAAGUAAGUAGCUUGGUCAUAUUGUUCGUAGAGAGCUCAACGAAUUGCAUUCUUGGCAUCAUCAUAUUUUUGGGUUCUUGUUUGGCUUUUAUCUGUGUCGGUCUUAGAGGUUAUGGUCAUAUUCAUGGCAAGCUCGAGUUCAUCGAAAACGGAGUUCACAUACAUCUUCUAUGAUGUUUUUUAUGUUGGAGUUUUUGCUGGUUCUUCAUUCAUAGAAGUUUCACAUCUCUAUAUCAUUGGCAUUUUUUGCUGUUUGGAUAGUACUUGUCAUAUCCUAUCCAACAACCUUGAGUUCGCUCAAUUUAGAGCCUGCAUGUAGAAGUUAUGGUGGUUCAGGCUUUAUUGUACCCAUCUAUUUUGCUUGGGCUUCUUUAUUGCACUCCCGCGAUAGUACCGCUCUGGGAAGCGAUAGUACCCCUUAUAAGUGGUACUUCUACUGACCACUACCGCGGCUACUACAGUGCUUUUGGGGACUCGACUUUUGGUGUCGGGUUUGCACGGUAGUGGGAUGGUAGUACGAGCAUUAGUACCGCUUACAAGCGGUAGUACCACUCGCCCACUUUCACUUAUCAAGUUGCUUGUGUAUCUUUCGCGCUCUCAGUAAUGGUAGGGCAAAAGCGAGUGCACAAUACUACAACUUAUAAGCGGCAGUACCGCUCACACUCGGCGGUGGUACCACUGUUGCAUUAGUGCAUCACUCCACUAAUCUGCCCUAUCUCCAUAGGCGCUUGAGAUGCAACCCCACUGGUAGUACUGCUAGGGCGAGCAGUAGUACUGCUCCAGCAACACUGCCACCUUGUGUGUCCUCGCCAUUUGAUGACCCACAAGUGCAGUGGUCUGUCGUAGCCUUUUCGAUAAGUAAGAGUGUCAAACCCAACAAGGAGCAGAAGGUACUGACAAGCGAUCUUGAGUAAGGAAUAACUGCAAGUACUGAAAGGUAACAUUUAUGGGUUUUCUGGUAUAAGUAGCAAGAAAAUAACAGCAGGGAAAGUAAAAGGUGCCGAGGUGCAGCAAGUGUCCCAAUAAUUUUGAACACAAAGGAUAAGUCGAGGGACUAAACUUAUAAAGACUAAUGCGUUCCUGAGGACAUACGGGAGAGAUAGUCAAGGGAUUUCACCAUAUUCCGUCUAGUACUAUGUUUUGUAUUGAUAAGUGUUAUGUGGGUUGAUCUUAACUAGUGCUCCGUCUAGGAAAAUACAAGUACACUCUUAUGAUUAAACUCCUUGCAAGCAUCCGCAAAUGCAAGAGAUAAAUUAAGGCAAAGCCUAACCAUAGAAAUAAGCUUUAGGAUCCAACACUCCCUCGUGCAAAAGCAUGCGAACUGGGGUUCAGGUUUCUGUCACUCCGGCAACCCACCAUAAGCAUUCUUUAUACAAGAUGCAUUCUCCUAGGCCCUUAAAAAGGUGAAGUGUUAUGUAGUCGACGUUCACAUAACACCACUAGAAGAAUAACACCAUAACUUAAAUAUCAAUGAACACAUAUUACUUCAACAUCAUAUGACUAUUAUGAACUAGACUUCUCCCAUGUCCUCAAGAACUAAAGUAACUACUCACGAGACAUAAAAGAGAUCAUGAUCAGAGGUGAUGAAAAUAUGACGAACAAUCUGGUCAUAACAAUAACUCUCCAACAAUACUCAAUAGCAUUCACCACAAAAGAGUAAUCAACAACGGUAGAGUAAGGGGGAUGAAUAGUGCAAGGUACAACUCCGAUUGCAAUGGUAAAGUGAGAUGGGGUGAAGAUGGAGAUGUGCUGGUGAUGAUGAUCUCGAUGAUGCCCGUGACGAUGGUGAAGACGAUGAGGACGAUCUCCCCUUCCGGGAGGAGUUCUUCCCGGCGGAAUUUGCCCGACGGAAAUGUCUUUUCUUCUAUGUAGGUUUCCGCCCCGGAGCGGCGGCAGAACUCCGGAAAAAAUUCUGUCCCCGUAACUUUUAGGUCACGAGGGUCAUAUAGGCGAAAGGAGAGCACCGGAGGCGGGACCCACCACCCAGGCGGCCUCUAGAGCGACCUAGGUGUGACCCGCGCCACCAGGUCGCCUGGGUGCCUGGUGGCCCCCCUCCGGCCCUUCUUCGGCCUGUCUUCGUGAUCUAUUCGGAAACUCCUUCCCCGUAAAUUUCAGCUCAAUUGGAGAUGUUCUGAUUUGGCAACUCUCCAUGCUAUUUUCUCCGCUGAAUCCCGUGUGUGCUGUUUCGGCACCGGAAAGUUGUAAACUGUGUAAAAUAAGCCAAAACACUAUAAGAACAACAUCAUAAUGUGAAAUAUAUCAAUGAAUAGAGACAAAUUAUGAUACAAAAUAGUGAUGCAUUUUGGAAGUAUCAACUCUCCUAAUCUUAGAUCUCACUUGUCCCCAAGCAAAUACUGAGCUCGGUAAACCUGUCCACAAGUUUAGAGAGUGAAGUGUCGAUAAAUAAGAAUACAGACAAGAAGCAUCAUAAUUUCUCUACUAAACUCAACCAUCCUCAACACCAAUCUCAACUCAUAAGGCGCAUAUGAAAGAGUAAUAUCAAUUAAAAUCAAAAGUAGGACUAAGGAAACUCAUCAAACCAUGGCAAAAAUGUCCUUGGUCAAAGAACAACUAAUAACUUUUAACUUUUGCUCUUCCUCUUAUAUUUUGAUGAGAUCAACUGAAGCUUUUUGAAAGAACAAGUUAUUAGUCAAGAAGUGAAAAUGCUAACACAAAGGAAGAUGUUUGCUUUAGCUAGGCUUAACAAACAACUUACUCAUAUUAAUGAUAAUGUCAACAAAGUUGUGAUAUGGCAAUUCUCAAUGAAACAAUAUAAAUGCAUGCAUCUUUGUCAACAUAAGGUGUCUGCUCUUUUAUAGGAUAGAAAUAAGUAGGUUAUUGACUCAACAUAAAAAUAAAGGAUUAGCCCUUCACAAAGGGAAGUAGGGAAAACUGAUGUGCUAGAGCUUCUAGAGAUUUUGAAAUCAACAAGAUUGUAAAACAAGCUUUUGAGAGGUGCAUAAUUCGUCAACGAAUCCUAGCAGAUAGCCCAAUACUUCUCAUGCUGGACAAGUUUUGAGGAACGACUCCCAAAGCAGGGACGAUCACAUCCCCUUAGUCUCCUUUUUUUAUCACUACCAAAGUUUUCUGAUUUCUCAUAAACAAAGCGUGAAGGAGGUUUUGUUUGUUGUUAUUAUAUUUUACGAGCUGGGCGCACUCAUGCCAGUCCCUCCUUGUAUUAGGGGUUCGCAUAUUAGACAUGCAAACCCAGGAUAAAGCUUUUCCAGUACGAGAAGAUCAUGAAUUAUCUACUACUUCCUCAUGAGCUAAACUAGAGGCACAAAAGAGGGAGUAAUAUUUGAAGGUUUAAAGAUAGCACAUGAGUAAUAUGCUUUAGGAGUGAUGAUGAAAUACCACAUAUAGGGAAGGUAUGGUGGACUCUUGGGAAGGUUGAGGUUUCAAUGUAUGGAUGCACAAGCAGUAUUCCCACUUAGUACAAGGGUUGGCUAGCAAAGGCUUUUGAGAGCAGACAAAUGAUGUUGACUUGGAUGCAGAACAAUAUAAAGUUUAACAUAAAGAAUUGGCAUGAAACAUCAAGUUGUCUUCCUUGUCAGCAUAACACUUCAAGCAUAAGAACAUAAAGGUUUUGGCUAUGUCGCUACUAGAAAAAUCAUGCUUGUUGUUAUGACCAAUGCUAUGUUUGCCAAGAUUAAAUAAAGUUUUCAAUGCCAUACAUGAUAUGUAAGAUCAAUACUCCCAUAAGAAUCAACGUAUAAGGUCGAUUGCAUGAAGAGAAUACCAGGUGCAGCAAAGAAACCAAUAGACUUCUCAUUAAUAUUCCAUCAUAGACAACUGCACACUCACGGAUAUAAGACUCUCCACAAAGGAGUGAUAGACCUCAAUGCAAACACCUCUUUCAUAAGAUAACUUCCCUAGACAUGAUACGCCACUAAACUUGACCAUAAAGGAUAAAGGAUAAAGAUAAAGAUACCGGGCACUCCCCCAAGCUUGGAACAAGCUAAGGGAAUGCCAUUACCCAUGAAGAUUUCACUCUCCAUCCUUGUUCUUGUUCCUCAGGUAAUCCUUAGUGAAAAGCUUCCAUGGAAAAGGUCCUCCCUCCACACAGGAUUCUUCAGUCCCCAGGAUCCUGCUUUCGGCAGAUAAGCCCAUGCGCAAAACUUUAGUUCAUACUCACAGUUCUGGUUUUGAAGGUCAUAGAUGUACCCUUGAAGCUCGGACACUUUGGUUUCCAGUGCGGAUAUGAUUGAUCGCACUCCCUUUAUCUCCUUCUCAUGUUGCUUCUUCAGCUCGACGAUGAUAUCGAAAUUGGCCUCGACACCACGCUCGAUCAUCAACUUGUACUUGAAGACUUCUUGCUCCACUUCUUCCAUCAUAGCCUCGGUGCCCCCCUCCUUGACAAGCCCCUCCAAAUCUUCUUUGUGGAGGACAUCAUCCUCCACCCAGAGUUUUUGAGGGUGUCUCUUUACGUCUGCGAGGUAAUGGUUGAUGACGUUGAUGAAGAACUUGUCCUUGGGGGAGUUUGGGGAAGCCAUGGCACCUAGGUUUGCUGAAAGUUCUCCUGGCACAAAUAGAUCGAAAAGAAAACACACAGAAUUGCAAGAUACAAUACCGGGACGAUCCGGAAAAAUAUAUGGCAAAAAUUUCUGCAUCAAAAGGAAGGUAACAAGCGAAAGUGGGGUCGGAGACGGACUCCGGGUGAUCCACGCAGCCUCCUGGUGCGGCCAGGAGGUAGCCUGUGCCACCAGGUCGCCUGGAGCCCCUAGAGCUCCUCUCUGGCUCCAAUUUGGCUCUGAAUUUUCCUAAUUUUGCAAAAACACAUAAUACAAAACUUUUAUUGAUGUUCGCCAAGUUUCCUUACCAUAUUUCAGUUGGGGAACGUUGCAUGGGAAACAAAAAAUUUCCUACGCACACGAAGACCUAUCAUGGUGAUGUUCAUCUACGAGAGGGAGAUCGGAUCCACAUACCCUUGUAGAUUGCUAAGCAGGAACCGUUAAGAAACGCGGUUGAUGUAGUGGUACAACUUCGUGAUUCAAAUUACCGUCGUCCCAUGAUCCGUCCCACGAUCCGUCCCGAUCUAGAACUGAACGGAUGACACCUCCAUGUUCAGCACACGUAUAGCUCGAUGACGAUCUCCGCCUUCUUGAUCCAGCAAGAGAGACGAGGAAGUAGAUGAGUUCUCCGGCAGCGUGACGGCGCGUCGGUGAUGGUGAUGAUCUAUUCUAGCAGGGCUCCGCCCGAGCUCCGCAGAAAUCCGAUCUAGAGGUAGAACUACGAGGUAUAGGUUUGAGUUGCACGUGGCAAAGUUGUAUCUCAAAACCCUAAAACCACCAGUCUAUAUAGGAGGAGGGGAGGGGCUAGCCUUGGGGCUCAAGAGAGCCCCAAGGGCGCCGGCCGAAGGAGGAGAUGGACUCCCACUCCAAUUCGGUUUGGAGGAGGAGGAGUCCACUCCUUCCUUCCCACCUCCCUCUUUUUUUUCUUUUUGGUUUUACCUCUUGUGGUGGCAUAGUCCACUUGGGCUGGCCUCACCAGCCCACUAAGGGCUGGUGCGCCACUCUAGGACUAUUGGGCUCACUCCCGGGUGGGUGGGCCCCUCGCGGUGAAUACUCAGAACCCAUUCAUCACUCCCGGUACACUGCCCGUAAUGCACGAAAUCUUUCCGGUGACCAAAUGAAACCAUCCUAUAUAUCAAUCUUCAUUUCCAGACUAUUCCGGAAACCCUCGUGACGUCCGUGAUCUCAUCCGAGACUCCGAACAACCUUCGGUCACCAACACCUAUAACUCAACUAUACUAAAACGUCAUUGAACAUUAAGUGUGCAGACCCUGCGGGUUCGAGAACUAUGCAGACAUGACCCGAGACACUCCCCGGUCAAUAUCCAAUAGGGGGACCUGGAUGUCCAUAUUGGAUCCUACAUAUUCAACGAAGAUCUUAUCGAUUGAAUCUCCGUGCCAAGGAUUCAUAUAAUCCCGUAUAACAUUCCCUUUGUCCUUCGGUAUGUUACUUGCCCGAGAUUUGAUCAUUGGUAUCUCUAUACCUAUUUCAAUCUUGUUACCGGCAAGUCUCUUUAUCGUUCCGUAAUACAAGAUCUCGUGACUUACACUUGAGUCACAUUGCUUGCAAGGCUUGUAUGUGAUGUUUUAUUACCGAGUGGGCCCUGAGAUACCUCUCCGUCACACGGAGUGACAAAUCCCAUUCUUGAUCCAUGCUAACUCAACAGACACCUUCGAAGAUACACGUAGAUCACCUUUAUAGUCACCCAGUAACGUUGUGACAUUUGAUACACACAAGGUAUUCCUCCGGUGUCAGUGAGUUACAUGAUCUCAUGGUCAUAGGAGUGAAUACUUGACACGCAGAAAACAAUAGCAAUAAAAUGACACGAUCACAUGCUACGUUCAUAGUUUGUGUCUUGUCCAUCACAUCAUUCUCCUAAUGAUGUGAUCUAGUUAUCAAGUGACUACACUUGCAUAUGAUCAGAAAACCUUAACCAUCCUUGAUCAACUGGCUAGUCAACUAGAGGCUUACUAGGGACAUUGUUUUGUCUAUAUAUCCACACAUGUAUCUAUGCUUUCAUUUAAUACAAUUAGAGCAUGGAUAAUAAACAAUUAUCUUGAAACAGGAAAUAUAAUAAUAACUAUUUUAUCAUUGCCUCUAGGGCAUAUUUCCAACAGUCUCCCACUUGCACUAGAGUCAAUAAUCUAGUCUCACAUCGCUAUGCGAUUUACAUUGGAAUGAAUCUAACACCCAUACAGUUCUGGUGUUGAUCAUGCUUCGCUCGUGGAAGAGGUUUAGUCAGCGGAUCUGCUACAUUCUGAUCCGUGUGCACUUUGCAAAUAUUUACGCCCACUCCUUCGACGUAGUCGCGGAUGAGGUUGAAGCGUCGCUUGAUGUGUCUAGUCUUCUUGUGAAACCUUGGUUCCUUUGCUAAAGCAAUGGCACCAGUGUUGUCACAGAACAGAGUUAUUGGAUUCAGUGCGCUCGGCAGCACUCCAAGAUCCAUCAUGAACUGCUUCAUCCAGACACCCUCCUUAGCUGCCUCCGAGGCAGCCAUGUAAUCCGCUUCACAUGUAGAAUCAGCUAUGAUGCUUUGCUUGGAACUACACCAUAUUAUCGCACCCCCAUUAGGAAUAAAUACGUAUCCGGUUUGAGACUUAGAGUCAUCCGGAUCAGCGGCAAAGCUUGCAUCCACGUAACCCUUUGCGAUGAGCUCUUCGUCACCUCCAUAAACGAGAAACAUUUCCUUAGUCCUUUUCAGGUACUUCAGAAUAUUCUUGACCGCCGUCCAGUGAUUCUCUCUUGGAUUACUUUGAAACCUGCCUGCCAUACUUAUGGCCAGGCUGAUGUCCGGUCUAGUGCACAACAUUGCAUACAUGAUAGACCCUAUGGCUGAAGCAUAUGGGACGAUACUCAUCUUUUCUCUUCUUCCACAGUAACUGGACACUGAGUCUUACUCAACUUUAUACCUUGUAAUACUGGCAAGAACCCCUUCUUGGACUGCUCCGUUUUGAACUUCUUCAAAACUUUAUCAAGGUAUGUGCUUUGUAAAAGUCCUAUUAGGCGUCUCGAUCUAUCCCUAUAGAUCUUAAUGCCUAAUAUGUAAGCAUCUUCUCCUAGGUCCUUCAUUGAAAAACAUUUGUUCAAGUAAUAUUUUACACUCCCUAAAAACUCCACAUUGUUUCCAAUCAGCAAUAUGUCAUCCACAUAUAAUAUUAGAAACGCUACAGAGCUCCCACUCACUUUCAUGUAAAUACAAGAUUCUCCAACAACUUGCAUAAACCCAAAUGCUUUGAUCACCUCAACAAAGCGCUUAUUCCAACUCCGAGAUGCUUGCACCAGUCCAUAAAUGGAUCGCUGGAGCUUGCACACUUUGUUAUCAUUCUUCGGAUCGACAAAAACUUCGGGUUGCAUCAUAUACAACUCUUCCUUAAGAAAACCGUUAAGGAACCCUGUUUUGACAUCAAUCUGCCAGAUUUCAUAAUCAAAAAAUGCAUCUAUUGCUAACAUGAUUCGGACGGACUUAAGCAUCGCUACCGGUGAGAACGUAUCAUCGUAGUCAACUCCUUGAACUUGUAAAAAACCCUUUGCCACAAGUUGAGCUUUUAAAACGGUCACAUUACCGUCCGCGUCCGUCUUCUUCUUAAAGAUCCAUUUGUUCUGAAUAGCCUUGCGACCUUCAGGUAAUACUUUCGAAGUCCACACUUUGUUUUCAUACAUAGAUCCUAUCUCGGACUUCAUGGCCUCGAGCCAUUUGUUGGAAUCCAGGCCCACCAUUGCUUCUUCAUAAUUCAUAGGUUCAUUGUUGUCUAACAACAUGAUAGAUAAGACAGGAGUACCGUACUACUCAGGAGCAGUACGUGAUCUUGUCGACCUGCGAGGUCCGAUAGUAACUUGAUCCGAAGCUUCAUGAUCAUCAUCAUUAGCUUCCUCCUCAACCGGCGUCGCCUCGACAGAGGUUUCCCCCUUCCGUGCGCCACCAUCUAGAGGGAGUAGAGGUUCUACAACCUCAUCAAGUUCUAUCUUCCUCCCACUCAAUUCUUUCGAGAGAAAUUCCUUCUCAUGAAAAGCUCCGUUCUUAGCAAUAAACACUGUGCCCUCGGAUCUGAGAUAGAAGGUGUACCCAACUAUCUCCUUUGGGUAACCUAUGAAGACGCACUUUUCCGCUUUGGAUUCCAGCUUUUCAGGCUGAAGCUUUUUGACAUAAGCAUCGCAUCCCCAAACUUUAAGAAAGGACAACUUUGGCCUCUUGCCAUACCAUAGCUCAUAUGGUGUCGUCUCAACGGAUUUUGACGGUGCCCUAUUUAAAGUGAAUGCAGCUGUCUCUAAUGCAUAACCCCAAAACGAUAAUGACAAAUCGGUAAGAGACAUCAUAAAUCGCACCAUAUCUAACAAAGUACAAUUACGGCAUUCGGACACACCAUUACGCUGUGGUGCUCUAGGCGGUGUUAACUGAGAAAUGAUUCCACAUUGUAUUAAGUGAGCACCAAACUCGAAAGUCAGAUAUUCAGCCCCUCGAUCAGAACGUAGGAACUUGAUCUUCUUGUUACGAUGAUUUUCAACUUCACUCUAAAAUUGCUUGAACUUCUCAAACGUUUCAAACUCGUGCUUCAUCAAGUAGAUAUAUCCAUACCUACUCAAAUCAUCAGUGAAGGUGAGAAAAUAACGAUAUCCUCCGCGCGCCUCCACACUCAUUGGACCGCAUACAUCAGUAUGUAUGAUCUCCAACAAGUCACUUGCACGCUCCAUUGUUCCAGAGAACGGAGUCUUAGUCAUCUUGCCCAUGAGGCAUGGUUCGCAUGUGUCAAGAGAUUCAAAAUCAAGUGACUCCAAAAGCCCAUCGGUAUGGAGUUUCUUCAUGCGCUUUACACCAAUAUGACCUAAGCGGCAGUGCCACAAAAACGUGGCGCUAUCAUUGUGAACUCUACAUCUUUUGGUCACAAUGUUAUGUAUAUGUGUGUCAUCACAAUCAAGAUUCAAUAUGAACAAACCUCUCACGUUGGAUGCAUGUCCAUAAAAGAUAUUACUCAUAAAAAUAGAACAACCAUUAUUAUCUGACUUAAAUGAGUAACCGUCUCGCAAUAAACAAGAUCCAGAUACAAUGUUCAUGCUUAACGCAUGCACUAAAUAAAAAUUAUUUAAGUUCAUAACUAAUCCCGAUGGUAAAUGAAGUGAGACUGUGUCGACGGCGAUUGCAUCAACCUUGGAACCAUUUCCCACGCGCAUCGUCACUUCAUCCUUCGCCAGCCUCGUUUAUUCCGCAGUUCCUGCUUCGAGUUGCAAAUAUGAGCAACAGAACCAGUAUCAAAUACCUAGGCACUACUACGAGAGUUGGUUAAGUACACAUCAAUAACAUGUAUAUCACAUAUACUUGCUUUUUCUUUGGCCGCCUUCUUAUCAGCCAAAUAUUUGGGGUAGUUGCGCUUCCAGUGACCCAUGCCCUUGCAAUAAUAGCACUGUGUUUCCGGCUUAGGUCCAGCAUUGGGUUUCUUCGUUGGAUUGGCAACAGUUUUGCUGCUCUUCUUGGAGUUACCCUUCUUGCCUUUGCUGUUUCUCUUGAAACCAGUGGUCUUAUUGACCAUCAACUCUUGAUGCUCUUUCCGGAGUUCUGACUCUGUGACUUUCAGCAUCGCGAAUAACUCGCCGGGUGACUUGUUCAUCACUUGCAUGUUAUAGUUCAACACAAAGCUCUUAUAGCUAGGUGGCAAUGAUUGAAGAAUUCUGUGAGUGAUAGCCUCUUGCGGGAGUUCAAUCCCCAGCUCAGCUAGACGGUUUGAGUACCCAGACAUUUUGAGCACAUGUUCACUGACAAACGAAUUCUCCUCCAUCUUCCAAGCAUAUAAUUUAUCGGAGGUAUCAUACCUCUCGAUCCGGGCGUUCUUAUGAAAGAUAAACUUCAACUCCUGGAACAUCUCAUAUGCUCCAUGACGCUCAAAGCGCCGUUGAAGUCCCGGUUCUAAGCCAUACAAGACUGCACAUUGAACUAUUGAGUAGUCCUCCUUAUGCGAUUGCCAAGCAUUCAAAACAUCUUGGUCAGACGUAGCGGGUGGUUCAUCUCCUAGCGCAGCAUCAAGGACAUAAUUCUUUUUCCCAGCUUGUAGGAUGAGCCUAAGAUUACGUGCCCAGACUACAAAGUUGCUUUCAUCAUCUUUCAACAUAGCUUUCUCUAGGAACGUAUUGAAAUUCAGGGUUGCUACUGCGUGAGCCAUUGAUCUACAACAUAAAAUAUUGCAAAGUGGACUUAGACUAUGUUCAAGACAAUUAGAGUUUAACUAAUCAAAUUACUAAUAAAUUCCUACUCAAAUAGACAUCCCUCUAGUUACUUGAGUGUGACAUGAUCCAAAUUCACUAACUCAAGUCCGAUCAUCACAUGAGUUGAGUAUAGUUUCAGUGGUAAACAUCUCUAUGCUAAUCAUAUCAACUAUACGAUUCAUGCUCGACCUUUCGGUCUCUUGUGUUCCUAGGCCAUGUCUGCACAUGCUAGGCUCGUCAAGUUUAACCCGAGUGUUUCGCGUGUGCAACUGUUUUGCACCAGUUGUAUGUGAAUGUUGAGUCUAUCGCACACGAUCAUCACGUGGUGUCUCUAAACGACGAACUGUCGCAACGGUGCACAGUCGGGGAGAACACAAUUUUAUCUUGAAAUUUUAGUGAGGGAUCACCUUAUAAUGCUACCGUCGUUCUAAGAAAGAUAAGGUGCAUAAAAGGAUUAACAUCACAUGCAAUUCAUAAGUGACAUGAUAUGGCCGUGAUCUUGUGCUUCUUAAUCUCCACCACCAAAGCACCGGCAUGAUCUCCUUGUCACUGGCGCCACACCAUGAUCUCCAUCAUCAUGAUCUCCAUCAUCGUGCCGCCAUCGAGGUUGUCGUGCUAUCUAUGCUAUUACUACUAAAGGUACAACCUAGCAAUAUAGUAAAUGCAUCUGCAAACACAAACGUUAGUUUAAAGACAACCCUAUGGCUCAUGCCGGUUGCCGUAGCAUCGACGUGCAAGUCGAUAUUAACUAUUACAACAUGAUCAUCUCAUACAUCCAAUAUAUCACAUCAUGUCUUUGGCUAUAUCACAUCACAAGCAUACCUUGCAAAAACAAGUUAGACGUCCUCUAAUUUGUUGUUGCAUGUUUUACGUGGCUGCUAUGGGUAUCUAGUAUGAUCGCAUCUUACUUACGUAAAAACCACAAUGGAGAUGUGCAAAUUGCUAUUUAACCUCUCUCCAAGGACCGCCUCGGUCAAAUCCAAUUCAACUAAAGUUGAAGAAUCCGACACCCGCCAGUCAUAUUUAUGCAACGACUUGCAUGUUGGUCGAUGAAACCAGUCUCUCGUAAGCGUGCGAGUAAUGUCGGUCUGGGCCGCUUCAAUCCAACAAUACCGCCGAAUCGAGAAAAGACUAAGGAGGGCAGCAAAUCGAACAUCAACUCCCACAAAAACUUUUGUGUUCUACACGAGAUUACAUCUACGCAUGAACCUAGAUCAUGAUGCCACAGUUGGGGAACAUUGCAUGGGUAACAAAAAAUUUCCUACGCACACGAAUACCUAUCAUGGUGAUGUUCAUCUACGGGAGGGAGAUCGGAUCCACAUACCCUUGUAGAUUGCUAAGCGGGAAGCAUUAAGAGACGCGGUUGAUGUAGUGGUACAGCUUCGUGAUUCAAAUCACCGUCGUCCCACGAUCCGUCUCGAUCUAGCACCGAACGAACAACACCUCCGCGUUCAGCACACGUACAGAUCGAUGACGAUCUCUGCUUUCUUGAUCCAGAAGAGAGACAGGGAAGUAGAUGAGUUCUCCGGCAGCUUGACGGCGCACCGGUGAUGGUGAUCUAUUCCAGCAGGGAUCCGCCUGAGCUCCGCAGAAAUCCGAUCUAGAGGUAGAACUACGAGGUAUAGGUUUGAGUUGCACGUGGCAAAGUUGUGUCUCAAAAACCCUAAAACCACCAGUAUAUAUAGGAGGAGGGGAGGGGCUAGCCUUGGGGUUCAAGAGAGCCCCAAGGGCGCCGACCGAAGGAGGAGAUGGACUCCGACUCCAAGUCGGUUUGGAGGAGGAGGAGUCCACUCCUUCCUUCCGACCUCCCUCUUUUUUUUUCUUUUUGGUUUUUCCUCUUGUGGCGCCAUAGUCCACUUGGCCUGGCCUCACCAGCCCACUAAGGGAUGGUGCGCCACCCUAGGACUAUUGGGCUCACUCCCGGGUGGGUGGGCCCCUUGCUACGACAACAGACAACAGUGCAAGAGAUUGACACGUUGAUGGAGACUGGGCUUGCGUUGGUUUUUCCCUUGAAGAGGAAAGGAUGGUGCAGCACAUGAGAAGUAAGUAUUUCCCUCAGUUUGAGAAAGAAGGUAUAAAUUCAGUAGGAGAAUCUCGUCAAGUCUAGAGUACGUGCGCAAGCACAAAAGAGCUUGCAGCCAACACUAUAAAGGGGUUGUCAAUCCCUUCAAGAUUGAUUGCAAAGUGAGAUCUGAACGCGGAAAGUGCAACGAAGUAAAAGUGUAAGGCUGAAAUAUAGUGUGGAGUAGACUCGGGUGCCAUAGUGUUCACUAGAGGCUUCUCCUAAAAUAGCAAAUAUUACGAUGGGUGAACAAAUUACUGUCGAGCAAUUGAUAGAACCGCACAAAGUCAUGAUGAUAUCUAAGGCAAUGAUCAUACAUAUAGGCAUCACGUCCGAGACAAGUAGACCAAUUCUUUCUGCAUCUACUACUAUUACUCCACACAUCGACCGCUAUCCAGCAUGCAUCUAAUGUAUUGAGUUCAUGACGAACAGAGUAAUGCCUUAAGCAAGAUGACAUGAUGUAGAGGGAUAAUCUCAAACCAAUGAUGAAAGCCCCAUCUUUUUACCGUUGUUGGCAACAACACGAUGCGUGCCUCGCUACCCCUUCUGUCACUGGGUGAGGUCACCGCACGGUAUGAACCCAAAACCAAGCACUUCUCCCAUUGCAAAAAUCAUAGAUCAAGCUGGCCAAACAAAACCCACAACUCGAAGAGAAUUACAAGGAUAUGAAAUCAUGCAUAAGAGAGAUCAGAAGAAACUCAAAUAAGAUUCAUAGAUAAUCUGAUCAAAAAUCCACAAUUCAUCGGAUCUCGACAAACACACCGCAAAAGAAGAUUACAUCGGAUAGAUCUCCAUGAAGAUCAUGGAGAACUUUGUAUUGAAGAUCCAAGAGAGAGAAGAAGCCAUCUAGCUACUAGCUAUGGACCCGUAGGUCUAUGGUGAACUACUCACGCAUCAUCGGAGAGGUCAUGGUGUUGAUGAAGAAGCCCUCCGUGUCCGAAUCCCCCCUCCGGCAGGGCACCAGAACGUGCCCCAGAUGGCAUCUUGCGGAGACAGAAGCUUGCGGCGGCGGAAAAGUACUUUCGAUGAUCUCCUGAUUUUUUCUAGAAUUUUAGGGAAUAUAUAGGCGAAAGACCUAGGGCAGGGGAGCCACGGGGAGCUCACAAGCCUGCUAGGCCCAACCCCCCUAGGCCGGGCCUGGUGGGCUUGUGACCUCCUCCAAGGUCCCCUGCCUUGGUUCUCAAGUCUCCUCGUGUCUUCUGUUAUGGAAAAAAAUCAUUCCGCAGGUUUAUUCCGUUUGGACUCCAUUUAAAAUCCUCCUCUGAAAAGGGUCAAAAACACGAAAAAAACAGGAACUGGCACUUGGCACUGAGUUAAUAAGUUAGUCCCCAAAAAGAUAUAAAAGGCAUACAAAGCAUCCAAAGUUUGACAAGAUAAUAGCAUGAAACCAUAAAAAAUUAUAGAUACGUUGGAGAUGUAUCACCCCUCCCAGUGAAUACCCAACACCCAUUCGUCACUCCCGGUACACUGCCGGUAAUGACCGAAUUCUUUCCGGUGACCAAAUGAAACCAUCCUAUAUAUCAAUGUUCGUUUCUGGACCAUUUCGGAAACCCUCGUGACGUCCGUGAUCUCAUCCGGGACUCCGAACAACCUUCGGUCACCAACAACUAUAACUCAACUGUACUAAAACGUCAUCGAACCUUAAGUGUGCAGACCCUCCGGGUUCGAGAACUAUGCAGACAUGACCCGAGACACUCCCCGGUCAAUGUUCAAUAGAGGGACCUGGAUGUCCAUAUUGGAUCCGACAUAUUCUAUGAAUAUCUUAUGGGUUGAUUCUCUGUGCCAAGGAUUCAUAUAAUCCCGUAUAACAUUCCCUUUGUCCUUCGGUAUGUUACUUGCCCGAGAUUUGAUCGUUGGUAUCUCCAUACCUAUUUCAACCUCGUUACCGGAAGUCUCUUUACUCAUUCCGUAAUACAAGAUCCCGUGACUUACACUUGAGUCACAUUGCUUGCAAGGCUUGUAUGUGAUGUUGUAUUACCUAGUGGGCCCCGAGAUACCUCUCCGUCACACGGAGUGACAAAUCCCAGUCUUGAUCCAUGCUAACUCAACGGACACCUUCGGAGAUACAUGUAGAGCACCUUUAUAGUCACCCAGUAACGUUUUGACGUUUGAUACACACAAGGUAUUCCUCGGGUGUCAGUGAGUUACAUGAUCUCAUGGUCAUAGGAGUGAAUACUUGACAUGCAGAAAACAAUAGCAAUAAAAUGACACAGUCACAUGCUACAUUUGUAGUUUGGGUCUUGUCCAUCACAUCAUUCUCCUAAUGAUGUAAUCCAGUUAUCAAGUGACAACACUUGCAUAUGAUCAGAAAACCUUAACCAUCCUUGAUCAACUGGCUAGUCAACUAGAGGCUUACUAGGGACAUUAUUUUGUCUAUAUAUCCACACAUAUAUCUAUGCUUUCAUUCAAUACAAUUAUAGCAUGUAUAAUAAACGAUUAUCUUGAAACAGUAAAUAUAAUAAUAACUAUUUUAUCAUUGCCUCUAGGGCAUAUUUCCAACAAUUUCAUACCUAUUCUUAUUCUGCUUCUGCUCGUGUCUGACACGGUACUGCAAUAUGUUCUUCAUGAGUAGCUACGUGUAUCACAUCCACCUCUACAUUGAUGGGAUCUCCAGCCAUGUAAUGCUUGAGUCUUUGCCUCUUCACAACAUGUGGUUUGUUGCCUUCAAAAUUGUUAAUCUUGAUUGCACCAGAGCGGUAGAAUUCUUCGACAUGGUACGGUCCUUCCCACUUGGAAAGUAAUUUACCUGGAGAAAACCUGAAACGAGAUCUAUACAACAAAACUUUAUCACCAACAUUAAAUUCAAGUUUCAAAAUUCUCUUGUCAUGCGACUUCUUUAAAUUUUCUUUGAACAUUUUUGCACUCUCGUAAGCUUCACUUCUCCACUCAUCUAGAGAAGUCAAGUUCAUGAGUGGCUUUUCACCAGCAAGCUUUGGGCCAGCAUUAAGCUCUCUAACAACCUAGAAAUAUUUGUGCUCUAACUCUAAAGGUAAAUGGCAUUCCUUGCCAUAGACCAUCUUAUACGGAGACAUUCCCAUGGGAUUUUUGUAAGGAGUUCUAUACGCCCACAAGGCAUCCCCUAACUUUUUGGACCAGUCCUUUCUAGAACUGUUCACUGUCUUUUGCAAGAUCAACUUGAUCUCUCUAUUUGUGAGCUCAACUUGCCCACUUGUUUGAGGGUGGUAAGGUGAAGCAAUUCUAUGAUUAACAUCAUAUUUGGCUAGAGCUUUUCUAAAAGCAGCAUGUGUAAAAUGUGAUCCUCCAUCGGUCAUGAGGUACCUAGGUACACCAAACCUAGGGAAGAUUACACCCUUGAGCAUUUUCAAAGAUGUGUUGUGAUCAACACUUUCAGUGGGGAUUGCCUCAACCCACUUGGUCACAUAAUCAACAACCACUAAGAUGUGAGUGUACUUGUGUGAAGGAGGAAAAGGACCCAUAAAAUCGAAACCCCAGCAAUCAAAAGGCUCAAUGACUAGAGAAUAAUUCAUAGGCAUCUAAUUUCUCCUACUGAUAUUACCAACUCUUUGACACUUAUCACAAGAUAAAACAUAAUUUCUAGCGUCUUUAAAGAGAGUAGGCCAAUAAAAACCUGACUGGAGAACCUUAUGUGCGGUUCUCUCACCGGCAUGAUGUCCUCCAUAAGGAUUGUUAUGACAUUAUGUCAAGAUAUCCUUCUGCUCAUGCUUCGGUAUGCAUCUCCUCAUGAUCCCAUCCACACCUUCUCUAAAAAGAUGUGGGUCAUCCCAAAAGUAAUACCUCAAGUUGGGGAAGAAUUUCUUCCUUUGCUGGAAUGUUAAACCUGGAAGCAAAAACUUUGCAACAAUAAAGUUAGCAUAAUUUGCAUACCAUGGAUCGGAAUUAGAUUGUACCUUCAAAAAAGCUAACUGUUCAUCAGGAAAACUAUCGUUGACCGGAAUAGGAUCAUGUGGUAUGUCCUCCAUCCUGGAAAGGUUGUCUGCUACAGGGUUGUCUGCUCCCUUCCUAUCAACAAUCUGCAAAUCAAAUUCUUGAAGAGGAAGGACCCAUCUGAUAAGCCUUGGUUUGGCAUCCUUCUUUUCCAUAAGAUACUUAAUAGAAGCAUGAUCAGUAUGAAUGAUGACUUUUGAAUCAAUGAUGCAAGGCCUAAAGUUAUCAAAAGCAAACACUAACGCCAAAAACUCUAUCUUAGUAGUAGCAUAAUUCUUUUGAGCACUGUCAAGGGUUUUACUAGCAUAAUGUAUAACAUUCAAUUUCUUAUCAACACUUUGUCCUACCACCGCUCCAACAACAAAAUCACUAGCAUCACACAUGAUUUCAAAAGGCAAAUUCCAAUCAGGUGGUUGGACUAUAGGGGCGGUUAUCAAGGCUUACUUAAGAAUUUCGAAGGCUUCCUUACAAUCUUCAUCAAACACAAAAGGAAUAUCCUUUUGGAGAAUAUUAGUGAGGGGUUUUGAAGUCUUAUAAAAGUUUUUAAUAAAUAUUCUAUAGAAACCGGCAUGAUCGAGGAAACUACGAAUACCUCUGAUGUCCUUUGGAUAAGGCAUCCUAUCGAUUGCUUCGACCUUUGACCUGUCCACCUCGAUUCCCUUUCAGAAAUCUUAUGGCCAAGAACAAUUCCCUCAUUGGCCAUGAAGUGACACUUAUCCCAGUUGAGUACCAAGUUCAUUUCCUCACAUCUCUACAAAACUUUAUUAGGGUUGUGGAGACAAUGGUCACAAGAGGUUCCAUAGACGGAGAAAUCGUCCAUGAAGACCUCCACAAUUUCCUCACAAAAACCAUGAAAGAUAGCAUACAUACACCUUUGAAAAGUAUCAGGAGCAUUGCAUAAACCAAAAUACAUACAUCUAUAAGCAUAAGUACCAAAGGGACAAGUAAAAGUGGUCUUCUCUUGAUCGGCAGUAUUAACAUGAAUUUGAGAGAAGGUAGAAUACCCAUCAAGAUAGCAAAAUUGAGUGUUUUUGGAUAACCUUUCAAGCAUUUGGUCGAUGAACGGCAACGGGUAGUGGUCCUUCCUGGUUGCUUUUUUCAUAUUCCUCUAAUCAAUACAAAUUCUAUAUCCAAUAAUAAUUCUUUGAGGUAUUAGUUGAUUCUUAUCAUUAGGAACCACAGUCGUACCUCCUUUCUUGGGAACACAAUGUACCAGACUUACCCACUUACUAUCAGCUAUAGGAUAGAUAAUACAUGCGGCUAGAAGCUUGAGGAUUUUGGUCCUCACAACAUCCUUCGUCGUCGGGUUCAACCGUCGUUGAUGAUCAACAACCGGUUUAGCAUCAGGCUCAAGAUUGAUAGUAUGCUGACAAAUAGAUGGACUAAUCCCCUUAAGAUCAUCAAGGGUAUAGCCAAUAGCACCUCGGUGUUUACGAAGGACUUCCAAUAAUUGCUCUUCUUCAUAUCCUGAAAGGUUAGCAUUGAUAAUAAGAGGAUAUACUUUCUUUUCAUCUAAAUAAGCAUACUUGAGCGUAUUGGGAAGAGGUUUAAGAUCAAACACCGGAUCUUCUUUUGGUUUCGAUAAAAUUCCCAAAGGCUCAACCGGAAGGUUGUGCUUCAGGAUAGCAGGUUGUCUCAAGAAUAUGUCGUCUAGCUCAUUCCUUUCCUGCAUAUGCAUAUCAUUCUCGUGGUCCUCCAUAAAUUGCUGCAAAGGAUCGUUAGGAGGAAUAGAAAUAGAAGCAUUCUCUUGAAUAAUUUUAUCAUUACUAGACAAAUCAGUAUCACGAGUUUUCUUCGAGAAUUUAGGAAAGUUAAAUUCAUAUGGCUCACCAUUAAAUUCAACAUAUACUUUUCCUUUCCUGUAAUCUAUAAUAGCUCCAUAAGUUUUGAGAAAGGCCUACCAAAGAUAAUAGGGCAAAAACUAUCUUGCAGUGAACCAAGUACUAGAAAGUCGGUAGGAUAUUUUACCUUUCCACAUAGGACUUCAACAUCUUGCACAACUCCAAUAGGAGAGAUAGUUUCUUUGUUUGCAAGAUGAAUAGUAACAUCAACGUCUUCAAUUUCACAUGGUAUGAUCUCAUUCAUGAUCUCUUGAUAAAGUGAAAAAGGAAUAGCACUAGCACUGGAUCCCAAAUCACAUAGCCCGUAAUAAUUAUGAUCCCCUAUUUUAACAGAUGCAACUGGAGUACCUGAAAUUGGGCCUUUAUUCUUGGCUGUAACAAGGUUGGUAUAAACAACACAAAAAUUUAUAUUGGAAUCCUCAAUAUUACUAGUAACAAGAUCCUUGACUAAUGCAACUUGAGGAUGGACCUUAAUCAAGUCCUCAUGCUCAUCAGUCGUUCUUUCACUUUUAUUCAGUAUGCCCGUGACAAAAGAAUGCUCCCUCAUCCUUGUGGGAAAAGGGGGCUUUUCAUAUAAAACUGCAGGCAAGAUAGGGUCAACAACAUUGAUACCAACAGGUAAUUCCUUAAAAGGUUUAUGGUAUUGAUCCCCCCUUUUCUUAGAAGAAUCAAUAUGAGCGGCAAAGUCUUUGCAAAAAUCAAUUAGAAGCCGGGAAUCAAGACCAAUCUUAGCACAAAAGGUAUUGAAGUAAUCAAAUUUCACAUAGCUCUCAAUGUAAUCAUGCUCAUAAUUUAUAACGGGUUCAAUACCUUUAUCAAUCUCCCAAUCUUCAGUAUUCUUCUGGAUCCUUUCAAUAAGAUCCCACCUAGCUUCAGUGCUUUUGUUGAAGAAUGCCCCACUAGAGGAGGCAUCAAGCAUCUCUUUAUCUUGACGAGAAAGCCUUGCAUAAAAAUUUGUAAGAAUAAUUUCCUUGGGGAGCUCAUGAUUGAGACAUUUGAGCAUUAGUGACUUAAAUCUCCCCAAGCUUGAGCGAUGCUUUCUCCGUCACGAUAUCAAAAGUUAUAAAUAUAAUUCUUGUUUCGAUGUAUUUCAUGAAGAGGAUAAAACUUUGCAUAAAAGAGAGGCAUAAGAUGUUACCGAUUUACCAAAUGAGAGUUAUCAAGAAGCCUAUACCAAUCCAAAGCAUUAUCUUUUAAUGAUAGAGAGAAUAGCUUUCUCAUAACAAAAUCCAUCGAUAUACCUGCAAGCUUAAAUAAGGAGCAUAGUUGUGAAAGAUAUAGCAAGUGUUCGCGUGGAUGUCUAUCUCCUGCAUAUCGAUUAGCUAAGACACAAUCAAUAAUACCAGUUGGUAUUUUAAAGGGCACAAUUUUAGUAGGUGGGGGAGGCUUCUCCACCACAAUAGCGUUGGGGAGGUUUCCCACAAGCAACAAACCAAGAGAAGAGUUGUCCAUAGGGACAAAAAACGAAAACUACAAAAUAAAAACAACACGUACAUCGUAAAGAUUUCCUUACCAAUUUCACUUACCAAUAGCGCUUCACUCCCCGGCAACGGUGCCAGAAAAUGGUGUUGAUGACCCACAAGUAUAGGGUAUCUAUCGUAGCCUUUUCUAUAAGUAAGAGUGUCGAACCCAACGAGGAGCAGAAGGUACUGACAAGCGAUCUUGAGAAGGGACUAACUGCAAGUACUGAAAGGUAAUUUUUUAUGGGUUUUCUGGUAUAAGCAACAAGAAAAUAACUGCAGGGAAAGUAAAUGGUGCUGAGGUGCAAAAAGUGGCCCAAUCCUUUUGAACACAAAGGAUAAGCUAAGGGACUAAACUUAUAAAGACUAAUGCGUUCCUGAGGACAUACGGGAGAGAUAGUCAAGUGAUUUCGCCAUAUUCUGUCUAGUACUAUGUUUUGUAUUGAUAAGUGUUAUGUGGGUGGAUCUUAACUAGUGCACCGUAUAGGACAAGACAAGUACACUCUUAUGAUUGAAAUCCUUGCAAGCAUCCGCAAAUGCAAGAGAUAAAUUAAGGCAAAGCCUAACCAUAGUAAUAAGCUUUAGGAUCCAACACUCCCUCGUGCAAAAGCAUGCGAAUUGGGGUUCAUGUUUCUGUCACUCCCGCAACCCACCAUAAGCAUUAUUUAUACACGAUGUAUUCUCCUAGGCCCUUAAAAAGGUGAAGUGUUAUGUAGUCGACGUUCACAUAACACCACUAGAAGAAUAACACCAUAACUUAAAUAUCAAUGAACACAUAUUACUUCAACAUCAUAUGACUAUUAUGAACUAGACUUCUCCCAUGUCCUCAAGAACUAAAGUAACUACUCACGAGACAUAAAAGAGAUCAUGAUCAGAGGUGAUGAAAAUAUGAUGAACAAUCUGGUCAUAACAGUAAUUCUCCAACAAUACUCAAUAGCAUUCACCACAAAAGAGUAAUCAACACCGAUAGAGUAAGGGGGAUGAAUAGUGCAAGGUACAACUCCGAUUGCAAUGGUAAAGUGAGAUGUGGUGAAGAUGGAGAUGGUGCUGGUGAUGAUGAUCUCGAUGAUGCCCGUGACGAUGGUGAUGACGAUGAGGAUGGUCUCCCCUUCCGGGAGGAGUUCUCCCCGGCGGAAUCUGCCCGUCGAAAAGGUCUUUUCUUCUGUGUAGGUUUCCGCCUCGGAGCGACGGCGGAACUCCGGAAAAACUUCUGUCCCCGUAACUUUUAGAUCACAAGGGUCAUAUAGGCGAAAGGAGAGCACCGGAGGCGGGACCACCACCUAGGCGGCCUUUGGGUGCGGCCUUGGGGUGACCCGCACCACCAGGUCGCAUGGGUGCCUGGUGGCCCCCCUUUGGCCCUUCUUCGGUUUGUCUUUGUGAUCUGUUCGAAAACUCCUUCCCCGUAAAUUUCAGCUCAAUUGGAGAUGUUCUAAUUCGACAACUCUCCAUGCUAUUUUCUCCGUUGAAUCCUGCGUCUGCUGUUUUGGCACAGGAAAGUUGUAAACUGUGUAAAAUAAGCCAAAACACUAUAAGAACAACAUCAUAAUGUGAAACAUAUCAAUGGAUAGAGACAAAUUAUAAUACAAAAUUGUUGGGUAACGUAGCAUAAAUUCAAAAAAUUUCCUACGCAUAUUCAGAUCUUCCUAUGGAGAGACGAGCAACGAGAGAGGGCUGAGUGCAUCUUCAUACCUUUGAAGAUCUCUAAGCGGAAGUGUUGCUAGAACGCGGUUGAUGGAGUCGUACUCGCGGCGAUUCAAAUCGCGGUGUGAUUCCAAUCUAGUGCCGAACCACGGCACCUCCGCGUUCAACACACGUGCAGCCCGAUGACGUCUCCCGCACCUUGAUCCAGCAAGGAGGAGGGAGAGGUUGGGGAAGCUCUCCGGUAGCACGACGACGUGGUGUCGAUGGAGAGACGAGGUUUCCCGGAAGGGCUUCGCCAAGCACCGUGGGAGGAGGAGCAAGGAGGGGAGCAGGGCUGCGCCGAGGGGAGAAGAAACCGUGUGCAAAACAGCCCCAAACCCCUGCCUAUAUAUAGGAGGAGGGGAGGGGAGUGCCACCCCUAGGGUUUCCCCCCUAGGUGGUGCAGCAGCCCCCUGUAGAUGGGAGGUGCGGCGGCUAGGGCAAGGGGAGGGGUGGCGCACCCCUUAGGUGGGCCUUAGGCCUACCAGCGCUAGGGUUUGCCCCCCUUCUCUCCCUCCUGUGCCUUGGGCCUCUUGUGGGAGGCGCACCAGCCCAAUUUGGGCUGGUUGCCCUCCCCCUUUUGGCCCAUGCUACCUCUUGGGCCUGGUGGCCCCUCCCGGUGGACCCCCGGGACCAUUUCCGGUGGUCUCGGUACGCUACCGGUGACGCCCGAAACAUUUCUGAUGUCCAAAACCAUCCAUCCUAUAUAUCAAUCUUUACCUCCGGACCAUUCCGGAGCUCCUUGUGACGUCCGGGAUCUCAUCCGGGACUCGGAACAACUUUCGGUAACCUCGUAUAACAUUUCCCUAUAACCCUAGCAUCAUCAAACCUUAAGUGUGUAGACCCUACGGGUUCGGGAAGCAUGCAGACAUGACCGAGAUGCUCUCCGGCCAAUAACCAUCAGCGGGAUCUGGAUACCCAUGGUGGAUCCCACACGUUCCAUGAUGAUCUCGUCGCAUGAACCACGAUGUCAAGGAUUCAAUCAAUCCCGUAUACAAUUCCCUUUGUUUGUAGGUAUAGAACUUGCCCGAGAUUCGAUCGUCGGUAUACCUAUACCUUGUUCAAUCUCAUUACUGGUAAGUCUCUUUACUCGUUCUGUAGCACGUCAUCGUGUGACUAACUCCUUAGUCACAUUGAGCUCAUGAUGAUGUUCUACCGAGUGGGCCCAGAGAUACCUCUCCGUCACACGGAGUGACAAAUCCCGAUCUCGAUUCGUACCAACCCAACAGACACUUUCAGAGGUACCCGUAGUGCACCUUUAUAGUCACCCAGUUACGUUGUGAUGUUUGAUACACCCAAAGUACUCCUACGGUAUCCGGGAGUUGCACAAUCUCACAGUCGAAGGAAAAGACACUUGACAUUAGAAAAACUUUAGCAUACGAACAAUACGAUCUAGUGCUAUGCUUAGGAUUGGGUCUUGUCCAUCACAUCAUUCUCCCAACGAUGUGAUCCCGUUAUCAAUGAAAUCUAAUGUCCAUGAUCAGGAAACCAUGAUCAUCUAUUGAUCAACGAGCUAGCCAACUAGAGGCUUGCUAGGGACACAUUGUGAUCUAUUUAUUCACACAUGUAUUACUGUUUCCUGUUAAUACAAUUAUAGCAUGAACAAUAGACGAUUAUCAUGAACAAGGAAAUAUGAUAAUAACCAUUUUAUUAUUGCCUCUAGGGCAUAUUUCCAACAAAAAUAGUGAUGCAUUUUGGACGUAUCACCAUUGCACUGCUUUUGUGGGUACUACCGUUCGAGCGUGGUACCGCUUACGUGGAGGUUGUGAGCAUAACGAUUGUAUUUGGGAGGGCCUAUUUAAGGGGGUCUUCUUACCCAAUGGUUAUUAUCCUUUGAACUCGUGUCCCCCCCCAUUGUUGACCUUCUUCGAUCUUGCUAUCUCUCAAUCCCUCCAAUGAUUCUUGCUAGUUCUUGAGGGAAAAGUAAGAGGAGAUAUAGAUCUACGUUUCCGCUAAUCAUUUUAUCCUGAAUGUGAGGGGAACCCCUUGGAUCUAGAUCUUGGAGUUCUUUGUGAGCUCCUUGUUAUUCCUCUCAUAUUCCUCACUAGCUUUUGUUGUGGUUGUGGUGGUAUUUCGUAGUGAGAGACUUGACCACUUCCAGUGUUCUUGACAUUACAUUAGUUGCAUGGGUUUGAGUUCUUCAUGGUGAUACAUGGAAGUUAAGUUUGAGAAGCUUAUAACUUUUGGUUGUUUCGGCAACCUAGAGCUUCUGACUCUUGUGUGCGUUGGUGCCCUAGAUGAUUGGUGGUGCCUUGGAGCUCAAUCAUUAUGGUGUAAAGCUUCGGUCAAGCGUCGGAGUCUCCAAUUAGGUUGUGGUGAUUGCACCGAGCAAUUUGUGCAGGUUCCGGUGACCUCCCCAAGGGUUAGCAAAGUGUACGGGUUGAGUAACUGCCCCAAGGGUUGGCAUGUGUACGGUGUUGGUGACCGCCCUCAAGGGUCCCUUUGUAAAACCACGACAUCUUGCAUUGUGCAAGGGCGUCAGAAGAUUAUGGUGCCCGAGUGGCUUCUUGGGGAUCAUUGUGCCUCCACACUGCUCCAAAUGGAGAUUAGCAUCCGCAAGGGUGUGAACUUUUGGAUACAUCAUCAUAUGUGCAUGCCUCAGUUAUCUCUUACCCGAGCCCUUUACUUAUGCACUUUACUUUGUGAUAUUCAUAUUUUUUCUUGUUAUAUAUCUUGCUAUCACUUAGUUGUUUAUAUUGUUUAGCAUAAGUUGUUGGUGCACAUAGGUGAGCCUAGUGGUUUUAGGUUUUGUGCAUGACAAAUUAAACGCUAGUUUUAUUCCAUAUUUUUCAAGCCUAAAUUGUAAUAAACUAAAAAACUACAAAGCUAAGAUCGUACCCUCUAAGACGAGGGGAGGUAAGGAACUACCAUCUAGCUCCGCAUUUGAUUCACCUUCUGCUUUGAGUAAACUUGUGACACCUCCACCUACUACUCAAUCUGAUAUGUAGCAAGUAUUAUACACUUCUCCUACUAAGGAGGAUGUUCAUGAUGAUGCUACUACUAUGCUAGAUGGAACUGAUACCGUGCCACUAAGUGAACUGUUUGAUGCUCAUAUUGAUAUAUCUACAGAAAUUGAGAAUGUUGAACGGAUGAAAAUUAUGAUUCACCUAUUAUGCCUAGCUCUCCUACUAGAGUUGAAAUGCGUGAGAUACUUGAUGGUUAUGUUACGAAUGGGGAGAUAUCUAGAAAAUUUCUUGCUUGUAAUGAUACAGAUGAUCUUAAAAAGUACCGAGUAUGGUGAGAGAAAAAUAUAUGAUAGAGAGAAUGAAAUAUGAUCCUAAAUUUUCUACUUCUCCUAUCUUUGUUAUUGAUAAGGAUUUUCAAUUCUAUGUCAAUCUUGAGUUAAUUUCUUUGGUUGAAUUUGAUCCUUUUCAUGCUUAUGAAACUGAAACUUUUAUGGCACACCUUACAAAUUGCAUGAUAUUGGCACCCUAUUUUCACACGAGGAAAAAAAUCACUACUAUUAUGUUCUUUAGUUAUAUCAAUAAUCUCUAAAGGGCGAUACCAAGAAAUGGUUUAAUAUUCCCGCUCGUGGUAGUUGAGUUUACUUCAAGUUUGUUAUGACCAGGUGUUAAAGAAAAUUUCCAAGUUGCACCAUAACCGCGGGCACAACUUUAUGUAAGAUUAAAUCCUCCACGGGUGCUCCAACUCAUCCAUCACAAACUAGCCACAAGUUGUGUUGAAAAGCUCAACCACGAAAAACCCGUAGUCUCCUCAGAAUCCCGGUGGAAAACCUCAACCUUGAGAUAGCCCAAAGUAUCCUAGGAAUCCCGGUCCACAAGAUAUUUCGUAAAAGGUAAAAUAAAUCUAGCAAGGCCGCUCGACGUGUCAAUGAACCCGAUAGGAGCCGGGUAUCUCGUUCUCAGGACACGACCGGAUAAGUGAUACGUCUCCAACUUAUAUACUUUUCCAAACACUUUUACUCUGGUUUUGACCUCUAAUUUGCAUGAUUUGAAUGAAACUAACCCGGACUGACAAUGUUUUCAACAGAACUACCUAGGUUUUAUUUUUGUGCAGAAAUAAAAUUUCUCAGAAUUGGAAAAACUCUUUGUGAAUUAUUUCUGGGAUAUUUAAUUAAUUAUGGAGAAAAGACGUGGAGAGGGGGAUUUUACUGACACAUGCUAAUCCGGAGUCCUUUUGGGGCUCUAGAGAGGUGGAUUCGUCUCCGUCGACAUCACCAACCCUUCUCCAUGAACUCAGCUAUGAUUCUCACCACAGGGAGUGAGUAAUUCCUUUGUUGGCUUGCUGGACGAUGGUGGGAUGGAUGAUUUUAACCAUGCUAUUGAGUUAAGUUUGAUAGGGCUUGAUCCCUAGUAUCCACUAUUUUCUGAGAUCGAUGUUGCUAUGACUUUGUUAUGCUUAAUGGUUGUCACUAGGGCCCGAGUGCCAUGAUUUAAGAUGUGAACCUGUUAUGUUUUCAUGAAUAUAAGAUUGAUUUGGAUCCUAUCUUGCAACUUAUAGUUACUUAUUACUUGUCUUGAUCCGCAUACUCAAGGUGACAAUAAUUGGGAUUAUGUUCGGUGAUUGCCGUAGUUUGAGGAGUUCAUGUAUUCACCAAGUGUUAAUGCUUUGUUCCGGUUCUCUAUUAAAAGGACGCCUUAAUAUCCCAUAGUUUCCAGUAGGACCCCGCUACCACGGGAGGGUAGGACAAAAUAUGUCAUGCAAGUUCUUAUCACAAACACAUAUGACUAUAUACGGAAUACAUGCCUACAUUAUGUUGAUGAAUUGGAGCUAGUUCUGUGUCGCCCUAGCGUUUAAAUGUUACAUGAUCAAUGUCAUCUAAAUCAUUAUCCAUCACCGAUCCACGUGCCCUCGCUUUACAUAUACUGAAUCUUGCUAAGUUACUACUGUUACUGCUACUAUCACACCUGCUACUCAAUUUCUAUUGUUACUAUUGUUACCAAAAUUGCUGCUAUCAGUGUUACUCUUACUACUACCUUUUGUUGUGCUACUAAACCCUUGCUACAGAAAGAUAUCCCAGGUGCGGUUGAACUGACAACUCAACUAUCAAGGCCAAUAAAUAUUCUUUAGCUCCCCUUGUGCCCAAUCAACAAAGUAGGGUGAAAUACUACUCGUGAAGACUGUCGCGAUCCCCUAUACUUGUGGGUUAUUAAGACCUUUUUCUCGCACUUUUGCCGGUGAGCAUACAUUUAUUUAUGGGUUGACUUGAGGAUAUCGAAUAUCUACUAUGAUGAAUCUGAAAGAUAAUUGAACUAAGAUCGUCCCCUCUCGCACGAGAGGAGGUAAGGAACUACCCUCUAGCUCUGCUUUUGAUUCACCCACUAUUUUGAAUGAGCUUAUUACACUACCACAUGUUGAUCGUCCUAAUAUGUCACAUGAACUUGAUGAUGCUACUUCUGAAAUUAAUCAUGAUACUAUUGCUACACAUGUUGAAACUGAAACUGUGCCACUGAGUGAAUUACUUGAUGCUCAUAUUGCUAGAGCUAGUGAACUUCAAAAUGCUGAAACUGAUGAAGACUUUGAAUCAUGUGUUACACCUCGUCCUCCUAAUAGAUAUCAAUUUCCUUAUGUACCUGAAGGUCAAGUUAUGGAUGGUGAGGUAGCUAGAGCUUUUCUUGCUUGUGAAAAUAGAGAUGAAGUCAAGAGAUUACUAUGCAAACUAAAAGAAAAAUCUAUGAUGGAGAAAAUGAAACAUGAUCCUGAAAUUGCUAGUUCUCCUAUAUAUGUCACUCAUAAGGACUAUGAACUCUCUAUAGACCCUAAACUAAUUCCUAUAGUAGAGUCUAAUCCUUUCCAUGGCUAUGAAAAUGAAACUGUGGCCGAACACCUUAUGAAACUGAAUGAUCUUACCAAUGAUGAAAAGAUACACUACUAUUAUAUCCUUAAGCUUUUUCCAUUCUCAUUGAAAGGCGAUGCCAAGGAAUGGUUCCUUUCUCCUGCUCCUAGUUGUAUGCAUAGUCCCCGGGAUAUGCUUUAUUACUUCUCUGAAAAUUAUUUUUCGGCUCAUAAGAAACUAGCUGCUUUACACGAAAUAUUUAACUUUGUGAAAAUUAAAGAAGAGAAUCUCCCUCAAGCUUGGGGGAGGCUUCUCAUGUUACAUAGAGCAUUGCCUGAUAUUCCUCUUAAGAAGAAUGAAAUUCUUGAUAUCUUUUAUAAUGGACUAACAUAUGCUUCUAGGGAUUUCCUAGAUAGUUGUGCUAGUUGUGUUUUCAUGGAAAGAACCGUUGUACAAGUAGAAGAGUUAUUAAAUAAUAUAUUGCAAAAUGUCGUUGAUUGGACACUUCCAGAACCACCGCGAGAACCUAUUCAAAUGAAGAGAGGUAUUCUGUUCCUCGGCCCUGAAGAUAUGCAGGAAGCAAAAAGAUCUAUGAAAGAGAAAGAUAUUAAAAUUGAGGAUGUCAAGAAAUUACCACCGAUUGAAGAAAUACAUGCACUUGAUAUUCUGACACACAUAAUAGAGGUAAACUCUCUCUGUUCCUUUACUGAAAAUGAUAUACCUUAUGCUAAGACUCCUGAUCAAUGCACGAACGAAUUUGAUUAUUACAUUGUUAAGCAAGAACACUUCAAUAACUAUGUUAAGGACCAAUUGAAAAACAAUGCCAUGAUGAUAGACCGCUUAAGUGACUUGAUGUUUAGAAUUUCUAAUGAUGUGAAAGGUCUAGGUAAACAUGCCUCUAUGGUCCACGCCCAACUAGAUCAACUAGCUAAGUCACAAAAUGAUUUGUUUGCUGAAAUGAUUAGACAUGUCUUUGCGCGCACUCGCUUGACUGAUAUAUUGAAAAUGCCCAUGUAUGCUAAGUACAUGAAGGAUAUUAUACCAACAAAAGAAAGAUACCCAACACUAAAAUUGGUACUAUGCUUGCUAAUUAUUGUUUUGGAGAUGGAAUACAUAAGAAGUUAGGAGAUCCGGGUAUACCCAAAUACCUUGCUCUAUUAAAAGAAAUUAUGUUAAAACUGUUUUAUGUGAUUUAGGAGCCGAUGUUAGUGUUAUGCCUUUCUCCCUUUAUAAAAGACUUGAAUAGGAUAAGCUUACACACACUCAGAUAUCUUUGCAAAUGGCUGAUAAAUCCACUGCUUUACCUAUUGGAAUUUGUGAAGAAGUUCCCAUUGUCAUUGCAAAUGUUACUAUCUUAACAGCCUUUUUAUUCUUGAUAUGCCAGAGGACGACAAUAUGUCGAUCAUCUUUGGUAGACCCGCUCUAAAUACUGGAGGGUCUGUUAUCGACUGCAACAAAAGUAAGGUCACUUUUCAUGUUAACGACAAGCAAUAUAUAGUGCAUUUUUCGAACAAGAAAACUGUGGUUAAUAAUAUUAAUGUCAUUGAGCCUAUUACCACGGUCAUAAUUGGAUUUUUUUACAAUCCCUCAACCUAUUGCUAAGAAAAAGAAAUGCUAUAAUCUUAUUGUUGGGGAGGUGCAAAUCCCCAUGAGGUAACCUAGUGAUAUACAAAAGUUCUUCGGUUUCAUGUUAAUCAGAAACGAUUGUUAAUAAGUCUUGAUCAACCUUAUCAAUGGAUCCUUUUGGAAAGACAUGUGUUUGAUGAAUUGAGUAUUCACAACUCUCUGUAUUACAAAUUUAUUAUCUUUUCUCUUGGCUAAAUAAAAGAAAAUGCAUGAUUACCCUAUUUUUUGAGUUUUCCAUACCAUAGAAAAAUGACCCAAAACUAAAAAGUCUUAUAAUAACACCAAAUUUGAACAUGUUUUUUUCUGGAAUAAAUAAGUAUUUGUGGCAUACAAAUAAAAGCAGGGAGACGCACUUGUGGGCCACAAGCUAACAGGGCGGCCCUAGGUCGCGCCUUGAUGGCUUGUGGGGCCCAUAGCCCUCUUCCUUAUCCCUUCAACUCACAUAAUCCUCUACCUCCAUAGAAAAUUCCUUAUCCCCCCCGUGUUCUUCCUCUAGAAACUGUAAUUUUUGAUCUCUUUGGUCGGGACUCCAUUACCGAAACUAUUUUAAGGGAAUUGUUCCUUGAUAUGUGACUCAUCUAUGCCUCCAAUUAGUUUUUGCUUUAGUGUUCUAUAUUUUGCAUAAAUUGCUUCACUUGGUGCUACAAAAAAUGAGCUUGCUUGUUGAAUUCUUUGGUCCAAGUAGUAUGAAUGCUUGAUAUAGCCUCUAAGUAUCCAUAUGAGUAGUUGCUAAGAAUCCCAUGAAGUUUUAUUGACAUAAAUUUCUGGCUCAAAAAUCUCAGAUAUUUGUGCUUAGGAGAAUGAAUUUAUUGAGGACAUGUUCUUCUAGUCGUAACCCCAAGGGAGUUACUGGGAGGACUCAAGAUCGCAAUGUCAACAUUUUUUGCAACACGGAGGUUAGGCCUUGUGAAUGUCCACAUACACCGUUCAUGAGUGAAGAUGUUUUAUGAUGAAUUCAUGCAAUUUGUUGCAAAUGUCAGGCUGACGAACUUCCUCACAGAUGAGUGUGACCAAUACUAUCUCCUUACUAAUCCCUUUGUGCAAAACUUUCACUUCUUAAACACACAUGGUGCCCCUAGAGUACACUUUGCUCUUUAUGCAACAAACUUUGAAUUGCCUUUAGAUGAAUUUUGUGAGAAUUGCUCGAUCCCCUGUGACAGGAGGAUAUGCGGGCCUAAGACUAAGGAAUUUGAGGGUUUCCUCCUCACCUUAACUGUGGGGGAGACUAGGGGUGUAUCAAACGCCAGGGCCUCUAGUUUGCAUUUUCCUUCUAUGCACUAUUUCUCUCUGUUUAUAGGAAAAUGCAUAACUCCUAUGGAGUAGGGUUGUGGUCUUAGUUCCCCAAACCUGGGUACUUUGCGCCGCACACUCUAUGGUGAUAACACUUACAACCUAGGAGCUAUUGUCAUGCACCGCUUACAUAUUAACAAAACCAAAGGCAAGAUCCAUGGUGGUAUUUAUGCCAUGGGCUUGGCAAAGCGUCUUAAUGUUGCCAUACGACCUACUAUUAAUUUGUUACCUUAGGUUUUUCUCGACGACCAAGCUAUGUCUGACCAUCAAUUCACUGUUGUAAACUUAGCCAUCUCAGGGCAUCCGCUAUAACUUAGUAUACAUCAAGAACAUUCGCGAUAUUAUUGUGUUCCUGCACCCUGUUUGUUUGUUUUUCAUGCCAGGAACGGAUACACCAUCAUGCUGGAAGACAAAACUGCAUAUCGUGACAUGUUGGUAGCUGCACACAUGGAGGCCCAUGAUUGGGAUGCUGAGGUGCCACCGCAGGAACACUUUCCUGGACCUGAUGGUUACUACCAGUGGUGAUUACCAAGCUAGGCAAAAGCCUAAGCUUGGGGAAGUACAUAUUUCUCACCGACAUUUCAUUCAUGUUCACACACCUCAUACAAAUUUUCAAUGUUCAUCCUCUUUCGUUGUAUAUCCAUAUUAGCUUUACUUUUCCGCAUUCUUCUUGUGUGUUUGAAAAACUUUAGAAAAUCCAAAAAUACUUCUCACUUUUUUCCGUUUUGUCCCUAGUUGUAGUAUUAAAAGAAAACCCCAAAAGAUUUCCUCUUGCAUGUUGGGAGCUUUCCCGUGUAAAUAGGCUUUCUCAUUCUUGUUUUCCCUUAGUUUAUUUUGCUUGCUUAAGAAAAACAGAAACUCCAAAAAUAUUUGAGUGUGUUCCUCUGAAUUUCUUUUUCGUUUUGUUGAGUUAUGAAAGGAGAAGACCAUGUCGAAAAUGAUGAGGCCUCUCAUAUGCUUUGUUGUUAAUCUAACAAAGAGCCAAUAUAACCAUGUCUUCUCCUUUGUUUAAAACUGCCAUGCAAAAUCUAGCCUAGUUGACGACACCCUUGCACUUCUAUUAUUAUCACAUCAUUCGGUCAUGCAAGUAAAAGGUAAUAAUGAAGAUAUUUGAUAAAGUGAUCGUGGCAAAGGAAACGGGUAUGAACUCUUCUUGUUCUUUAUUUUUUUAAAUAUGUUAGCUCGUUCGAUCUUGAUUCGGUAUAUCAUGAGUGAACAUGUUUAUGAUGACAACUAGAGAUUGUAGUUUUUCAUGCCAUGCUUAAAUAUCUAGGAGCUGAUAAUGAUUUAGCUUGUGUGUCAACAUGCAUUAAAAUGGUUAUGAUGUGAUAUGGUAUUAUGGUAUUUCCCUGUGAGUAUUUCGAGUGGCCUGACUUGGCCCAUGUGCAAACAUGUAGUUGAUUCAAAACCAAUGUAGCCUUCAUGCUAUUUAAAUUCAGAGUAUUUAUAUCCUACUCAUGCUUUGUCCAAAGUUGAUUAUUUUCAAUGAAUGUUCAUGACCGUUAUUGCUCUCUAGCUUGUCACUUUCCAAUCUUUUGCUAGCCUUCACCUGUACUAAGCAGGAAUGCUGCUUGUGCAUACAAUACUCUUAAAAUGAAGUUACCCCACAUGAGUCCACCAUACCUACCUAUAUGUGGCAUUGCCCUGCUGUUCCAAGUACAUUUGCAUGUGCCACCACUAAAUAUUCAAACAAACAUCUGGUUUAUGCACUCGUACCACCCAUGGAGCAACAGGGCAACCAAUAUCUUCCAAUCUAAGUAAGUUAUUCUCAAAAGGGGCGUUUAUUCACCAUCAUUGCAUGAGAGAGGUUGGUAACAAGGAUGCCCAGUCCUGCAUAAUCAAAAUUUAAUUAAAACAAAACUCCUUGGGAAAGUUGAUAUGUUGGAGGGAACCCGUGAAUUCGGCUAGCCAUGGUUGUGUAUGAAUGGUGGAUAGGAGUAAAACUUUACAACUCUGUUUGGGAACCACCAAUAAUGAGUUUAGCAUGGAAGAUACUAAAAACCUUUGUCGUAACAUUGACAAUAAACAACACCACUCAAAAACUAUAAUUUUGAUCCUGCUUUAAAACUUGAACUCUAGCACCUCUCCAAAUCAAUGCUUCCCUCUCCGAAGGGCCUAUCUACUUAAUUUCAUGUUGAGUCAUCACCUUGUUACCUACUGCACCAGACAAGAGAUCACUAUUCUCAUUCCUAUGCAUUGAGCCUAGUCAAUGUUCGAUAUGAGUAUGAGUGNACCAUAUUAUAUAAUUAUUGUUUUGACAAAUUGUUGGCAUGUGAGAUAUCUUAUUAUUGCUUGCUAGUUAGUUAUGUAUUGCCAUGAUUGAAUAUGAUGCUUGAUUGUGAUCAUGUAUGUGAUUUUUUAUGAUUCAUGCAGAAGACUUAAACAACUAGCUAAGCAUGUGUAUAAAGACAAGAACAAAAGAGUUUGGAAAAGUUUUCUUUAUCAUUAGCAGUUUAUCAACUGAAUUGCUUGAGGACAAGGAAUGAGUUAAAAUUGGGGGAGUUGAUACGUAUCCGACGUAUCUACUUUUCCAAACACUUUGGCUAUGGUUUUAACCUCUAAUUUGCAUGGUUUGAAUGAAACUAACCCGGGCUCACACUAUUUUUAGCAGAACUACCUUGGUGUUAUUUUUGUGCAGUAACAAAAGUUCUCGAAAUUGGACGAAACUUUUUGUGAAUUAUUUCUAGGAUUUAUAAUGAAUUAUGGAGCAAGGACCUGCUGGAGAAACACUUCCAGGGGGCACAAGCCAACAGGGCACGACCUCCAAGUCGCGCCCUGAUGGCUUGUGGGGCCCACAUGGCUCCUGCAACCCUAAUUCCAGUCCCAUAAAAUCACAUCUUUGGAGAAACAAACAGAGAUAAGUUUUCAUAAGGUUUCACGAGACGGAGUUGUCGCCACCUCCUGUUCUUCCUCCAAAGGGCUGACCAUGAGUCCAUUUGGGGCUUCGGAGAGGGGGAUUCAUUGCCUUUGUCAUAACCAACCCUUCUCCAUCAACACCGCUAUGAUGCUUACCACCGGGAGUGAGUAAUUCCUUUGUAGGCUUGCUGAAGGAUAUUGGGAUUGGAUGAGAUUGACCAUGUAAUCGAGUUAAGUUUGAUAUGGCUUGAUCCCUAGUAUCCACUAUGUUCUUAGAUUGAUGUUGCUAUGACUUUGCUAUGCUUAAUGCUUGUCACUAGGGCCCGAGUGCCAUGAUUUCCUGAACCUAUUAUGUUUUCAUGAAUAUAAGAUUGAGUUGGAUCCUAUCUUGCAAGUUAUAUCUACCUAUUACGUGUCUUGAUACGCAAACCCCAAGGUGACAAUAAUUUGGAUUAUUUCCGGUGAUUGUCGUAGUUUGAGGAGUUAAUGUAUUCACCAUGUGUUAAUACUUUGUUCUAGUUCAAUAGUAAAAGGAGGCCUUAAUAUCCCUCAGUUUCCAAUAGGACCCCGUUGCCACGGGAGGGUAGGACAAAAUAUGUCAUGCAAGUUCUUAUCGCAAGAACGUAUGACUAUAUACGGAAUACAUGCCUACAUUAUAUUGAUGAAUUGAAGCUAGUUCUAUGUCCCCCUAGUAUGUAACUGUUACAUGAUCAAUGUCAUCUAAAUCAUUAUCCAUUAAUGAUCCACGUGCCUACACUUCACAUAUACUGAAUCUUGCUAAGUUACUAUUGUUAAUGCUACUGUUUCACAAGUGCUACUCAAUUGCUAAUGUUACUACUAUUACCAAAAUUGCUGCUAUCACUGUUAAUGGUACUACUACCUUCUGCUGUGCUACUAAAUCCUUGCCGCAAAGAGAUAUCCCAGGCACGGUUGAACUAACAUCUCAACUGUCAAGGCCAAUAAAUAUUCUUUAUCUCCCCUUGUGUGGAAUCAAUAAAUUAGGGUGAAAUACUAUCUGUGAAGUCUGUCAUGAUCCCCUAUACUUGUGGGUUAUAAAUAAGCUAGUGUAUAGUGGCCUGAUAGAAAUCACUCGAGUUGCCCCGGGGUGGCCCCACACAGUGCUCUAGUUUGGGCCAACAGUCAUGAAGAGCACUGGCCCGGGUUGUUGAUUAAUUAUCCAUGGGCUAAUUACUCCAUGUGCAGGUUUACUAGUUAUUAGGAAAAUGUUCUACCAAAGUUGGGCCUUGCUAGAAGAGUUUUAUUCUAAGACGAAUUAUCAGCGGGUCCCCAUAACAACCCCAAGCAUGUUAGGAGAACUCAAUAUGGAACAUAACACUGGUACACAAGUAACUAGGGCCGCUAAGAUGGAACAAAACAUCAAGCAAACAACCAAUCCUUCCACCUUUCACCAAGUAUAUAUGUGCAUUAAAUAAAAUAGCAAUAAUAUUAUGAUAUCUCAAGACAUCCAUGUUGUCACAUGGAAAUAACCUGCACCUACAACUAGCAAUGCUAUAAGAAUGGCUGAGCAAGCGGUAACAUAGCUAAACAAUUGUUUGCUGGGAUGUGGAGAGGUUAGAGGCUUUUCAUGGCAAUGUUGGGAGGCUUGACAUUCAAGUGGUAGGUAACGAGACACAAUGAUAGAAGCAAGACAACUAGCAUGGCAAUGAUAGUAGUUGUAUCCAGGGAAAUGGUCAUCUUGCCUAAGGUCCCGCUUGGAAGAAGAAAGAAUCCGUGAGGUAGACGAACGGGCAUAGUCGAACGAAUUCUCACACCCUGAAUCGGUUUUGGAACUCUACCGAGAAGAAACAACCCAGAAACAAACAAUCAACACAUGAUAAACACCACAACAUAUUCAAGAUCUGAUGCGCAAACCAAUAUGAUGCAUUUCCAUUUAAUAAUGCAUGAUAUGGCAAAUCACAACAAUCAACUUCUACACAUUAAGUGAAGCUCAAUAUGCAACGAGUUGCAUAUUGACGAAACUCCAGAAUUGAAUCAUUUAAUUCCUCUUGUUUAUUUACACGAAAAGCUGAAAUAUUGUUAAACAUGGCAAAAGGUGAAGCAUAAAUAAACUAUGUUUCUAGGCAUUUUAAAUGAGGUCGGGAGCAACUUAUAACAUUUCCGAAACGACCCCAUAUGUUAAUUUCGAAAUUGAUACAGAUCCAUCUAAAACAUAUUUUAUAUUUAUUAAACAGGUAAACAAAAUGCACCAUGUGAUACUACAUGUCAUUCUGAGCAAUUUACAUAUAUAGAUCAUCUAAAACGGAGCUACGGUCUAAAACAUAUGACCAGCACAAGAUAAUAUGCCAUGAAUGCAAAAUGCAUGCAAACUACGACCACAAACAUGUUAAAUCAUGGAUGCAACAAUAUAUUAUGAAACUACAUGAGAUUAUAAGCAAGCUUAAUAUAUGACAUGUUCAAAACGGAGCAAUGGUUCAACAAUUACAACCAACACAUGUUCUAGCUACAAUUUGUCCAAAAGAGCAACAUGCAUUUUGUACACAUCAAAACAACAAGCUGCAAGAAUCUAAAAUGCGCAAACAAGACAUAGGACAGUAGUUGACAUGGCUCACAACAAAUUCAUCUCACACGAGCUAAUAUAAUACAAGCAUGGAUCACUAGAAAUGAGCUUACUAGAAAAUAACAGCUUUUAACAAAACCGUUUUAUUAUGAAGGCAUAUAGGCAGUAAGAAAAACAUAUGCUACAUGACAUAUAAUGACAUGAAUAUUUGCAACAUGGUAUUAGGCAUAAUGCGCUUCAUUUCAUUCCAUACUAGCAAGGUCUAAUUAUGCACACGUUCAUAGCUAGCAUCCACCCAACAUGUGAUACGUCCCAAACGUAUCUAUAAUUUCUGCUUCUUCCAUGAUCUUUUGGGUGACAUUGUUAUAUGUUUUGCUACACAUUCAUAUCUUUUUACACAUAUUUGGACUAACCUACUAACUCAGUGCACCUAGUGCCAGUUUCUAUCUGCUGAUGUCUUUUUUCGCAGGGACUUUUACCCAAAUUUCGAGAGCCCCAAAAAUCCCAAGAAAAAUAUAUAAAAAUCAGCGUGACGGAAGCUUCCGGAGCACCGAAGAUGGUCCAGAGGGGAGCCAGGGGCUGCCCAGGCGGCCUCCCUGCAUGGCCUGGCCCCUGGCCGCGCCCACAGGUCACCUAGGUGGGCCCCACCUCCCUUGAUGCCCUCCUUUGGCCUAUAUUUACCCCUCUGAUCGGAAACCCUUCCAUCAUAUCCAGAAUCGCGAAUUUCUCCAUCGUUCCGCCGUCAGAGCGCUUCCGAGAUCAGGAGCGUCAGGAGACCUCAUCCCGGCACCCUGCCGGAGGGAGAGUUGACCUCUGAGAGCUUCUCCACCGCCAUGGACGCUUCCCGGAAGUGCCGUGAGUAGUCCUCCUUGGACCAUGAGUCCAUGACCAGUAGCUAUGUUAUGUCUUCUCUCCAAUCUUGUGCUUCAAUGAUUAGCCCUUGUGAGCUGCCCUACAUGAUCAAGGCAUCUAUGUAAUUUUCCUGCUAUUGCUAUGCUCUGUUUGCUGGGAUUCGAUAGAUUAUGAGAUUACGUUCAGAUUAUGAUGAGUUAUAUAUUUGAUUAUCCUUUUAUAUUAUGUUAUUUAGUGAUUCAUGCAUGUUCUCCGUUGCUUUUUAUUGCUUUGGCCGAGUAGUAGAUUGUAAAUCCAAGAGGGAGCGUAGUGCAUGAUUGUGGGUUCAUGCCCCCUGAUGUCUAGCUUGAGUGACAAAAACAUGAGACUAGGGGAUGUGCUGUUGCCACCAGGGAGAAAACAACGGUGCUUGUGACCGCGGUUGCAAGUAUUGUUUACCUUACACAAAGUUCGUUAAUGCAGUUGUUCGUUGAUUUGAGUUUACAUUUUGGGUGGGGCUAGCAACUUAUUAACAGCGAGAUGUUCUGGAUAGAUAUCUCAAGGUGGAUUAUUAGUAAAUAGAUGCUGAUGGAUAAACGAUCUACUUUUCUUGGCGUACUGCCCAUUACUAUUGAGCCUCUAACUUUCAAGUAGCAUAAUUAGCAUUGCGGUGCGUUCAUAAUUCUAUCAAUUGCCCAACUGUAAUUUGUUUACCCAUGCAUAGUUGUUUAUCGUCUUUUGGGAGAGAGACAUCACUAGUGAACAUCAUGUGACUCAGGUCCACAUUACCACCAUUGUUUACAUCUCCACCAUCUGCUGCUUUCAUUUACUUUUCCGUUGCAAUCACUAUCACUAUUCCUGCUUGUGUUUUGAUCCUUUGCAAACUACAAGGCCAGAGAGAUUGACAACCUCUCUGUACUCGUUGGGAGAAAAGUUAUCUGUUGUGUGUGCAGGUCCACGUCUUCUGCUAGCGCCAAAGUAUCGGACACCUACUUGUUGAUCCUCGGAGUCCUCCUGGUUCGAUAAACCUUACAGUCCACGUGUAAGGGAAAUCUGCUGAUCACUACAUCUCCACCUUCCACUUGGGGUAACCAACAAGGGGCGAGAAGUAUAUCCAUCAACUCGUCAUCAAGCAAAUUUCUGGCGCCGUUGCCGGGGACUCUAGUCUUCAAGAUAGGGGAGUUGCAUGCUAUCUUUUACCUUUGCUUUUUAGUCUUGUUAGUUUGCUUUCUAGUUUUUCCUUUAGAGUCUUAUAUCAAAAACCACAAGAAAAUUAUUUGCUUUGUUCUUGCUUGUUGCUGCUGCUAUGGGUUCCACUGAAAACACCAAGUUGUGUGAUCUCACUAGUCACAACAACAAUGACUUUAUCUGCACUCCUAUUGCCGCUCCCGCUACUAGGGCUACCUACUAUGAGAUUAAACCUACUUUACUGAACCUUGUUAUGAAAGAUCAAUUCUCCGGUGCUGGAGAUGAUGGUGCUUUGCACUUGAAUAAUUUUGUUGAGCUUUGUGAUAUGCAAAAAUACAAAAAAGUAGAUGGUGAUAUUGUUAAAAUUAAGCUUUUUUCCUUUCUCCUUGAGAGGAGGAGCUAGAGUGUGGCUUCAAUCUUUGCCUAGGAAUAGCAUAGAUUCUUGGGAUAAGUGCAAAGAUUCUUGUAUUGGGAAGUAUUACCUGCCUACUAAAUUAUCCAGUUAAGAAGUAACAUUAUGAAUUUUAGGCAACUGGAUAAUGAACACGUUUGCCCAAGCUUGGGAACGUAUGAAAUCUCUCGUUAAGAAUUUCCCUAUACAUGGUUUGAUUACUUGGAUGUUUAUCCAAACUUUCUAUGUAGGAUUGAACUUUACGUAGCGGAAUCUGUUAGACUCGGCCGCGGGAGGAACCUGUUGGAAAUAUGCCCUAGAGGCAAUAAUAAAUUAGUUAUUAUUACAUUUCCUUGUUCAUAAUAAUCAUUUAUUAUCCUUGCUAGAAUUGUAUUGAUUGGAAACUCAAAUGCUUGUGUGGAUACAUAGACAACACACUGUCCCUAGUGAGCCUGUAGUUGACUAGUUCGUUGAUCAAAGAUGGUCAAGGUUUCCUGGCCAUAGGCAAGUGUUUUCACUUGAUAACGGGAUUACAUCAUUAGGAGAAUCAUGUGAUGGACAAGACCCAAAUUAUAUAUGUAGCAUAUUGAUCGUGUCAUUUUAUUGCUAUUGUUUUCUGCGUGUCAAGUAUUUAUUCCUAUGACCAUGAGAUCAUAUAACUCACUGGCACUGGAGGAAUACCUUGUGUGUAUUAAACGUCACAACGUAACUGGGUGACUAUAAAGGUACUCUACAGGUAUCUCCGAAGGUGUCCUUUGAGUUAGUAUAGAUCAAGACUGGGACUUGUAACUCCAUGUGACGAAGAGGUAUCUCGGGGCCCACUUGGUAAUACAACAUCACACACAAGCCUUGCAAGCAAUGUGACUAAGUGUAAGUCACAGGAUCUUGUAUUAUGGAACGAGUAAAGAGACUUGCCGGUAAUUAGAUUGAAAUAGGUAUGCGGAUACCGACGAUCUAAUCUCGAACAAGUAACAUACCGAAGGACAAAGGGAAUGACAUACGGGAUUAUACGAAUCCUUGACACUGAGAUUCAACCGAUAAGAUCCUUGGAGAAUAUGUAGGAUCCAAUAUGGGCAUCCAGGUCCCGCUAUUGGAUAUUGACCGCGGAGUGCCUCGGGGCAUGUCUACAUAGUUAUCGAACCCGUGGGGUCUCCACAUUUAAGGUUCGAUGAUGUUUUAGUAUAGUUGAGUUAUAUGUGUGGUUACCGAAUGUUGUUCGGAGUCCCGGAUGAGAUCACGGACAUCACGAGGGUUUCCGGAAUGGUCUGGAAACGAAGAUUGAUAUAUAGGAUGGUUUCAUUUAGUCACCGGAAAGUUUCGGGCAAUUCCGGCAGUGUACCGGGAGUGACGAAUGGGUUCCAGGAGUUCACCGGGAGGGGCCCACCCACCCGGGAGUGAGCCCAAGGCUCUAGGGUGGCGCCGUAAGUCCUUAGUGGCCUGGUGGAGUCAGCCCAAGGGGCCCAUGGCGCCACAUAAGAAAAUACCAAAAGAAAAUAAAAAAAAAAGGGAAAGAGGGAGGUGGGAAGGAAGAGGAGGACUCCUCCUUCCCAAACCGAAUUGGAGGAGGAGUCCUCCUCCUCCCUUGGCCGGCGCACCUUGAGGCCUUGUGCCUCAAGGCUAUCCCUCCCCCUCCCUCCUAUAUGUAUUGGUGGAUUAGGGCUGAUUUGAGACACAACUUUGCCACGUGCAACUCUAGCCUAUACCACAUAGUUUUACCUCUAGAUCGGAUUUCCGUGGAGCUCGGGCGGAGCCCUGCAGGAGUAGAUCAUCACCACCACCGAAGCGCCAUCACGCUGCCAGAGAACUCAUCUACUUCUCCGUCUUUCUUGCUGGAUCAAGAAGGCCGAGAUCAUCGUCGAGCCGUACGUGUGCUGAACGUGGAGGUGUCGUCCGUUCGGCACUAGAUCAGAACAAAUUGUGGGACGGAUCGCGGGACGGUUCGUGGGACGGUUUGAGGGACGUGACGACAUUCCACUACAUCAACCGCGUUUCUUAACGCUUCAUGCUGUGCGAUCUACAAGGGUACGUAGAUCCAAAUCUCCUCUCGUAGAUGGACAUCACCAUGAUAGGUCUUCGUGUGUGUAGGAAUUUUUUUGUUUCCCAUGCAACGUUCCCCAACAGAACCUUUAUGUCAAGUACACUUGGUGCUCCCAUGAAACUAUUGGAUGAGAUGAUGACAAAUUAUUCUCAAUGGCACACCGAGAGAGCUCCAAUAGGUAGGAAGGUAAACUCUGUUGAGGAGAUCUCCUCCCUUAAUGAUAAGGUUGACAUGAUCAUGACUUUACUCACUAAGAAAGCUCCUAUUGAUCCUCAUGAUGUUCCUUUAAAUUCUUUGGUUGCUCAAAAAAGAGAGCAAGUUGAUGUUAAUUUUAUUUCUAGGAACAACUUUAAUAAUAAUGCUUAUAGGAGUAUUUUUGGUAGCAAUCCUAGACCGUUCCCAUCCAACAACUAUGGGAAUAGCAGCACCUAUAGUUACAUUCCUAAUGAUAGAAGAAUGCCUAGUUAUGAAAAACUUUUAGAGAUAGAGAAGGCUACAAAGAAUUAUAUGGACACCCAAUAUGAACAAAACAAGGCCUUCUCUAGACAAUUAGAUGAGCAUUCUUCUAUUUUGCAAAACAUUGAAAGACAACUUGAGAGCCUGAAUAGUGAGAUUUCCAAUCUCCAAGCUAGACUCACCACCACGGAGACUCAAGUUUCCAAUAUGUCUCACACCCAGGCCACUUCCAUAAAUCAAAUGGCGGCCAAGCCCGAAGUGGUUGUAUCUCAAGAAGAGGAAGAUAGGAUUAAGAGCCUUCCUACACACACUACCCUUGCUACUAUACAAGUUGUUGAGGAUCUCAAAACUUUUAGCACCCAUCAGACCCCUAGUCCCAAUGGACCAAUUAAUGGUUAUGCUAAUACCUCAACUAUAGGACAAGAAGGUCCUUUGAACUUAGAGGCUACCAAAAUAAUUAGCUUAGAUGACAUCACUACCACUUUAAUUAAUGGUAGUAAUCUUGAUUUUAAUAAUUGUAGUCUCUCCGAAGUUAUCACUUCUUUGCAAAGAAUGGCUAAAGACCCCCACACUAGUAAACUCAAUAUUGCCUUCACCGAGCAUAUUACCAAUGCUCUUAUAAAAGAUAGGGAGGAUAGGCUCAAGCUAGAGACUUCUAUUUAUAGGAAACUAGAAGAUGGUUGGGAUCCUAUGGUCAAUAUUAAAUUGAAUAAUAUAUCUUGCUUUGCUUUAUGUGACGUUGGAGCUAGUGCCUCCGUUAUGCCAAAAAGAAUGUAUGAUAUGCUUGAUUUGAAACCUUACGAUCAAUAUUCCUUUGGUGUUUGUCUUGUUGAUUCUUCCAUAAAGAAACCUUUAGGGAGAACUGGUUAUGUUCUUAUUGUUGUCAAUGAUAAUUAUGUGACCAUUGAUUUUCUUAUUAUGGACACUGACUGUCAUCCCUCAUGUCCAGUUAUUUUGGGACGUCCUUUUCUCCGCACUGUUGGUGCUAUCAUUUACAUGAAAGAAGGGACCAUUAGAUUCCAAUUUCCCCUCAAAAAGGGAAUGGAACACUUCCCUUGAAAGAAGAUUAAGUUACCUUAUGAGUCUGUUAUUCGGGUAAGCUAUUCUUAUGGAGUUGAUAAUACUUGAUAUUUUUGCAUCAUGCCUAGCUCAAAGGCAUAAAAGAAAGCGCUUGUUGGAAGGCAACCCAAUUUGUUUUUACUUUCAGUUUUAGUGGUCUUGAUGCUUGUUACUACUGUAGAAACAUCAUUGUAUCUUUAUUAUCAAGCUUUGUGCCAAGUUUUAGCCUCCGAUUGCAAGAAAGUUCAAAAGUUGUGACAUGGUCCAGAAACAGAUUCUGUGUGCGUGACGGAAAAAUUCGCCAAAAAUCAGCAGAUCAUCUUUUUGAUCUGAAGUUUUUUUAUAGCAUGCUAUAUAUAAUUUUAUUUCUGGCAUCAGUUCUGAGGUUUUUUUAUUUGAGUUGCAUAAGUCCCCCGAAAAAAUUAUUUACUACGUGCUGUUCUGUUUUUCACAGAUUCUGCCAAGUUUUGCGUUUUCAUCGUUCUGCAAAUCUUAAGCUUGCUUUUCCUUUGCAAAAAUCUUUUGACAAUCAUGAGAAACAUUAGCUUUUCAUGAAAAUAUUUAUUUCCAGUAGGGAAUAAAUUAUUUUAUUAUGGGCACUAACCACUCUAAUCAGCUUAUGAUGAGUUUCGUAUGAAGGGAGUUUUCAACUUUGCGAUGGAAGAUGAUGAAAGAAGAUCCAGGAGUGUCAAGUGCUCAAGCUUUGGGAUGCCCUAAUGCACCCCAAGAAAUAUUCAAGGAGACUCAAGCGUCUAAGCUUGGGGAUGCCCCCGUGCAUCCCCUUCUCCAUCAACAAUCAUCAGUUCAUCCAUCUCCAUGCUAUAUUUUUAUCACUUCAUAAGUUAUGUGUUAUGCUUGGAGCAUCCCGCUCUUUACUUUUUAGUUUGUUUUAGUUUUGAUUGCUGUUCAUAAAAAGUUGGAACCUAGACUUCCUUGUUUUUGAGAUAAACACGCUCCACUCCACCCUAGAACACAACAUAGGUUUUCAUGCUUAUCUUUUUGUGUGUUCUUUAUCUUUUCAUAGCUACUGCCAUGCUUAGCUCUUAGUUUUCAUGCUUUAUCUUUUUAAGAGCUAUUAUUUAGGUUGCUUUUGGAACUCACUUGAGUUAUCAUGCUUAUCUUGUUUAGAGAGUUGGCUUGUUGCACCGAGUUGUGUGUCUUGCAUGAGUAGGUAAUUGAGGUUGCUAUUCAAGUAUAGUAGUAACUUGCAAUAGUUUUGAGGUAUUGAUUUGAGUAAUCUUUGGACUAUUGGUGCCAAGAGAUUGAGACUAUUAGUGAUAGGUGUCGUAUUUUGGGUAAUCCGUGUAUUUUUUGAAAACUAGAAAAAUUAGUUGAGAACUCUAGCUACUAAAUUGAUCGCUAACCUCUGGAUGGGUUGGAAUAUAUAGAGUACCCUCACGUUACCAUGGGUCGAGGAUGCGCAAGGAUAACCAAACCCCCAAACACUCCUCCUCGGGGUACUUGUCUCAUUGUGAAUUUCCUAACUAGAUAGAGAGUUCAGAUAAUAAGUGUAUGAGUUCUUCGGACUAAUGCGAGUAUUCGGUUGUUGGCAUUUCCACCAUCCAUAUUUUGCUAGACUCUUCGGUACCGUGCAUUUCCCUUUCUCAUCUUGAAAGUUGGUGCAAACUUCGCCGGUGCAUCCAAACCCUUGGCAUGAUACGCUCUGUCAUCAUAAGCCUCAUUAUAUCUUUCCUCAAAACAGCCACCAUACCUACCUAUUAAGGCAUUUCCAUAGCCUUUCCGAGAUAAAUUGCCAUGCAACAUCCACCAUCUCAUGACUUGAUCUUCAUGUCAUACAUGCUUUUGCUUGAUCAAGGAGCCGCAUGCUAGUUGGGCCUUGCCCUUAUUAUUGGUACAUGACGCACUAGCAUCAUUGCAUAUCCUGCUACACUCGCAGAGGCAUACAGUUACAUACAUCAUGAUAGUUGUCAUUUGUCUUUAUGUGAGUACUUCUUAUAAAGUGUGACGAUCUUCUUUUUAUUCUUGUAAAACAUAGAGUGUUGCCCUUAAGUGAGGAAAAUAUCCCAAAGAGGAUAAAUUAAAAGAUCCCAAAAGAGGACAAAUGAAAAGAUCCCAAAGAGGAAAAAUGAGAGAUAAAUAGAAAGAGCUAAGGAGGCCACACACAAAAAAAAAUAAAUAAAAAGAGAGAAGGGGGCAACACUACUAUUACUUUUGAAAGAUCCACACUCAUACUCCAUUGUUAUAUUUGUACUCCAUAGAGAUUAUCAUUCAUGCAUAACUAUGUGGGGACCCUUACACUAUAGAACUUGGCUUGUAUAUUCCAAUGAUGAGCCUCCUCAAAUGAGCUCUAGGUCUUCAUGAGCAAGCAAGUUGGAUGAACCCCCACUAGUUCCAUUGGAGAGCUUACCUUAGUUCAUAUGUGCAUCCGUUGCAUGGCAAUCCCUACUCCUCACAUCAUAUCUAUCAUUUGGCUUUAUCUCGCCUAUGGUUGUCCUCAUUGAUGUGAGCCUUUCACACCUUUUUGUCUUCCUUCCCCAUCAUUAUUCUCUUUGCCAUCCUAAGUGCCAACAUAUCUUGCUCACUCUCCUCCAUUGCAUGAGUGCUCAAAGUCGAAAGGGAGAGGAUCAUUUUGACUUGUGCGUGACUAGUGGUCUGGGGAUGAGUCAAAAUAAGAUUCCGAAGGAGACCAAGUGUCAAGUUUAGUAGAUCGAGUUCUCAAUUAAUAUAUAUAUUUUUAUGCUCUAAACCCAUCUCCCACUUCUUGCACGCAAACACCAUUUGGAGACAUUCGAGUCACGGACAGCAAGAGCUCUUGCACCUUUAUGUUCUCACUUUGCUAAUUUCAAUACUAAAUAUAGACUCUUGCUUGUUAUUGUCUUGACUUGAAUUGCAUAUCUUACUUGCUUUACUUUGAAAUUCUUAUAUGUGUGUUAGCAUGUCACCACGGAAGUUAUUUGUGUUAUCAUUUACCUACUCGAGGACGAGCAGGAAUUAAGCUUGGGGAUGUUGAUACAUCCCAACCGUAUCUAUAAUUUCUGCUUGUUCCAUGAUCUUUUGGGUGACAUUGUUAUAUGUUCUGCUACACUUUCAUAUCUUUUCACACAUAUUUGGACUAACCUACUAACUCAAUGCACCCAGUGCCAGUUUCUGUCUGCUGAAGUAUUUUUUUCGCACGGACUUCUACCCAAAAUUCCAGAGCCCCAAAAAUCCUGAGAAAAAUAAUAUAAAAAUCAGCAUGAGGGAAGCUUCCGGAGCACCAAAGAUGGGCCAAAGGGGAGCCAGGGGCUGCCCAGGUGGUCUCCCUGCGCGGCCUGACCCUGGCCACGCCCACAGGUCGCCUGGGUGGGCCCCACCUCCUCUGACGCCCUCCAUUGGCCUAUAUUUACCCUCCGAUCGGAAACCCUUCCAUCAUAUCCAGAUCGCAAAUUUCUCCAUCGUUCCGCCGCCGCAGCGCUUCCGAGAUCGGGAGCGUCACGAGACCUCUUCCCGGCACCCUGCCGGAGGGAGGAUUGACCUCCGGGAGCUUCUCCACCGCCAUGGACGCUUCUCGGUGUUGGAAUUAUGCCCUAGAGGCAAUAAUAAAUAUAGUUAUUAUUAUAAUUCCUGUAUCAAGAUAAUCGUUUAUUAUCCAUGCUAUAAUUGUAAUGAAUGAAGGCCUAUAUACAUGUGUGGAUACAUAGACAAAACACUGUCCCUAGCAAGCCUCUAGUUGGCUAGCCAGUUGAUCAAAGAUAGUCAGUGUCUUCUGAUUAUGAACAAGGUGUUGUUGCUUGAUAACUGGAUCACGUCAUUAGGAGAAUCACGUGAUGGACUAGACCCAAACUAAUAGACGUAGCAUGUUGAUCGUGUCAUUUUGUUGCUACUGUUUUCUGCGUGUCAAGUAUUUGUUCCAAUGACCAUGAGAUCAUAUAACUCACUGACACCGGAGGAAUGCUUUGUGUGUAUCAAACGUCGCAACGUAACUGGGUGACUAUAAAGAUGCUCUAUUGGUAUCUCCGAAGGUGUUCGUUGAGUUAGUAUGGAUCGAGACUGGGAUUUGUCACUCCGUGUGACGGAGAGGUAUCUCGGGGCCCACUCGGUAAUACAACAUCACACACAAGCCUUGCAAGCAAUGUAACUUAGUGUAAGUUGCGGGAUCUUGUAUUACGGAACGAGUAAAGAGACUUGCCGGUAAACGAGAUUGAAAUAGGUAUGCGGAUACUGACGAUCGAAUCUCGGGCAAGUAACAUACCGAAGGACAAAGGGAAUGACAUACGGGAUUAUAUGAAUCCUUGGCACUGAGGUUCAAACGAUAACAUCUUUGUAGAAUAUGUAGGAUCCAAUAUGGGCAUCCAGGUCCCGCUGUUGGAUAUUGACCGAGGAGUCUCUCGGGUCAUGUCUACAUAGUUCUCGAACCCGCAGGGUCUGCACACUUAAGGUUCGACGUUGUUUUAUGCGUAUUUGAGUUAUAUGGUUGGUUACCGAAUGUUGUUCGGAGUCCCGGAUGAGAUCACGGACGUCACGAGGGUUUCCGGAAUGGUCCAGAAACGAAGAUUGAUAUAUAGGAUGACCUCAUUUGAUUACCGGAAGGUUUUCGGAGUUACCGGGAAUGUACCGGGAAUGACGAAUGGGUUCCGGGAGUUCACCGGGGGGGAACCCACCCCGGGGAANNNNNNNNNNNNNNNNNNNNNNNNNNNNNNNNNNNNNNNNNNNNNNNNNNNNNNNNNNNNNNNNNNNNNNNNNNNNNNNNNNNNNNNNNNNNNNNNNNNNNNNNNNNNNNNNNNNNNNNNNNNNNNNNNNNNNNNNNNNNNNNNNNNNNNNNNNNNNNNNNNNNNNNNNNNNNNNNNNNNNNNNNNNNNNNNNNNNNNNNNNNNNNNNNNNNNNNNNNNNNNNNNNNNNNNNNNNNNNNNNNNNNNNNNNNNNNNNNNNNNNNNNNNNNNNNNNNNNNNNNNNNNNNNNNNNNNNNNNNNNNNNNNNNNNNNNNNNNNNNNNNNNNNNNNNNNNNNNNNNNNNNNNNNNNNNNNNNNNNNNNNNNNNNNNNNNNNNNNNNNNNNNNNNNNNNNNNNNNNNNNNNNNNNNNNNNNNNNNNNNNNNNNNNNNNNNNNNNNNNNNNNNNNNNNNNNNNNNNNNNNNNNNNNNNNNNNNNNNNNNNNNNNNNNNNNNNNNNNNNNNNNNNNNNNNNNNNNNNNNNNNNNNNNNNNNNNNNNNNNNNNNNNNNNNNNNNNNNNNNNNNNNNNNNNNNNNNNNNNNNNNNNNNNNNNNNNNNNNNNNNNNNNNNNNNNNNNNNNNNNNNNNNNNNNNNNNNNNNNNNNNNNNNNNNNNNNNNNNNNNNNNNNNNNNNNNNNNNNNNNNNNNNUUUUCUGCGUGUCAAGUAUUUGUUCCUAUGACCAUGAGAUCAUAUAACUCACUGACACCGGAGGAAUACUUUGUGUGUAUCAAACGUCGCAACGUAAUUGGGUGACUAUAAAGAUGCUCUACAGGUAUCUCCGAAGGUGUUCGUUGAGUUAGUAUGGAUCGAGACUGGGAUUUGUCACUCCGUGUGACGGAGAGGUAUCUCGGGGCCCACUCGGUAAUACAACAUAACACACAAGCCUUGCAAGCAAUGUGACUUAGUGUAAGUUGCGGGAUCUUGUAUUACGGAACGAGUAAAGAGACUUGCCGGUAAACGAGAUUGAAAUAGGUAUGCGGAUACUGACGAUCGAAUCUCGGGCAAGUAACAUACCGAAGGACAAAGGGAAUGACAUACGGGAUUAUAUGAAUCCUUGGCACUGAGGUUCAAACGAUAACAUCUUUGUAGAAUAUGUAGGAUCCAAUAUGGGCAUCCAGGUCCCGCUGUUGGAUAUUGACCGAGGAGUCUCUCGGGUCAUGUCUACAUAGUUCUCGAACCCGCAGGGUCUGCACUCUUAAGGUUCGACGUUGUUUUAUGCGUAUUUGAGUUAUAUGGUUGGUUACCGAAUGUUGUUCGGAGUCCCGGAUGAGAUCACGGACGUCACGAGGGUUUCCGGAAUGGUCCGGAAACGAAGGUUGAUAUAUAGGAUGACCUCAGUUGAUUACCGGAAGGUUUUCGGAGUUACCGGGAAUGUACCGGGAAUGACGAAUGGGUUCCGGGAGUUCACCGGGGGGGGGGGGCAACCCACCCCGGGGAAGCCCAUAGGCCUUGGGGGGGGCACACCGGCCCUUAGUGGGCUGUUGGGACAGCCCAAGAAGGCCCUAUGCGCCAUAGGAAGAAAAUCAAAGAGAAAAAAAGAGGAGGUGGGAAAAGCGGGAAGGACUCCUCCUUCCAAACCUAGUUGGAGUCGGUUUGGAAGGGGAGGGUUGCCCCCCUUGGCUCGGCCGAAGCCCUUGAGGGUCCUUGGACCCCAAGGCAAGGCUCCCCCUCUUCCCCCUAUAUAUACGGAGGUUUUAGGGCUGAUUUGAGACGACUUUUCCACGACAGCCCGACCACAUACCUCCACGGUUUUUCCUCUAGAUCGCGUUUCUGCGGAGCUCGGGCGGAGCCCUGCUGAGAUAAGAUCACCACCAACCUCCGGAGCGCCAUCACGCUGCCGGAGAACUCAUCUAACUCUCCGUCUCUCUUGCUGGAUCAAGAAGGCCGAGAUCAUCGUCGAGCUGUACGUGUGCUGAACGCGGAGGUGCCGUCCGUUCGGCACUAGAUCGUGGGACUGAUCGCGGGACGGUUCGCGGGGCGGAUCAAGGGACGUGAGGACGUUCCACUACAUCAACCGCGUUCACUAACGCUUCUGUUGUACGGUCUACAAGGGUACAUAGAUCACACAUCCCCUCUCGUAGAUGGACAUCACCAUGAUAGGUCUUCGUGCGCGUAGGAAAUUUUUUGUUUCCCAUGCGACGUUCCCCAACACUCGGACGUGCAUGAGUAGUCCUCCUUGGACCAUGAGUCCAUGACCAGUAGCUAUGUGACGUCUUCUCUCCAAUCUUGUGCUUCAAUGAUUAGCCCUUGUGAGUUGCCCAACAUGAUCAAGGCAUCUAUGUAAUUUUACUGCUAUUGCUAUGCUCGGUUUGCUGGGAUCCGAUGGAUUAUGAGAUUUUGUUCAGAUUGUGAUGAGUUAUAUAUUUGAUUAUACUUUUAUAUUAUGUUCUUUAGUGAUUCAUGCAUGUUCUCAGUUGCUUUUUAUUUCUUUGGCCGAGUAGUAGAUUGUAACUCCAAGACAGAGCGUAAUGCAUGAUUGUGGGUUCAUGCCCCCUGAUGUCUAGCUUGAGUGAUAGAAACAUCAUACUAGGGGAUGUGCUCUUGCCACGAGGGAGAAAACAACGGUUCUUGUGACUGCGGUUGCAAGUAUUGUUUACCUUGCGCAAAGUUCGUUAAUGCAGUUGUCCGUUGCUUUGAGUUUAUACUUUGGGUGGGGCUCGCAACUUAAUACCAGCGAGAUGUUCUGGAUAGAUAUCUCAAGGUGGAUGAUUACUAAGUAGAUGCUGAUGGAUAAACGAUCUACUUGUCUUGGCGUACCGCCCAUUACUAUUGUGCCUCUAACGUUCAAGUAGCAUAAUUAGCAUUUUGGUGCGUUCAUAAUUCUGUCAAUUGCCCAGCUGUAAUUUUUUUACCCAUGCAUAGUUGAUUAUCAUCUUUUGGGAGAGAGACAUCACUAGUGAACAUCAUGUGAAUCAGGUCCACAUUACCACCAUUGUUUACACCUUCACCAUUUACUGCUUUCAUUUACUUUUCCGUUGCAAUCACUAUCACUAUUCCCGCUUGUGUUUUGAUCCUUUGCAAACUACAAGGCGGGAGAGAUUGACAACCUCUCUAUACUCGUUGGGAGAAAAGUUAUUUGUUAUGUGGGCAGGUCCACGACUUCUGCUAGCGCCAGAGCUGUGGACACCUACUUGUUGAUCCUUAGAGUCCUCCUGGUUCGACAAACCUUACAGUCCCCGUGUAAGGGAAAUCUGCUGCUGACUACAUCUCCACAUUCCACUUGGGGUAACCAAUGAGGGGCGAGAACUAUAUCCAUCAACUCGUGAUCAACAUGUUAAUCUGAACUAAGGAGUUUCUUAGACUUAGAAAAAUUAGCAUGGUGCAAGGAACAACAAUUUUAUCAAAUUGACAUGUUUGACAACAAAAUUUACUAGGAUGCAAAACCUAUACUUGAAAACUAAUGGCGCAAAUUAACAUAAGAUGUUGCUUUACAAUUCACUCCAUUGGACCAACCCCAAAGGGGCUAUAGAUUAAUGGAGAUUCACAUUGAAACACAACAAAAAAUUAUAGCACAUUCCUUACUUAGAAUUAUUUUGGACCCUCAAAACAGGAACAUUUUAUGGCAAGUUCACAUGAUCAAAACUAUAGCUAAACAUGAAAAACAUGGCAUGAUAAACCUACUAACAACAAUUAGACAUGGAAUACUACAAAUCACUCCAUUGGCGCACAUUCAAAAGAGGCAUGGUUUGCUUAAUUCGAGCUUCACAAAAUGGAACUUAACGUUAACAAAUUAGCAGUUUUAGCAUCAUAGCACCUUUAGAGAAACAUAUUGAUAUGAUAGAGAAGAUUUACAUGGCAACCAUAGACAUGGCAUUAAAGUAGGCAUCACAGAGAACAAAUUCCAUGAAGGAAUCACAUGCAAAAGACCUACGGAUUAGAUGCAAUCAUCCACGAAAGUUUGCAAGUUUUAACAGUUUUCGUUGAUUAUGAUGCAAUGCACUUUUGCCACACAGUUUUGAGCACUUAGAUGAAACCCUAUACGCAUGCAAAUUCCACCAUGCAGUAGAGCACGAAAUGUAGAUCAAUUUUCAUACAUAUUACAUUGCCAUCAGAUGCACGGUUUGAACACCAUAAGAACAACAAAAUGCAAUCAUGGUGAUAAAACAAACUUUUCCAGACUUCCUCAUUUUUACCGUGCUCGUCGGAUAGCAUAUAUAGCGAACAUUCACUCUGUAGCCCAAAUAUGCACAUUCGCAAAUCGGUUAAACUCACAAACAACCGAGUCUUAACGGGUUCUCACGAGUGGGCCUUGGGCCAGAUCUGGAGAGGAGGCUGGGCCAGCGAGGCACACUGGGCCGGGGCGAGGCCCACACGAGGUCGGGGCCAACGCGGGUGAGGCAUGCAGCGAGCGAGUGCUCUCCGCCUCGAACCCAAUCGGGGAGCAGGUCACUUGUGGCAGUAGUACAACUUCCGGCGAGCAGGGUGGGCGGCUCGCGAGGACGCGGUGGAUGGAGGGGUAGUGCAUGGCGUGUCUCGACCCAAUCCUUCUGAAUUCGGGCCGGAGAUGGUCCACAUCAGCGCGGGCAAGCUGUGUGGUGGCUUUGUGAAUUGGCGGCCAGUGGCGGCGCGCGGUAGGGCGGAACGAGGCACGUGCGAGGGGGUGAGUGGCCGUGGGGCUAGGGAGGCAUGGAGGUUGCGGUCACCUGCGGGAGACACGACUCGGGUGGCUCAUUCAUAGCGGCUUAGCGGUGGUUGCUUUGAUGCGUCCAGUGAUGACAGCUUGGGCUCGUGUGGUCGGGCGUGUUGGAAAUAUGCCCUAGAGGCAAUAAUAAAAUGGUUAUUAUCAUAUUUCCUUUUUCAUGAUAAUUUUCUAUUGUUCAUGCUAUAACUGUAUUAACCGGAAACCGUAAUACAUGUGUGAAUACAUAGACCACACCAUGUCCCUAAUGAGACUCUAGUUGACUAGCUCGUUGAUCAAUAGAUGGUCAUGGUUUCCUGACUAUGAAUAUUAGAUGUCGUUGAUAACGGGAUCACAUCAUUAGGAGAAUGAUGUGAUGGACAAGACCCAAUCCUAAGCGUAGCACAUGAUCAUGUAGUUCGUCUGCUAGAGCUUUUCUAAUGUCAAGUAUCAUUUCCUUAGACCAUGAGAUUGUGCAAAUCCCGGAUACCGUAGGAAUGCUUUGGGUGUAUCAAACAUCACAACGUAACUGUGUGACUAUAAAGGUGCACUACAGGUAUCUCCGAAAGUGUGUGUUGGGUUGGUACGAAUCGAGACUAGGAUUUGUCACUCCGUGUGACGGAGAGGUAUCUCUGGGCCCACUCGAUAAUACAUCAUCAUAAUGAGCACAAUGUGACUAAGGAGUUAGUCACGGGAUCACUUGUUAUGGAACGAGAAAAGAGACUUGCCGGUAACGACAUUGAACAAGGUAUGGGGAUACCGAUGAUCGAAUCUCGGGCAGGUAACAUACCAAUGGACAAAGGAAUUGUAUACGGGAUUAAUCGAAUCCCCGACAUCGUGGUUCAUUCGAUGAGAUCAUCCUGGAACAUGUGGGAGCUAAUAUGGGUAUCCAGAUCCCGCUAUUGGUUAUUGGCCGGAGAGGUGUCUCGGUCAGGUCUGCAUGGUUCCCGAACCCGUAGGGUCUACACAUUUAAGGUUUGGUGAUGCUAGAGUUGUAAUGGGAAUUGUAUGUGGUCACCAAAAGUUAUUCGGAGUCCCGGAUGAGAUCUCGGACGUCACGAGGAGUUCCGGAAUAGUUCGGAGGUGAAUAUUUUUAUAUGGGAAGUCAAGUUUCAGUCACCGGAAAGGUUUCGGGGUUUAUCUGUAUUGUACCGGGACCAUCGAAAAGGUAUCGAGGGUCCACCGGGAGGGGCCACGUGCCCCGAAGGACCACGUGGGGUGAAAGUGGGUGGGAACCAGCCUCCUGGUGGGCUGGUGCGCCCUCCCCAAGGGCCCAAGGCGUCUAAGGCUGGGAACCCUAGGGCGUGGGAGGCUCCUCCCACCAACUUGGUAGGCAAGCCUCCCCCUUGGCCACCGCCGCCCCUUCCUAGGGCAUCUAGGGUGGCCGCCCCCCUGUCUCCUUCCCCCUAUAAAUAGAUGAGGGGUGAGAGGGCUGCGACACACCUGAAACCCUUGCCCCUGGCGCAGCCCUCCCCCUCAUACGACUCCUCCUCCUCCGUUGAGCUUAGCGAAGCUCUACCGGAGAACCACGAGCUCGACUGCCACCACGACGUCGUGCUGCUGGAGCUCUCCCUCAACUUCUUCUCCCCCUUGCGUGAGUACCAAAGGAUGUAAGGUUGAUAAUGAUAGUCCCACAUACUUGUGGCACUGCCGCCUUGGUCAUAUUGGUGUCAAACACAUGAAGAAACUCCAUCCAGAUGGACUUUUGGAGUCUCUUGAUUAUGAAUCAUUUGACACGUGCGAACCAUGCCUCAUGGGCAAGAUGACUAUGACUCCGUUCUCCCGAACAAUGGAGCGAACAAAAAACUUGUUGGAAAUAAUACAUACCGAUGUAUGCGGUCCAAUGAGUGUUGAGGCUCGCGGUGGCUAUCGUUAUGUUCUCACCCUCACUAAUGACUUAAGAAGAUAUGGGUAGGUCUACUUAAUGAAACACAAGUCUGAGACCUUUGAAAAGUUCAAGGAAUUUCAGAGUGAGGUAGAGAAUCAACGUGACAAGACAAUAAAGUUCUUACGAUCUGAUCGUGGAGGGGGUAUUUGAGUCACGAGUUUGGCACACACUUAAGGAAAUGUGGAAUUGUUUCACAACUCACGCCACCUAGCAUACCACAGCGUAAUGGUGUGUCCAAACGUUGUAAUCGCGCUCUAUUGGAUAUGGUGCGUUCUAUGAUGUCUCUUACUGAUUUACCGCUAUCAUUUUUGGGAUAUGCAUUGGAGACUGCCGCAUUCACUUUGUUAAUAGGGCACCGUCUAAAUCCGUUGAGACGACACCAUAUGAAUUAUGGUUUGGGAAGAAACCUAAGGUAUCAUUUCUAAAAGUUUGGGCAUACGAUGCUUAUGUCAAGAAACUUCAACCUGAAAUGCUCAAACCCCUAAUCCGAAAAGUGCAUCUUCAUAGGAUACCCUAAGGAAACUAUUGGGUAUACCUUCUAUCUUAGAUCCGAAGGCAAGAUCUUUGUUGCCAAGAAUGGAUCCUUUUUAGAGAAAGAGUUUCUGUCGAAAGAAGUAAGUGGGAGGAAAUUAGAAUUUGAUGAGGUAAUUGUACCCCCUCUCGAACCGGUGAGUAGCGAAGCGCAGGAAAAUGUUUCUGUGGUGUGUGCACCGACUAGAGAGGAAGUUAACGAUGACGAUCAUGAAACUUCGGAUCAAGUUAUUACUAAAGUUCGUAGGUCCACGAGGACACGUUCCGCACCAGAGUGGUAUGGCAACCCUCCUGAAAAUAAUGUUGUUAGACAACGGUGAACCUUCGAACUAUGAAGAAGCCAUGGCGGGCCCGGAUUCCAACAAAUGGAUUGAAGCCAUGAAAUCCGAGAUGGGAUUCAUGUAUGAGAACAAAGUAUAGACUUUGGUGGACUUACCCGAUGAUCAACAAGCCAUAUAAAAUAAAUGGAUCUUUAAGAAGAAGAUUGAUGCGGAUGGUAAUGUGACCGUCUAUAAGGCUCGGCUUGUUCCUAAGGGUUAUCGACAAGUUCAAGGAGUUGACUACAAUGAGACUUUCUCACCCGUAGCGAUGGUGAAGUCUGUCCAAAUCAUGUUAGCAGUUGCCGCAUUUUAUGAUUAUGAGAUCUGGCAAAUGGACGUCAAAACUACAUUCCUUAAUGGCUUUCUUAAGGAAGAAUUGUAUAUGAUGCAACCGGAAGGUUUUGUCGAUCCUAAGAAUGCUGACAAGGUAUGCUUGCUCCAGCGCUCCAUCUAUGGGCUCGUGCAAGCAUCUCGGAGUUGGAACAUUCGCUUUGAUGAGGUGAUUAAAGUGUUUGGGUUUGUACAGACUUAUGGAGAAGCCUGUAUUUACAAGAAAGUGAGUGGGAGCUCUGUAGCAUUUCUCAUUUUAUAUGUGGAUGGCAUAUUGUUGAUGGGAAAUGAUAUAUAACUUUUGGAAAGCAUAAAGGCCUACUUGAAUAAGUGUUUUUCAACGAAGGACCAUGGAGAAGCUGCUUACAUAUUAUGCAUCAAGAUCUAUAGAGAUAGAUCAAGACACCUAAUUGGUCUUUCACAAAGCACAUACCUUGACAAGAUAUUGAAGAAGUUCAAUAUGGAUAAGUCCAAGAAGGGGUUCUUGCCUGUAUUUCAAGGUGUGAAAUUGCGCACAACUCAAUGCCCGACCACGACAGAAGAUAGAGAAAAGACGAGUAUCAUCCCCUUUGCUUCAGCCAUAGGCUCUAUUAUGUAUGCCAUGCUGUGUAGGAGGCCUGAUGUGAACCUUGCCAUAAGUUUGGUGGGGAGAUACCAAAGUGAUCCAGGAAUGGAUCACUGGACAACGGUUAAGAAUAUCCUUAAGUACCUAAAAAGGACUAAAGAUAUGUUUCUCGUUUAUGGAGGUGCCGAAGAGCUCGUCGUAAAGGGUUACGUCGAUUCUAGCUUCGACACAAUCCGGAUGACUCCAAGACACAAACCGAAUACGUGUAUAUUUUGAAUGGUGGGGCAGUCAGAUGAUGCAUUUGCAAGCAAAGCGUCAUGGCGACAUCUACAUGUGAAGCGGAGUACAUAGCUGCUUCGGAAGCAGCGCAUGAAGGAGUCUGGAUGAAGGAGUUCAUCACCAACCUAGGAGUGAUUCCCAAUGUGUAGGGCCUGAUGACUCUCUUCUGUGACAACACUGGAGCUAUUGCCAUUGCCAAGGAGACUAGGUUUCACAACAAGACCAAGCACAUCAAGCGCCGCUUCAACUCCAUUUGUGGUUACAUUCAGGAUGGAGAUAUAGAUAUUUGUAAAGUACAUAUGGAUCUGAAUGUCGCAGAUCCAUUGACUAAACCUCUUCCACGAGCGAAACAUGAUCAACACCAGAAAUCUAUAGGUGUUCGAUUCAUCACAAUGUAACUAUAUUAUUUUCUCUAGUGCAAGUGGGAGACUGUUGGAAAUAUGCCCUAGAGGCAAUAAUAAAAUGGUUAUUAUUAUAUUUCCUUGUUCAUGGUAAUUGUCUAUUGUUCAUGCUAUAAUUGUAUUAACCGGAAACCGUAAUACAUGUGUGAAUACAUAGACCACACCAUCUCCCUAGUGAGCCUCUAGUUGACUAGCUCGUUGAUCAAUAGAUGUUCAUAGUUUCCAGACCAUGCAGAUUGGAUGUCGUUGAUAACGGGAUCACAUCAUUACGAGAAUGAUGUGAUGGACAAGACCAAAUUCUAAGCAUAGCACAAGAUCGUGUAGUUCGUCUGCUAGAGCUUUUCUAAUGUCAAGUAUCAUUUCCUUAGACCAUGAGAUUGUGCAACUCCUGGAUACCGUAGGAAUGCUUUGGGUGUAUCAAACGUCACGGCGUAACUGAGUGACUAUAUGGGUGCACUACAGGUAUCUCCGAAAGUGUGUGUUGGGUUGGUACGAAACGACUAAGGAUCUCAUCGAGACUGUGAUUUGUCACUCCGUGUGACAGAGAGGUAUCUCUGGGCCCACUCGGUAGUACAUCAUCAUAAUGAGCUCAAUGUGACUAAGGAGUUAGUCACGGGAUCCUGUGUUACAGAACGACUAAAGAGACUUGCCGGUAACGAGAUUGAACAAGGUAUGGGGAUACCGAUGACCGAAUCUCAGGCAGGUAACAUACCGAUGGACAAACGGAAUUGUAUACGGGAUUAAUCGGAUCCCCGAUAUUGUGGUUCAUCCGAUGAGAUCAUCGUGGAACACGUGGGAGCCAAUAUGGGUAUCCAUAUCCCGCUAUUGGUUAGUGGCUGGAGAGGUGUCUCCGUCAUGUCUGCAUGGUUCCCGAACUUGUAAGGUCUACACAUUUAAGGUUCGGUGACGCUAGAGUUGUAAUGGGAAUUGUAUGUGGUUACCGAAAGUUGUUAGGAGUCCCGGAUGAGAUCCCGGAUGUCACGAGGAGUUCCGAAAUAGUUCGGAGGUGAAGAUUUAUAUAUGGGAAGUCCAAUUUCAGUCACCGAAAAGGUUUCGGGGUUUAUCGGUAUUGUACGGGGACCAUCGAAAGGGUACAAGGGGUCCACCCGGAGGACCACAUGUGCUGAAAGUGGGUGGGAACCAGCCUCUUGGUGGGCUGGUGCACCCUCCCCAAGGGCCCAAGGUUCCUAGGGCUGGGAACCCUAGGGCGUGGGAGGCUCCUCCCACCAACUUGGGAGGCAAGCCUCCCCCUUGGCCGCGGCCGCCCCCUCCUAGGGCGUCUAGGGUGGACGAACCCCUCUCCCCUCCAACCUAUAAAUAGAUGAGGGGUGAGAGGGCUGCGACACACCUGAAACCAUUGCCCUUGGCGCAGCCCUCCCCCUCCUACACCUCUUCCUCCUUCCUUGAGCUUAGCGAAGCUCUGCGGGAGAACCACGAGCUCCACCGCCACCACGCCGUCGUGCCGCCGGAUCUCUCCUUCAACUUCUCCUUCCCCCUUGCUGGAUCAAGAAGGAGGUGACGUCCCCGGGUUGUACGUGUGUUGAACGCAGAGGCACCGUUCGUUCGGUCCUUGCAUUGGAUCUUCCCCAAUUUGAAUCGACGCUCCAUCAACCGUGUUGUUUGCAACGCUUCCGCUUAGCGAUCUUCAACGGUAUGAAGAUGUACUCCCUCUCUCUUGUUUCUAGCAUCUCCUAGAUUGAUCUUGGUGACACGUAGGAGAAUUUUGAAUUAUUACUACGUUCCCCAAUAGGGCGGACAUUGUCCGGUGGGUGUGCAGGGACGAAAUUUGACUCCGAGAUAUGAGAUAUGAGGGCCACAUUUGGCUAGGGGGCUAGGGUUUCGGGAUUGGAAGGAGGUGGAGCUAGAAGGUAGGGUUUUAGGGGUGGCUACAAAUUUGACAAGGGGAAACCCUAGUGGAGUGAGAGGGGUCUCUCCAUGGGUUGUCUUUAUAUAGGGAAUGAACAAUGGUGGGAUGGAUCUUGUCCGUCCGAUCGCGAUCCCACGACCACGAACAGACGGGGGGCCUAGGUGGAUCUAGUGGGCUGUGUAGAUGGCUUGGGCUAAGAAGAGAGAGAGGUUUAUGAAACAUGACAAGUUUAUUUACAAACUAAAAACGUCCGAGGUUUAUCCGACUAUAGUUCUGCUAUAUAUUUAAAGGUUCGAGUAUCAAACGACAUGUGAAUGCGACGAAAUUUGGCGGGCGUUCUAUCUACAUUAUAUUUAGACCGCAUGCCAAGUUUUGAACUUUCCUGAGAAUUUUUUGUACAUACUUUAAAAUAUAAUAUUUUUGCGAUGCCGUGGGCGCGUGCAUGUAUGGUUAGUCACAAAACGGUGAAAUACAAGAACAGAGAGAACCAAUAACUACAAACGGAUGCAAGUUUUAAAAAAUGACGAUAAUGGAGUGCCGAUGAAAUGUGAUGAUGUGCAUGACGCGAUGGUGAAUGCGACAACCAAAUGAAUCACACAACGAUAACAAAAUAAAAAGGGAAUCUCCUGGAGCGUCGGUCUCGGGCUGUUACACUCUAUGUCACAAAAUGAAAAAUAAAGUGAAUCAGGAAGUUGUUAGAGUUGUGAUUAGAGGAGGUAGAAUGACCCAGGUUACUCUAUAUCUUGAAGACCACCCUAAAAUAAUUGAGAAAUAUUCUUUGGUGGGUUAAUAUUGAUGCUCCUAGUACAUCUAAUAAGAAAAAGAAAAAAUAAGCAUGAUAGAACUCUGCAUGCUUCUAGUGAACCCAUGAUAGAAAAAUAUUUUGAGAAUCAUAAUGAUGUUUAUAUUUCUGAUGCUAAGACACAAGCUCAUAGUGAACAUCCACCUAGUGAUAAUGAUAAUGGUAAUGAUGAUGUUCAUGUCGAUGCCUAACCAGACAAUAGUAAAGAACCUAGUAAUGAAGUAUAAAUAGAACUUCUUGUUGAUCUUGAUAACCCACCUCCUAAGAAUAAAAGAUAUGAUAAAAGAUAUUUCAUUGCUAGAAAACAUGGUAGGGGAAGAGAGCCAUGGGUUCAAAAACCUAUGCCUUUUUCCUAGUAAAACUCCAAAAAAUACGGAUGGGGAAGAUUUGAGCGCUUUAAUGAAGUGCUUAGACCAGUCUUUUUGCGAACAUGUUUGACGGAUAUUUUUGAAACGCCUCCUUAUACUAAAUACAUGAAAGAUAUUAUAACUAUUAAAAGAAAGAUACAUGAAACUGAAAUUUCCACCAUGCUUGUGAAUUAUUCUUUUAAAUGGGGGUACCUAAGAAGUUAGGAGAUCUAGGAUUACCUACUAUAUCUUGCUCUAUUAAAAUAAAUUAUGUCAAAACUCCAUUAUGUGAUUUAGGAGAAGGUGUUAAUGUCAUAAAUUUCUCCUUAUAUCGAAGAUUUGAUUUGGAUAAAUUGACACAUACCAAAAUAUCUUUGCAAAUUAUUGAAAAAUUGACUCUAUACCCAUUGGUAUUUGUGAGGAUGUUGUGUUGUAGUUGCAAAUGUUACUAUCUUAACAAACUUUGUUAUUCUUGGUAUGCCCGAGGAUGAGAGCAUUUAGAUUAUCCUUGGUAGAUCAUUUUUGAAUAAUGCAUGGGUUAUUAUUGAUUGCAACAAAAGUAAUGUCACUUUUAAUGUUAAUGUUAACCAACAUCUGGUAUACUUCUCGAGGAAACAAAUUUCAGUGAAGAAUAUUAACUCCGUUAAACAAAUUGAGACAAUUACUAUUGUAGGGUUCAAAUUUCGUCUUCCUAUCGUCAAAAAUAUAUAUGAAAUUCUUAUUGUUGGGGAAAUGCAUAUCCCGUUGAGGUAACUUAGUGUUAUACAAAGAUUUUUUGGUUUCAUGUCUGUCACAUCCCUAGAUUCCCUGUUAGGGUUUAACAUCUUGUGCUCAUGUCUUCUUUCAUUGCAUUCAAGAAAUGGAAAGAAACCCAAAAGCAAAGCAAGAAAACCAAAGCAAAACCCUAGCCACUCUUUAUUCAAAAGAAAUACAACUAUUGCCAAAAUCAAUGAACCCAAAAUGGCCUUCAUAAAAGUCCAACAUUUCUGAUAAAUAUUGAAAACAAAAUAUCAGAGGUGAAACUUAUUUUCAAACCACUUUUGGCAUUUUAAAUUUCAGUUAAAAGCUACUGAAAUCAAUUAUAUAUUUGAUUUCAAAUAAUUCAAAGUUUCCAAAAAUGUUGAAAACAUUAUGAGUGGUUGGAAAUAUUCCAACUAACACUCUGGUAUUUUUCAAACUAUUUUUAGGAAUAGUUUGGAGCCAAAAAUAAAUGAAACAAUAUCAGAUAGAAUAAAAUAGAAAAAGAAAAGAAAAUAAAUGCAAAAAGCUUACCUCACGCUCACCUGAAGCCUAGUCCACCUUAGCUCUGUCGUCUUCCUCCUGCGAGUCGGAGCAGGAGGUGGCCACCGCGCUCCCCGGCNCCUGCCCCUCUCCCUCUCUCCUGAGCCGCACAACAGCUUCGCCGUGAUCCCCUGAAGCUCUCCAGCUAGUCGCGCGACGCCGAGAAGCUCUGAAACGUUGUGAAGCCACCGUCUUCUUCCUCGGGUCACCAGAGCUCGUCGCCGUCAUUCUCCCUCCUCAGGCCAUCCCCGCGCCCACUCUCGACGCCUCUGCACUCCCCGUGAGCUCAGGGUCCUUUCCCCUAAGUUUCCCCCCUCGAUCCCUUCCUCUAGACCCCGAUUCCACCGAAGCCCGACGAGAUCCGCCACGGGACCUUGUCGCCGGUAGCUCUCCGGUGAUCGGCUGGUCCAUCUGAGGCCACCAAUGGCUUCAAUGCGUCGCGUAGGUGCUCUAGGAGCUAAGCCCCGCUCGUUUUGCCUUCGGUUUCGUCGAUCCUGACAUAGUCUGAUCUUCGGCCGCCGCCAAGCUCAUCGCUGGCGUCAUCUCUGGCCAUCUUAGCCUUGGGUCUUUGCAGAAAUGAAAUUGCGGCUGUGCGCUGGUUCGUUUGGGGCCCUCCGCCGUGCAUUUGGUCGUCGGAGAUGGAUUUCCGAGCCCCUCCUCCGUUCUGCUCGUCGUCGGAGGCUCACCGCCGGCGAGAUCGACCUCGCCGCCGGUGGAUCUGACCCCCUGAGCCUAUGAAACGUGGGGCCAGCCCGUGGCUAAUUAAGUUUAGUAAAAAUAAAAAUAACUUAUUUAAUUAACUUAGUCAGACAGUGACAGGUGGGUCCCCCUCUGUUAAUUAACUAAUUAAGUUAAAUCUAAAUUUAAACUGACUAGAUACACUGACCAGUGGGUCCCACUGGUCAGGUUUGACUUUCAAUGGCCAGUUGGACCUGCUGAUGUCAAGCUGAUGCAAUAACUCAUUUUCUGUUUAAAAAUAAUUCCGGAAUAAGUUCAAAACUUUGGAAAUUCAUAGAAAAUUGAAUAUAACUCCAAAUUUGACAAAUAAUAUAUGUAAUUGGAUCAGAAAAAUUCAAGGAAUCCAAUGGUGCUAUUUUCAUGCAUGAAAAACAAAGUUAUGAGAAAUCAUCAGGUCAAAUCAAUUAAAAGAAUGUGAUAAAUUAUAAUUUAAAUGAUAUUUGAAUUAUGAUUUCAAAUCAAGAUCACCAACAGGGUUCUGCCAGUCAUUUCAAACCAUGCUAAAUUGCAUUUCAUGCAUCAUUUUGUUGCAUAUGUUUGAUACUGAUUGAUUGUUGAUUAUUCCGGUAGGCCUCGCUCCUCCGGAUACGUCUGAUUAUCCGACUGACGGAUAUCAACCUUCUGCCGAGCAACAAGGCAAGCAACCAUUUUGAUCAUCCCGAUAAAUCCCAUGUUCUCGCUCCUGCUCUUAUUUAUUGCAUUAGGAUCAAAUGCUUUAAAUGCUUUUUCCACGUUAGUUGAACCCACUUCUUUUGCAUGACCUGUCCUUGUCACAGUAAAUAGCUGAACCUUGCAACCUAGCAUACCUGGUAGAUGCUUAAGCCAUGAUGUGCCUUAUCCUGCUAUGCAUGCUAUGCUUAGAGUUGUGUAUGGUCUGUCAUCUGGACGAUGAACAUAAUAGUGAUAAUGUGUUCAGUAGUAAAGGUUGUGUGUUGAACUUGAUUUGGUAAAGGUACCGGUGAAAGGCUAUGUAGGAGUACAUGGCGGGUUGUUUCAUUGGAACCGUCCUUAGGAACUGAGUUUUGUGUAUGUAAUCCAAGAUAGAUACUACCACACGUUGGGAUACUUAAUUGACCCUCUCGACUUAUUAAUCGCUUAGUACUCAGUCCAGGAGUUGCAAGUAGUUUCUGGUGUUUAUAGUCAUGCUGGUGCCGUGCGUAGCGCUGACCUUAGAGGUGGGCUAUGAUGCGGUAGGCAGUGGCACGGUGUACCAAGUGGCUCCCGGAUGGUGGGCUUGGGAACCCUGCGCACAUCGUUUGGGGCCGUGGCGGAAACCUCGGCCGGACUUCCGUGCGGGUUACCCUCAGAUAGGCGAUAGACCUGGACUAAGUAUUAGCGUGGUUAACAGUCGUGGCCGACUCCCUCGCUGGGCUUCCGCUUGAAGGUUGCCGAGGUGCAUGACGUGCACACGGCGAUAAGUGGUGAGAGCGUGUGUGAAGAAGUACACCCCUGCAGGGUUAUGAUCUAUUCGAAUAGCCGCGUCCGCGGAUAUGGACUACUUGGAAACAUAUGUUGUUCAUAGAUAACUAUAAUGGCUACUCAUAAAAUUGUCAAGAUAAGCGUGAGUGUUGUGGACGACAUUUCCGUAGGGAGACAGAAUGAUUCCAUGAUGGAGUAUUGUUGUGGUGUUAGUGGACUCGUGUGCGAGAAACAUAGUUGUCAAAACUAUUUAAAAAUGCAAGUUGUCUAGCCAAGAGUCAAAUGCUCGCUUUCUGCAUGAAACCCCACAAAUCCAUGUUGAUAAAUUGCAUGAGUAGAUAGAUUUCCUAAAGUUUUGCUGACUACUUUCAUACUCACGUUUGCUUAAUAAUUGUUGCAGAGGUUGUUAAUGACCCUAAUGGAGGGUUCUUCCUAGACAUCAACGACGACGAGUAGCUCGUAUCCCAGCUACGAUCUGGCCCUAGGAUGGGUCUGUAGAUAGGUAGGCCAUGUGCCUUUGUCUUUCCAUCUGCCUGUACUCAGACAGUUUUAACUCUUCCGUUGGCUUGUAAGACUUGUGUGUAGGAAUCAUGAUGAUGGGUCGUGAGACCCCUAUGUGUGUAAUAUUAUGUGUGAGGCUCUUCCGAGCCUUCUAAAUAAAGUUUGUAUGUUUAUGGUUAUGUUGUGAUGCCAUCGAUGUAUCUAUACAUAUCGGUAUGCCAUGCGUACGUGUGUUGUACUUGAUAUGUAUGGGGUUCGAACACCUAGUCGUAUGACUUAGUAGCACUCCUUACGGGGAAGUGCCCCUUUGUGAUUCCAUCGAGCCAUGGUAGUUUGCUACUGCUCCGGACACAUUGGUUGACCGACAUGUGUCCUUCUUAGCUGCUGUGUGUGUCCCUUUGGGAAAUGUCAUGCGUAUGUAAUGGAGUCCUUGUAGCUUGCUACGACUCGUCUACAUUUGUUGAUGACCGACACCUGCUUUGUUGGGCCAUGUAUGCCUGUCCCUGUACGGAACUGCCGCUUUAGCUUAUGACUAGACAUGUCGAUCCGGGUUCUUUGACAUUGGAUUGCUAGUGACACAAUUGCAUACGCGAGUCAAAAGGCGCAAACGGUCCCGGCUAAGGUAAGGCUGCAGCCGUGGGGAUAACCGUGCAUGAGACCGCAAAGAGAUGCGAUGUGUUACAGGUUGGAUUCCUUAGGACUAGGUUACUUAUCUUUCUCUUAGGAUCAUGUUUUUGAUCGGUAGAUUAUAGGAUGAUGAGUCGAGAGUUACUUCGGGUCUCUCUUAUUUCAAGGAAAAUAAAGUAAGUUUUGAUGACCAUGGAAUUGAACUUGAUAGUUGAGUGGUUACGCUAUCCUAUUUUUAUGGGCUGUCUCAAAAUUGUUUUGAGCAUUUACAACCGUUAUGCUGCCCAAUUUUGUCUUCAGACACUACUAGGAAAAGGGCUAUAGAUGAUAUAGAUACUAAUGGCGCACCACACAAGUAGUGCGCCACUACUAUAUAGUAGUGGCGCACCAUGUGAGGUGUGCCAUUAGUGUGAUGGACACUAAUGGCGCACCACACAUUCGGUGCGCCACUACUAUAUUUUUUUUUGCAAAACUACUAAUGGCGCACCAGCAGCUGGUGCGCCAUUAGUAACCAGGGUUACUAAUGGCGCAUCUGUUGGUAGUGCGCCACUACUAUAAAUUUUUUGGUUUUUUUUGCAAACUACUAAUGGCGCACCACAGCUAGUGCGCUAUUAGUAACCAGUGUUACUAAUGGCGCAUCUGUUGGUGGUGCGCCACUACUUUUUUUGUUUACAGAACUACUAAUGGCGCACCACAGGGGGUGCGCCAUUAGUAACCAGGGUUACUAAUGGCGCAUUUGUAGGUGAUGCGCCACUGCUAAUUUGUUUUACUAAUGGCGCACCCUUAGGGAUGCGCCAUUGCUAUCACCCCCGCUAAAAUCCCCCAUGCCAGUCCCCGCGCGGCCCCUGUGCCCGUAUCGACCAAGUCGAGCUCGCUCUCCCCCGUAUCCCUCCCCUUCUCCUGCUCUCCCUCCCGGCGGCGAGCCUCGUCGGACACGCUCCUCGACGGCGUCGGGUACCUCCCCGCGCGGCCCCUUGGUUAGUCUCCUUCCCUUCUCCUCCCCCUCCGUCCCUCUCCCGCUCGUCCCCAUGGCCCAAGGGGGGGCUGGCGACCUAGGGUUAGGUGCAGAGCUCCCUCAUGGCGGCGAGAUCCAGACGGGGCCCGGCCGCCGCCGGCGCAUGUCCUCCGUCGACGCCGCGGGUAACCCCCUCCGCGCCUUCACCUCUGCGACGUCCCUCCUUUUCCGCACCCUUGGUCCUGCCGCAUCCCCCUCCAGGUCCCCUGUGGCGCUACUCGGCGGAUCCCUGGUAUAGCUCUCAAACCUGGUACUGGGUGUGCUGGGUGCUGGUGCACAAGGUGGGCCUAGGGAGCAAAGGCGCAGCGCUGGCCAGCGCCGUCUCCUACUCCACGAACCUGGCCAUACUGUGCCUAUACACGAGGCUGUCCGGUGCCUGCAGGAGGACGUGGACUGGGUUCUCCAUGGAGGCCUUCGCCUUCAAGGAGUUGCGCCAGUUCGCGGAGCUCGCCGUCCCCUCAGCAAUGAUGGUUUGGUGAGGAGAAAUCGUGAGCAAGUCCCCUCAGCAAUGAUGGUUUGAUUUCUGAAAUGACAAAUUUCUUGUUUUUCAAAUUUGCAGCUUGGAAUGGUGGUCGUUUGAACUGCUUGUGCUACUGUCUGGCCUUUUGCCCAAUCCUAAGCUUGAAACCUCUGUAUUGUCGAUAUGGUAAUCAAAUCAAGACAAACUUUUGCAAUACACAGUUCACCAAUUUUUAUUUUUUCCCUUUUGUUCUAUUCUAAGUUGUGCGUUGCUGAAUUCUGCAGUCUUAACACCGGCACUCUCAUGUUCACCGUGCCGUCCGGUCUCUGUGCAGCCAUAAGGUGCCGUAAAACUCACAAACAUAAUGUUAAAUGAUGUAUAUAUGCUGAUUGUUGUCUCAGUUUUUCCUGCAUUUGCAAUGCAGCACACGCGUUUCCAAUGAACUUGGUGCCGGUAGGCCUCAGGUAGCGAGGCUGGCAACCAUAGUUGUCAUAUGCAUGGCCCUGUUUGCAGGCUCAGUGAUCUCCAUCACAAUGAUUUUGCUACGCAAGUCUUGGGGUUACAUGUACAGCAUUGAGGAGGAAGUCGUGACUUAUAUUGCCAGGGUGAUACCUGUCCUCGGGGUUUCUUCCUUCAUAGAUGGAAUUGACACUUCCCUUUCAGGUACGAGCCACAUAUUUACAACAAUCUGGAACCUGUUAUAGCUCUCCCCAACACCCAGGUACUAGUUUAAUGCCCGUGCGUUGCCACGGGAAACCCAUGAAAAACAAAGCCGUGAAUGAAAAAGUGUGACAAACGGCAGUGUUUUUCUCCUCUACAUUUGUUGAACAUAGUCGUGUGCACAAAGGUUUUGUUACCAUAAAUAUGAAAUUUAGCAACAUAUUCGAUAGGUUUCUGAUAGUGGAACAUAAGUAGGCCCUGUUGGAGACCUGUAGUUCUUUACGAUCUCCUUGACUCACUUUAGGAAUUUCAUUCAUCUUUGCACAAAGAAAUAUACGAAUGGGAAAAUUUAGACUAUGCAAAGCUUGCAAACAAAAAGAAAGAUGUUCUGCUCUUGGUUGUACUACACCACAGUUUGCAAAAAAGUAAAAAAACGUGAUCAAACUAAAUAAAAAAAUGAGACAACAAACCUUAUCAAGUGUUCGAGCUUCUUGCAAAAUUUCAGCCAAAAUUAGCAUCCCAGGAGCUCUUACUGAAAGAAAAAACGAUGUUCAAAGUUUUGUGCACUGUUUGAGCAUUGAUUUUGUUUUUUUAGUGAGAGCUCCAUGGAUGUUAAUUUUAGCUGAAAUUUUGCAAGAAUGUGGAACACUUGAUAAGGUGUGAUGUCUCAAAUUUUCAGAUUUUUUUGGAGUUGAUUUGAACUCGUUUUUCAGGUUCUUUGAAAUUUGUGUGUAGUGCACCCGAGGGUAGUGGAUACUUUCAGAAAAAGAAAGAUCAAAUUAAAUAUUCUGGUUAAGCACGUAAUUAUUAAGCUAGUUGAACCUACUUGACGCAAUUGCAGUUUACAUCUGAAUAGGUACAUUAUACAUAUAAUUUAUGGCUUUAUUUGGCUACAAAGGAUGUAGCAUGCCCUGUAGGAGUAUCAAGCCAUUACUCACUCUCCCCUUCUAACUUUUAGGAGCUUCCUCGACACUUUGAGUGCUAUCGGGUAAUAACGCAGUGACAUGGUCGGAUGCAUACCAAUGUUCUGCAUUCAUCAAAUCCUAUUUUGCAUAGAUCUGCUAAUUUGAUCCAACCUUUUGUAGCCGGAGAGAAGAGAACUGAAAAGGGGAAACACAAAGAAAAUCACUAUCAUGGUAAUCAGGUUCAUGAACGCCACAUGAACACCAUCCCUGAAACAAGUGUAUCAUGUGAUUUCAUGCCUCUGCGAUUUGACAGUGAGCCCCAUCAGUGUUGACAGUGACAUCAGUGUCUUGGACAAUGUAAGGUGUUAGGCUUAGGCCAUAACUUGAGAUGUUGUAAUAGCUGGCGUGGAGACACUCACGGUUGAUCAACUCCAGCCAUGAAGCCGUAGCUAGUCUGUUCGGGCUUCUAUCUCAGACUAUGUGGGUAUGGUCUCCUGUUAGAGCCUUCUCGACUUGGUAAUCCGGAGCUUCAGCCUGGUAGUUCCAAUGCAGCAUGCCCAAGCAGUUGCAUCGAGCUUGAGAGGGAGGUCGAGGCUGCAGUCUUCGUGUACUGGCAUACGUAGACUGCAUGUCCCAUCCCUGACCCCUUAAGCAAGUUAGUCUUGUGCUCAUGUCUUCUUUGCAUUGCAUCUAAGAAUUUGUCAACAAGAACAAGAAAGUGGCAAAGGAAAAACUCAAAACCCUAGCCACUACUUUAAAUAAAGAAAAUCUCAAACUAGUUAAAAUCAAUGAAUCCAAAAUGGCCUCAAGAAAUAUUCAAACUUUCUGAUAAAUCAUGAAAGUAAAUGAGCAUUGGAGAAAACUAUUUUCUUGACACUUUAAGCAUUUUAAAUAAAUGCAAAAGCUACUGGUUUCAAGUUUUAAAAUUUGAAAUCAGAAACUUUAAAUUUUCAAAAAUGUUGAAAACUUUGGAAAUAGUUGGAAAUAUUCCAACAAAUAUUCUAGGGUGCUUAACAUAGCUUUUACAACUUAUUUGGGAGUUGAAAUAAUUAGAAAAUCAGUGAAAUAGCAAAACAGAAACAAAAACAGAAAGAAAAAGGAAAAGAGGUUACGUGUCGCUCACCUGGCCCGGCCCAUCUAAGCCCCUGUCGUCUUCCUCCCCGCCAGUGUGCAGCAGGAGGUGGCCACCGCGUUCUCCGGCGCGGCCACGCACCUGUGCGCCUGCCUGGCCGCCGCCUCGCGCUGGCAAGGCCGGGGAUAAGCUCCCCGAGGCCACCCCUAUCCAUUCCCAGCACCAGUUCUCCCUCUCCUCUCGGGUCUCUCCUCCCCGUUCUGCCGCCAUUGGAGCCCGAGCAGAGCUCGAGCUCGUCGUCGUUCUAGCCGACCUCCCUUCCUUCUGAGCCGCGCGUUAGCUCCGCCGCAACCCCCUGAAGCUUCCUAGCCACGAGCCCGACGCCCAGAUGCAGUGAGUCAACGCGCAACCGUCUUCUUCUUCCUCGGGUCACCGAAGAUCGCCGCCGACGUUCUCCCUCUCCAGGCCGUCCCCGAGCAGACUAGCGCCACCACUGCACUCCCCGUGAGCAUGCGGUCUUUUCCCCUAAGAUCUCCCGUCGAUCCCCUCCUCUAGCCCUAGUUUCAUCGGAGCCCGACGAGGACCGCCGCUGCAGCUCGUCGCCGGCAGCCCUUCGGUGAAGUGCUGGUCCGUCUGAGGCUACCAACAGCCUCAGGACGUCGUGUAGAUGCGUUAGGUGCCCAGCCCCGAGCGUUUUGACCCCGUAUCCGAUGGCUUCGACGAUGGCCGAACUUGGUCGCCGCCAAGCUCGUCGUCGGCGUUGAUCCCGACCACCCCAGCCCCUGGGGCUUGUUCCAUCGUGCGCGCCAUCGAGUGGUCGUUCCUCCCAUGGUCUCAGCCGUGCGUUUGGCCCUCUGUGCGCCAUUCUGAGCCCUCCCGACGUUCUGGUGCUCGCCGGAGGCUCCCCGCCAGCGAGGACGACCUCGCCGCCAGUGGACCUCGGCUGGCCUGAGCCACUGACUGGUGGGGUCAGCCUCUGGCAAGAUUAGAAAUAAUAAAAAUAAGUCAGUAAAAAUAAUAAGACACUGACAUGUGGGUCCAGUGGGUUUAAUUAACAAAAUAAGAUUAAUCCUAAUCUAAAAUUGACCUGAGUGACUGACCAGUGGGUCCCACUGGUCAGGUUUGACUUUCAAUGGCCAGUUGGACCUGCUGAUGUCAUGCUGAUGCAAUAAAAGNNNNNNNNNNNNNNNNNNNNNNNNNNNNNNNNNNNNNNNNNNNNNNNNNNNNNNNNNNNNNNNNNNNNNNNNNNNNNNNNNNNNNNNNNNNNNNNNNNNNGUCAUUGAACCAUUUGAUGUCUGGGGCUUUGAUUAUAUGGGACCCUUCCCGAGUUCCAAUGGGUACACUCACAUCUUAGUUGCUGUGGAUUAUGUCACCAAGUGGGUAGAGGCUAUUCCCACUAAAAACGCUGAUCACCACACCUCUAUUAAGAUGCUUAAAGAAGUCAUUUUCCCAAGAUUUGGAGUCCCUAGAUAUUUGAUGACUGAUGGCGGUUCACACUUCAUUCAUGGUGUUUUCCGCAAGAUUCUCACUAUGAUGUCAACCAUAGAGUUGCAUCUCCUUAUCAUCCUCAGUCUAGUGGUCAAGUGGAGUUGAGUAAUAGGGAGAUCAAAUUGAUCCUACAGAAGACCGUCAAUAGAUCUCGAAAGAACUGGUCUAGCAAACUUGACGAGGCACUAUGGGCUUAUUGGACUGCCUAUAAGAAUCCCAUGGGCAUGUUGCCGUAUAAAAUGGUUUACGGUAAGGCCUGUCAUUUACCUCUUGAGCUGGAACACAAAGCUUAUUGGGCAAUCAAAGAGCUCAACUUUGAUUUCAGACUUGCCGGUGAGAAGUGGUUGUUUGAUAUCAGCUCGUUAGAUGAAUGGAGGGCCCACGCAUAUGAGAAUGCCAAGUUGUUCAAGGAAAAGGUUAAGAGAUGACACGACAAACGAAUACAGAAACGAGAGUUCAAUGUAGGUGAUUAUGUCCUGUUAUACAAUUCUCGUUUGAGAUUCUUCGCACGCAAGCUUCUCUCUAAAUGGGAAGGUCCUUACAUUAUCGAGGAAGUAUAUCAUUCUGGCGCCAUCAAAAUCAAUAACACGGAAGGCAACUUUCCUAGAGUGGUAAAUGGGCAAAGAAUCAAGCAUUAUAUCUCUGGUACUCCCAUAAAUGUUGAGACCAAUAUCAUCAAUGUCAUAACUCCAGAGGAGUACAUAAGGGAUGUUUAUCAGCCUGUUUCAGACCCUGAAAACGAAGAGGUAUCUGUUUCGGUAAGAAAUUGGACUCUGAUACUUUUCCAAUAGGAAAUUUCCUCUGUUUUGGAAUUUUUGGAAAAUUAGAAAAAUAAAAAGCAGUCCGAAGAGCGCACGAGGUGGCCACAAGCUUGGAAGCCGCCACCUACCCCCUGGUGGCGGAUGGAGAGCUUGUGGGCACCUCGUGUGCUUCCCGGACUCCGUUUCCUUGCGGAGCACUCCUUCUGGUCCAGAAAAAAUCAUUAUAUAUUCGCCCGAAGGUUUUGAUCUCCGUAUCGCGCAGUUUUCCUCUGUUUUCGUUUCGAGCUUGUUGUUUGCCGCAGAUUUAGAGAAAAGAUGUCUCAAGAAUCUAUUGGGGAGAAUGAUCUUCCCCAAGUUCAUGAAGAAGUAGAUGCUGAUCUGAAAAGAGUAGAAGUCACGGAAGCCAGGGACAAAGCUAAGGAGAAAAACCAAGCUAGGGAGGAAGUGCAACCUAUGUUCAACAUUGAAGACGUUCAAGGAGUAGAUUUUCUCCAACCCUUCCUCCACGUGUUGUCUCCAUCCUUGAUUGAACUCUUGAGGUUUUGCGAAACAACUCGUGCUCGCAAUAUUUCCCUUUCUCGUGAAGUUGUUUUGCUGGAAAACCAUGUCACAGAUCUCAAAGGUAUAAAUCAAAGAUUGAUAGCUCUCCUGGAAUCAAAGGCAACAACUCCACCACCAUCACCACCAAGGAAGACAACUAAGCAUUUGUUGGAGCAUAUAUUGAGCAUAUAUCUCCAUAUGUGGUUUUGGUACUUGAUGACAAUUCCUAUGAACUAAUGGUUGCCUUAAGUUACAUUUAUAGGAUUUGUCCAUAGGCACUUCUUGAAGCCCAUCUGUUGGGUUCAAGGAGUUUAUAUGAUGACCAAGAUGGUAUUCAAGGUAUUAUCCAAAGAAUGGUCAUAGAGACACAUGGUUGAUCAAGAUCUCAGACAAAGAGUAAAUCAAGAUGAUAAACACACAAAGCGUACAAGAUGUAUCGAGAGGGAUCAAGUGAUCCCAUGGUAUGGUAAGCAUUGUCCAUUACGUGUUUGUGUACUAACCCAUGGUCUUCGUGAGAGUUCUAUGUGGGGGUUAGGUGUGUUUCCAUGGGCUUGCGUCAAAGGGAAGAUCUCAUACAACCCAUGGAGUAUGACGUCAAGUUGUGAUCAUCAUCAAUGGUUGAUCAAGAUCUCAGACAAAAAGUAAAUCAAGAUGAUCAACACACAAAGCGUACAAGAUGUACCGAGAGGGAUCAAGUGAUCCCAUGGUAUGGUAAGCAUUGUCCAUUUACGUGUUUGUGUACUAACCCAUGGUCUCCGUGAGAGUUCUAUGUGGGGGUUAGGUGUGUUUCCAUGGGCUUGCGUCAAAAGGAAGAUCUCAUACAACCCAUGGAGUAUGACGUCAAGUCGUGAUCGUCAUCAAGAUUGCGAUGUGCAAGUUCAAGUGGAUCAGCACGAAGAUAGCAUGCUUGAAGCUUGCCGUCCAUUGUGGUGGCAAUGGACUUGUGAAGAUAUGCUGAAGAGUGGCUCACCCAUAGUGAGUAUGGGGGAGCAAUCAACUAGUCUUCAUCAAGCCAACACAAUCAAGAAAGGUGGUCCAUCUUGAGGAAGCCAAGAUCAUCAUCAUCUAGCUCAAGAGGACGAGGUGCAAGGUAUAGGUUUGCCCUUGAUAGGUUUUCUGGUUAGGAUAGAUUGCUGUUCUAUCAAGGGGGGCUCUCAAGUGAGUAGCUUGAUCGUAUCGUUCGUUGAGAGCUCAAACCAUUUGCAUCCUUGCAUCAUACUUCUUGGUUCUUGUUUGGUGUUUCUCUUUGUGAGUUUUAGAGCUUAUGGUCAUCUUCGUGACAAGCUCGAGUUCAUCGAAAACGGAGUCCAUAUGCAUCUACUAUGAUGUUUUCGAUGUUGGAGUUUUUGCCGGUUCUUCAUUCAUAGAGAUCUCACAUCUCGCUGUUUGGAUAGCCCCUGUCGUCCUGAAUCCAACAAGCUUGGGUUUGCUCGAUUCGGGGCUCGUAUGCGAAAGUUAUGGCUGUUUCAGUGGCGAGCGGUAGUACCGCUAGAGUUGGCGGUAGUACCGCUGGCCCUAGCGGUAGUACCGCUGGCUCGCGGUAGUACCGCCCCUGAUCAGCGGUAGUACCGCUCCAGGAGCUUAGUACCGCCUGCCUAGCGGUUGUUCAUGGACGGACCUUUUUGCGAAGACUUUCUUGGCGGUGGUAGUGCCUUUGCACUACCAGGGGCCCAGCGGUAGUACCGCUGGGGCCAGCGGUAGUACCGCUGGAGUGCCAGCGGUAGUACCGCUGCAGCUAGCGGUAGUACCGCUAGAUGGCGGUAGUACCGCUGGAGUGACAGUGGUAGUACCGCUGGAGUGCCAGCGGUAGUACCGCUGCAGCCAGCGGUAGUACCGCUGGAGCUCGGGCAGAGAGUGGGGGUAACGGUCUGAUUCUUCCCCCCACUAUAUAAAGGGGGUCUUCUUCCCCCUUGGCCUUAUCCAUCCGUUGAGCUCUUGUUCUACCUCCAUUGUUGACAUUCUUAGAGCUUGAUUACUCUCAAUCCCUCCAAUGAUUCUUGCUUGUUCUUGAGGGAAAAGAGAGAGGAGAUCUAGAUCCACAUCUCCACCAGUCACUUUCUCCUCUAUGUGAGGGGAACCCCUUGGAUCUUGAUCUUGGAGUUCUUUGUGAGCUCCUUGUUCUUCCUCUCAUAUUUCUCCAUAGCUUUUGUUGUUGUGGAGGGAUUUGAGUGUGAGGGACUUGACCACUUCGUGUGUUCUUGCCAUUGCAUUAGUUGCAUCGGUUUGAGUUCUCCACGGUGAUACGUGGAAGUGAGAAGUUGAGAAGCUUACUACCUUUGGUACUUAGUACCCUUGAUAUUGUUCUUCGUGGAUGCUUUGGCGUCCUAGAAGCUUGGUGGUGUCUCGGAGCUCAAUCAUUGUGGUGUGAAGCUCCGGGAAGCGUCGGGGUCUCCAAUUAGGUUGUGGAGGUUGCCCCGAGCAAUUUGUACGGGUACCGGUAACCGCCCCCAAGGGUUGCCACGUGUACGGGUUCGGUGACCACCCCCGAGGGUUGCCAUUUGUACGGGUUCGGUGACCGCCCUCAAGGGUCCCUUAGUGGAAUCACGGCAUCUUGCAUUGUGCGAGGGCGUGAGGAGAUUACGGUGGCCUUAGUGGCAUCUUGGGGAGCAUUGUGCCUCCACACCGCUCUAACGGAGAUUAGCAUCCGCAAGGGUGUGAACUUCGGGAUACAUCAUCGUCUCCCCGUGCCUCGGUUAUCUCUUACCCGAACCCUUUGCUUAUGCACUUUACUUUGUGAUAGACAUAUUGUUUAUUGUAAUAUAUCUUGCUAUCACUUAGUUGUUUAUCUUGCUUAGCAUAAGUUGUUGGUGCACAUAGGUGAGCCUAGUGUUUGUAGGUUUUGUGCUUGACAUAUUAAACGUUAGUUUAUUCCGCAUUUGUUCAAGCCUAAACCUUAACUAUUUUAAAGCGCCUAUUCACCCCCCCCCCCUCUAGGCGACAUCCACGUCCUUUUCAACAUUGGUAUGGGCAAUCCCCUUGGCUUCUGCCAAACUUGGGGGAGUUGCCCUGGUAUCGUAUCACCUUUAUAUCUUUUGCUUUUACCUUUGUUUUAGUUCUUUCCUUUUCAGUUUUUAUUUCUUCUCUUACAGGAAUAAGUCUUUAGUGUUAGGUUGAGUCUUUUGCUUUUGUCUCUCCCCCGAUGUAUUCGAGCUUGCGAGCUAUACAAUAAAGAGUAUCUUAGUCAAGGGCUUUGCUUUAUGUCGUGAUCAAAAGUAUGAAAAGAACGAUAGCAUGAAAGAUCAUGAGACGAUCUUAUGGAAAGUGAUAACUUCACAUAUGACACGUAUGAUGAUUGAAACUUGUUGAGAAUAAAUCAACAUAGACCUUAGUCAUUGUUGCAAUUAAUAAGAAGUAAUAAGGAAAGAGAGGUUCACAUAUAAAUAUAUCAUCUGAGACACUUUCUACAAUUGUGAGCAUUCACGAAACUAUUACAUGCUUAGGAGUAGAUGUUGGACAAGGAAGACAACAUAAUGAAUUGUGUUUGCUUGGUUCCAAACAAUGUUAUAUGAUUAGAGAUCCCUUAGCAUGUGACAAUUGCUUCCACCUCAUAUUAGCCAAAACUCCCGCACCAAGUAGAGAUACUACUUGUGCAUCCAUAAACCUUCAACCCAGUUUUGCCAUGAGAGUCCACCAUACCUACCUAUGGAUUGAAUAAGAUCCUUCAAGUAAGUUGUCAUCGGUGCAAGCAAUAAAAAUUGCUCUCUAAUAUGUAUGAUCUAUUAGUGUGUGGAAAAUAAGCUUUGUACGAACCUGUGAUGAGGAAGACAUAAAAGCGACAGACUGCAUAAUAAAUUUCUUUAUCACAGGAGGCAAUAUAAAGUGACGUUCCUCCGCACUAAGAGGACACGCAUUCAAACCUCAAAAGUGCAUGACAACCUCUGCUUCCCUCUGCGAAGGGCCUAUCUUGUACCUUUACUUUUUGCCCUUGUAAGAGUCAUGGUGAUCUUCACCAAUUCCCUAUUUUUGCCUUUGUCUUGGCUAUCGUCACAUGCUUGGGAAAUAUCUAUAUUCAUAUAUCAACUUGGAGUUGAGUACUUAUGCUUUAUUAUUGUUGACUUUACCCUUGAGGUAAAUAGUUAGGAGGCAAAACUAUAAGCCCCUAUCUUCCUAUGUGUCGAGCUGAAACUUUGACACCAUGAGUACCACGUGAGUUGUAACAAUUGUGGAAAACAAAAGAGAUGAUUGAGUAUGUGGGUUUAUUUAUGCCUUUUCUCUCUUAUUUUGCAAGGUUUAUUUGAAGAGGGACAAUUCAGGCAGCUGGAAUUCUGGACUGGAAAAGGAGCAAAUCUUAGUCCACUAUUCUGCACAUCUCCAAAUGCCCUGAAAAUUUACGUGGAAUUUUUUGGGAUUAUAUAAAAAAUACUAGGCUAAAGAAGUACCAGAGGGGAGCUACUAGGGCGCCACAAGCCCUACAACCGCCACCCCCUGGUGGCGGCUAGCAAGCUUGUGGGCUCCCUGAUGGCCCACUGGCCCCCCUCUUUUGCUAUAUGAAGGGUUUCGUUCUAGAAAAAAUCAAUCGGGAGCUUUUUCGUGGUUUCGCCGCCGCCGCCACGAGGCGGAACUUGAGCAGAUCCAAUCUAGAGCUCCGACACGACGAUCCUGCCGGGGAAACUUCCCUCCCGGAGGGGGAAAUCGUCGCCAUCGUCAUCACCAACACUCCUCUCGUCGGAGGGGAGGCAUCUUCAUCAAGAUCUUCAUCAGCACCAUCUCCUCUCCAAUCCCUAGUUCAUUUCUUGUAACCAAUCUCCGUCUCGCGACUCCGAUUGGUACUUGUAAGGUUGCUAGUAGUGUUGAUUACUCUUUGUAGUUGAUGCUAGUUGGAUUACUUGGUGGACGAGUUUAUGUUCAGAUCCUUGAUGCUAUUCAUUACAUCUAUUAUCAUGAUUAUUAUUAUGCUUUGUGAGUAGUUACUUUUGUUCCUGAGGACAUGGGAUAAGUCAUGCUGAUAAUAGUCAUGUGAAUUUGAUAUUCGUUCGGUAUUUUGAUAUGAUGUAUGUUGUCUUUUCCUCUAGUGGUGUUAUGUGAACGUCGACUACAUAACACUUCACCAUACUUGGGCCUAGAGGAAGGCAUUGGGGAGUAGUAAGUAGAUGAUGGGUUGCUGGAGUGACAGAAGCUUAAACCCCAGUCUAUGUGUUGCUUCGUAAGGGGCUGAUUUGGAUCCACUAGUUUAAUGCUAUGGGUUAGACGUUGUCUUAAUUCUUCUUUCGUAGUUGCGGAUGCUUGCGAGAGGGGUUAAUCAUAAGUGGGAUUCUUGUCCAAGUAAGGGCAGUACCCAAGCGUCGGUCCACCCACAUAUCAAACUAUCAAAGUAACGAACGUGAAUCAUAUGAACAUGAUGAAACUAGCAUGACAGAAAUUCUCGUGUGUCCUCGGGAGCGUUUUUCCUCCUAUAAGACUUUGUUCAGGCUUGUCCCUUGCUGCAAAAGGGAUUGGGCCACUUGCUGCACCAUUGCUACUACUUGUUACUUGUUACUUUUCGCUUGCUACAUUUCACCUCACUACACCAUCACUUGUUACCACUACUUUCAGUGCUUGCAGUUAUUACCUUGCUGAAAACCGUUUAUCACAGCCUUCUGCUCCUCAUUGGGUUCGACACUCUUACUUAUCGAAAGGACUACGAUUGAUCCCCUAUACUUGUGGGUCAUCAAGACUCUUUUCUGGCGCCAUUGCCGGGGAGUGAAGCGCCUUUGUUAUGUGGAAAUUGGUAAGGAAACAUUUAUAUACCGUGCUGAAAUUUAUUGUCACUUGUCACUAUGGAAACUGUUCCUUUGAGGAGUUUGUUCGGGGUAUCUUCACCACGAACGGAAGCACGAGGAGUUGUUCCUCAACCUAAGGUACCUACUGAAAAUAUCUUUUAUGAAAUUCCUUCAGGUAUGCUUGAGAAACUGCUGGCUAAUCCUUUCACAGGAGAUGGAUCUUCACAUCCAGACUUGCAUCUGAUCUAUGUGGAUGAAGUUUGUGGUUUAUUUAAGCUUGCAGGUUUGCCCGAGGAUGAGGUAAAGAAGAAAGUAUUUCCUUUAUCUUUGAAGGAUAAGGCGUUGACAUGGUAUAGGCUAUGUGAUGAUAUUGGAUCAUGGGACUACAAUCAGUUGAAAUUGGAAUUUCAUCGAAAGUUCUACCAUUGCUACUACUUGUUACUUGUUAAUUUUCGCUUGCUACGUUUCACCUCACUACACCAUCACUUGUUACCGCUACUUUCAGUGCUUGCAGUUAUUACCUUGCUGAAAACCGUUUAUCAGAGCCUUCUUCUCGUCGUUGGGUUCGACACUCUUACUUAUUGAAAGGACUACGAUUGAUCCCCUAUACUUGUGGGUCAUCAGGUGUCAAACACAUGAUGUAGAUGUAUGUGGAGCUAGGAAGGCUUAUAAUAUGGUAGCAAAAAGGGUCAGCAAUAACCAGUUCAAAGAUGCAAAGUUGAAAGGAUGCUCAACCACGGUACCGUGUUGGUCCUAGGCUAGACCGUACUAGAGACGCAAGGCUAGAACACCAACAAAAUCACAACGCUACACGUAAUCAAGGGAAGGGCCACUCUGAUUUUUUUGCGAUUUUUUGCGCUCUUUUUUAAGAAAAUCACUAUAAUGGCGAGUGUCUCAAAACUCUUCCGAAUGGCUAAAAAUAGGAUAGGCACAAAAAAAGUUGACUAUUUUUUUGGGAGUGAUUCGGGGCUGCAACGACCAAAAAUUGCGACAAAAAAUUGCUAUGACGGCGAGUGUCUCAAAAUGCCGUGGACAGCCUCAAAAUAGGAUUGGAAAAAAUAUUUUCACCCACUGAAAUUUUGGUCUAAGGACUGCUCUCAAAACUAUGCUAGACUUUUUUUUUCUCAAAACCUACUCAGGCAAGGAAACGCGAACAAAGAAAUCUCGAAACGACACCUAAUAUGGAAAGGACUCGGGUUGGUGGUGGAUAUGUGGUGGGAUAUAUGGUAAUGAUGACGAUGGGUGAUGCUAUAUGCCAGCGGUGAUGAUAGUGGUGGGUGGCAGCGAGAUCGAAGAUGGGGCGGCGGCGGCAUGACAACUUGUGAAUAGAACUCAAAACUCCAAAGGACUAGACUCUAAGACGAGCAACUCGACAUGAUGAUGUAACCGCAAGUUCAACAAAGCAAAGUACCGAGCAGAAAAUUGCAAAAGGCUCAUAUUGGAUCGGAUAGGAUGAACUAUACCUAAUUUUUUGGCUUUUUUCAUGGACUAUAGGUAUGAAGAACAUAUGCGAUCUAAACUACGAAAAACUAGUAAAAUCUCACCGAGCAACCUAGAAAUCUGAUACCACUUGAUAGAGGCACAGUUGCCCCUGUCUUUUGAUGAGAUGGUGGCUAUCAUUUUUGGUGGAGUAGACUUUGACAAUUCGACUACGAACAUGCGAAGACGUCACACCUUAGCAAUCGCUAAACCAACUCCGAGAGGUUAUUGACCAAGUCGGAGCACGAUCAACCUGACCAUGAUGGUCUGUUUCCUACACGCAAACGAAGAACGGGCAAGAAACUGAAAUUGCAAUAUGGAUAUUGCGAAUAUAAGAGGAAAGCUUUAUUGAUGAAAAUGGGUUUAUGUGACGUCUUGGUCUGGUCGUAGGUCAGAAACGAAGAAUGCAAAGUUGCAGUUAUGGCGAACUUGUAAUCUAAACAAAACCCAAGUCUAAACAGUUCCCUAAGGGCUGUAUAUAUGGGACAAUAGAGGGGAAUUUCACGACCCCUUGGAGGAGGGGUCCGAAACCAACCCUAACUCCAUUUUCCCACACAUACGGACUCUAAAAACAGCCUAUAAAGUGGUAUUUCAAAAUUACAUGGGCCUGUCCCAAAAAUAAGGUGACGCAACCCCUAUAAUGGCUUAUGGAUGAAAUUUAUGAUGUGACAUAUUGUAUAUUUCGUCCAAGCCUUCAUGCUCCCAUUAUGGUGGCUUCAAAGUGCGAAAAUCACCACGGGAAGCUCCAUUUUCUUUCGUGUGCGCGCACCUUCUCCUCCGUGCUUGUUCCCAUUCCAAUGGCCAUCCUUCUUGUCCAUGCUAGGUCCUUCAUUCAUAGGUAAAACAAAAAAGUAUCUAACUUACGCAUCAUCAUGUGUUCAUGAACAUUAGAAGACUUUCCAAGAAAUGAAAGUACCUAGUGAUUAAUUGGCAUGUGCGUGGUCUAGUGACUGGUCUAGUAUGUAUAGCAGCAGGGGUUGUGGGUGUCACAAUUGUAUUGAUGUCCUCAUCAUGGGGGCUAGGUGGGGAGGACCUUAUUCCAUGUACAAAGAGUCGCACCGCCUUGCAUCUCUGAGUAGAACUGACAUAGGCGAGGUCCCGAUAUUUCGAUGAGAUGGUGGCUAUCGAUUUGGUGGUUACGACUUUGAGGAGGCUUAAUAUAUGAUAGCAAAAGAUUAGCAAUAAUCAAUUGAGAGAUGCAAUGUUGAAUAAACGCUCAACGACGGUACUUUGCUGGUCCUAGGCUAGACCGUACUAGAGACGCGAUCCUAGAACACUAAUGGAGUCAUGGCAUACCACAAGUAUCAGCAACGGAUGAUAUGAAGUAGCUCUAAAUAGCAAGAUAUAAGUGAAGAUCACAAUGACAGUAAAGAUAAUGAUGAUAAAUGAUCGUUCAGUCAUGAUAUAUCAAAACCCUCUCUUUAACUUCCUUCGGAAAACAUUAUGUCAAAUUUCUAAUAUCGUUUCUCAAGAUUGCCACUAAACCAAGCUUGUCAAUGCAAAAAGAAUCACUCAAUUCCGAUUUCGUAUGAGCAGUCACAAAAUUCGGGAACAGACUUGAAAAAUAUUGAGAAAUUAUGUUUGCGGCCUUGGGAGGGCAAAAGUCCUAUUUAGAAGCCGAAUUUGGAGUUGACAAUAAUGAACUAGUUUGAUGAACUAUUCAGAUGCGGCUCAUGGAUAGAUCGAAUUUGAGUUCUUGUGGAGCCAAAACGGACUUUGUAUGAGGAAGAAACACAUGUUUUACUGAACACUACACAAAAGAGUUUCCAAUCCGAAUUCACAUACGGGAUUGAGUAUAGAUAGAUCUGAAAUUUGUUUUUUUUCUCUUCUCUCUUUUUUUUCUCACUUUUUUACUUUUUUUCUUCUCUUUCUUUAUCUUACUUUUUUCCUUCUCUCCAACAUAUGGCAAUGACCGAUGGGAACUGGUGGUGGCAAUUGAUGGAUGGUGGUGGGCGACAACGAAAGGGAUGACGGCUCAGCGGUGGCAUGACUAAUGUGAAGACGACUUGAAACUCAAAAUGACUAGAUAAUAAGACGAGCAACUCGACAUGAUGAUGCAACCGAUCAUUCAACCAUGCAAGCAAUGAAAAUAAAAUUGCAAAGGCUCAGACUGGCUUGGCCAAAGGAUGAAUAGAUCUAACAUUUUUGUGGCUUUUUCUUGGGCAAUAGGUAAGAAAACAAAAUAUAAUCUAGGGAUAACUCUAACCGAGCAACCUGAAAACUGAUACCACUUGAUAGAGGUGAGGGUCCUGAUCUUUUGAUGAGAUGGUGGCUAUCGAUUUGGUGGAGACGACUUUGACGAUCCGACUACAGACGUGCACGACGUUGCGCUUUAGCAAUUGCUAAACCAACUCUAAUAGAUUAUUGACCACGCCGGAGCAUGAUCAACCUGACCAUGAAGGUCUCUUUAUGCAAGAAAUCAAAGAACAACCAAGAAUAUGAUAGAAGCAAUUUGAAUAUUGCAAACAUAUUUGAAGUAUUGAUAACGACGGGGAUCCGAAAGCGGUCUUGGUCUGGUCGUUGGACACAAACAAAGUACACAAAGUUGCAAUGGGUAACUUCUAACUAAACAAAUUCCAAGCAAUAAGCCACUAGGUUGAUCUACUUAUAUAGGAGCAAUGGGUGGCAGGCAAGGAGGUGGGAGAACAUCUCAAGGCAGCCCAAAACCAACCCUAGGUCGUACAAGGCCCAUCUGCUCAAGUGGAGGUGAUGCAACACCUUUGGAGUUAUAGUUUGACUCGGAUUCUGAUGCAACCUUAGAUUGUUUUGUCAUUAUCUCCACACUCCGGACAAAUUUUAAAGUGAUUCCAAUUGGUCUGGAACAUAGAUAAAGUCUAAUUUCAAACAAAAAAACACCCAAUUUGGAGUCCCUAUGCAAACUUUGUUGACGUUUUGAGACACGUGUGUCUGUGCAGUUUGAAUCUGAGUCCACAAGGUGAGAGACUUGGACUUUAUCUUAUCUUGGGCUAAAAGUGAUGUGAGAAAACUUCUUCAACGGCACAUAAUCAUUUGGUUUGAUGUGAGAGGACUUGUUGAACAACACCUAAUCAUUUCCUCUUUCUUUAUCUUCACACGUGGUUUGUGCAAGCGUUCGACAAUUCUGCAUUUAGGCAUGGAGUAAAAAUAGAUGAAAUAUUUUGUUCCGGAUAAUAUAGAUAAAUUAUUGCAUAAUUAUUAUAAGAAAUCACCUCACAAAUAUGCAAAUAUGAAAUAUUUUUUGGUCGUAUCCAAGGUAGCCAUGUCCUCAUCAAGAACACAAACCCUAAUAAAACCUAAAAAAGUAUCAGAAAAUGAAGCCCUCCCAUCGGCAAAGACCGGGAUAAUUAACGCCUCCAAGGCCCUAAAACCACAAAGACGAGGUAGACCGGCGAAGGCACCGACGGGAGUGAGGAGAAACCCUAGACUUGUACUAGGGUAAGAGCGGUCAGCCAAAUAUUUAUUAUUGAUGCUACCCCUCUGAAACUAUGCAGAUUGCCGGAGAGCCUUAAACUUGGGAGCAUAGGUUAAUGAAUUGUGCUUCACAAAUACUGGAGAGCAUGAGUUAUUUCACUUUGGAAGCACAAAUUUCACCUUGAAAAGCUUUCAUUCGGGCUUGGAACGAUGGUAUUCAGUUUUGAAGACCUUGACGCGAGCUAUCAUGAGAACGAACGCAUGGUUCGCAAGGUAUUUCAUUCUGAACAAUAGGGUCAAUGAAAAAAGCACAAAAAGCAUCCUCACACCCCUACCAAAUAUUUGUUUUCAAUGUCACGGGAGAUGUGGUAAUUUUGCAGAUGGUACCUUUAGUUAGUGAUUUUGCAUGUCAUGGGAUGAUAGACACACGAUUAACGUUCUUAUCAACGGUUCUGUCGGGCUCCCUAAGUGACCCUUUUUGUUACGUAAGAAUUGUAAGAAAAACAUGGUACCCGUGUUGGAUGAGUAUAAAGUACAUCUAGUUGAACAUUAUGGGGUAGAUUACAUUUGCUAGAUGACACAUUUUUCUAAUGAAAAAGAAAAUCCAGUGAAGUGUAAUAGUUUAUUUAUAGGUUAAGCUAUCAUAAGAAAUGUGAAAUAGAAGAUUGACACGCUAAAAGAGUGAGAUUUUAGAAACAUAAUAGUAAGACAGAUGGUUUGACUCUCGAGUUGUGAUAGUACAUACCUUUUUUUAUUUACUCAAAAUUUUAAAAAGCUACUCCCAAGUACAAACACGGUAGCAUGGACUGGGAUUACUUGUGUGGUAUCAGCCCAUCAGGGUUUGAAAGCACACAUGCUCCCUUGGUGAUUUUGAUAGUUCAUGACAACAUAUAUUGUCUCUUGGACUAACACUUUUACCUAGAUAUUUGAGGAAAAGUCCAUAGAGAGCAUUGGCUAAAGGUUUAUGUGGAGACACCCCUAGAUGCAAGAAAGGAAUAAUAUUGGCUCAAGCUUCAAGCUAGAAGACUCUUCAUUUUAUAUUUGUGAGAAAUCACUUUUGAGUCCAUAGGAAAGCCAAUACUAUUAAAAGGGGGUGAGGUAGUAAAAUGAAUUGAUUGCUCAAAUGCUCAAAGUUAACCACCAAAACACUCAUUCAUUUUUUCCCACAUAUCCACUCUGUCAAGUUCCAAAUUCACAAAUUCGGUGCACCAACAUUUCCACAUCGGACCCACCGAGUUUGAUACUCACAUAGAACCCUAGCCAUUCCCACCAGAUCGAUGCAACCGAAACUACAUCGGUGCUACCGAGUUCAGUGUGACCAACAUUCUUUUGCCGAGAUACACAAAAUCGGAAUUACCGAGUCUGAGUAUCGAUGCCACUGAGUUUGGCCAUCUAACCGUUAGUCGCCUUUUCAGUGCCACCGAGUUCUAUAUAUAUCGGUCUCACCGAGAUUCAAAAGUUCACACUUUUAGUACUAGUUGGUACCAUCGAGUUGUCCACUUCGGUGUCACCGAGUUUGCACUUUUGUGUGUAACGAUUGGAUUUUGGAUGCUGCCUAUAUAUACCCCUUCACCCACCUCUCAUUCCUGGGAGAAGCACUCACAACACACACUUAAUUUCCAGAUCCAUUUUCUGAGAGAGAACCACCUACUCAUGGGUUGAGACCAACAUAUUCCUAUCCAAUCAUUUGAAACUUGAUCUCUAGCCUCCUCAAACUGCUUUCCACCAAAUGAAGCUCUCCUACCCAUGCAUAUUGUAUGAGAGAGUGGUUUGUGUUGAGGAGACUAUCUUUAUAAGCACAAGAGCAAGGAGUUCAUUGAUCUACCACAUCUAUUACCUUUUGGAGGGUGGUGCCUCCUAGAUUGGUUAGGUGUCUCUUGGGAGCCUCCUACUUCGUGUUGUGGAGUUGAACCAAGAUGUUUGUAAGGGCAAGGAGGUCGCCUACUUUGUGAAGGUCUACCGUGAGUAAGGUUAGUCCUCCGUGGACGUAAGCCGUGGUGGGAUAGACAAGGCCGCUUCUUUGUGGACCCUCCGUGGCUGGAUACCUCCGUGGACUCUCGCAGUCGUUACCCUUCGUGGGUUGAAGACUCCACUAACAUGGACGUACGAUAGCGCCACCUAUCAGAACCAUGCCAAAAAUCACCGUGUCAACCUCAUACGUUUGAUCUCCCUACCUUGAUCCUCUACAUUACAUUUGCAUGUUUUACUUUCCGCUAUUAUACUUUUAGAACUGCGUGUGUAGGGUGACUUAGACUUGUUACAACUGCUAGAUUUCUGCCCUCCUAGGAAAUAGGUUAGGCUAGAUUUUUUAUCUUGACAAGUAGUCUAUUCACCCCCCCCCCCUCUAGACACAUCUUCUAUCGAUCCCUCAAUUGGUAUUAGAGCAAGGUAUCCAAAACCUUGGUUUAACCGACAUUGGAGGAAGGUGAAUGUGGCUAGUUCCCAGAUUUUUAGUUAUAGAGUGCCUAUUCUUGAUGGGGAUUACUUUAGACAAUGGAAAUACGAAAUGCUUGAGAUAUUCGAUGAUUUCCAUUUGCGCAAGUAUAUUGAAUAUCCCUAUGCGCCUCCCAUUGACCCCAUACAUCCUUCUCAUGAUGAUGAACUUAAUAUGCUUGAUAACCUUAACGUUGUCAAUCUUAUCAUUAGAGGUUUACCAAGAAAUGUGCUUAAUCAGUUGCAAAACUUUGAGUGUGCUCAUACCUUGUGGAAAUACUUAGAGAAAACAUAUCCAAAUUAUUCCUUGAAAAAAAAUUAAUAUCAUUGUUCACAAGUACAUUGCUUUCCAUAAGAUGAAGCCAACAGAUCCUAACUUUGAUAAAUGCCUAUUUGAGCUUCAUGACCUCAUGCGUGCUAAAGGAAAUGUCAUUGGUUUACCAUCAACAAUAUCAUUGUUGAAGCCAUUCGAAUGCAUAAACUUGAACAUUGUAAUAAUCAAAUUUCUGAUGAAGUUCUUGUUUCUUAUGAUGAGGAAACUUCAUCCGAUGAUGACAAUGUGGAGCAUGGCUACUACAAUGAAAAUGAAAAGUUUGACAUCGAGUAUGAGAAGACCAUGAAGAACCUUAGUCUUAUGGCUAACCUUAAAGACUACAUGGCCGGUGGAAAUGAGUGGGUUCUCGACAGUGGAUGCACCGAUCACAUGACCGGAGAUAAAGACAUGUUCCAUGAGAUUACACCAAACCGUGGACCUCGGAAGUAUGUGACUUUUGGAGACAACUCCAAAGGUAAGGUACUUGGUCUUGGUAAGGUGGUUGUAUCUCAUGACAGUUUCAUUCAGAAUGUCAUGCGUGUUGAAUCUCUUGGCUACAAUCUUCUUUCCAUAUCUAGACUAGCAGACUUUGGUUUCGAUGUGCUAUUUACGAAAUUUGAAUGCCAAGUGUUUUGUAGCGACAAUAAUAACAUCGUAUUUACUGGUUUCCGUAGAGGUGAUCUAUACAUUGUUUAUUUCUCUAAGAUAUCCAAACCCUGUACAUGCCUUAUUGCAAAAUCCUCUAAAGGUUGGUUAUGGCAUAGAAGGCUUGGACAUGUUGGUAUGCGUAAUCUCAAUGAUAAGUCGCAGGUACAAAUGAUCUUCAAGAACUUUGCUCGAAAAGCUCAAAAGCAGUUUGAAGUGUAGAUCAAGAAGGUCCGGAGCGACAAUGAAAUGGAGUUCAAGAAAACUAGUGUGGAUACUUUUCUUGACGAAGAAGGUAUCUUACAUGAGUUCUCGGCGACGUACACACCUCAACAAAAUGGAUUUGUUGAGAGGAAGAACCUGACGCUCAUAGAGAUGGCGAGAAUGAUGCUUGACGGAUACAAGACUCCAAGACACUUUUGGGCAGAAGCCAUGGAAACAUCUUGCCAUGCCAUAAACCGACUCUACCUGCACGAGCUUCUCAGUAAAAUGACAUACAAGCUACUCACCGGUAACAAACCCCAAGUUGGAUACUUUCGAGUAUUCGGCUCUAAAUGCUAUAUUAUUGAUAAGCAUCAUCGAUCUAAAUUUACACCUAAAUCUUAUGAAGGUUUCCUUCUUGGUUACGGAUCAAACUCUCACGCUUACCAUGUCUACAACAACUUCACUCGAAAAGUUGAAGAGACGGUAGACGCGAAUUUUGAUGAGACUAAUGGUUUGCAAGUCGAACAAUUGCCAAUUGAUAUAGGAGAUAAGAAACCAUCAGAAGCUAUCAAAGAUUUGUCCAUUGGCAAUAUUCGUCCCAUGGAGGUGAAGGAAAGCACUUCAUCAACUCAAGUGGAAGCUCCCACUUCAUGUCAAGGCGAACCACAAAAUGACAUGGAAGCAUCCACAAGCGGUACACGACAUGAUGAAGAAGAGGAAGAGAAACAUCUUGAUGAUCCACCUCAACCUUCCUCACCACCACCUCAAGGAGAAGUUGAUGCCAAUGACAAUGGUCAAGAUGAUUAUUAUGAAGAAGAAGCUCCUCCAUCCAACAAGAAGAAGUUGUCAAGAGUUAGAGCAAGAGUGGACAGAGAUCAUCCGUUGAAACAAAUCUUCAGCGACAUAAACAACGGGAGAAUCAGUCACUCUAAAUCUCGUUUAGCUAACUUUUGUGAGCACUAUUAUUUCAUAUCUAGCAUUGAACCCUUUAAGGUAGAAGAAUCUCUCCAAGAUCAAGAUUGGGUGAAUUCCAUGCAUGGAGAGAUACACAACUUCGAGAGGAACCAAGUAUGGACACUUGUUGAAAAACCAGAAGGCGAGCAAAAUGUCAUUGGUACAAGAUGGGUGUUUCGGAACAAGCAACAUGAAGACGGACAAGUUGUACACAACAAAGCACGUCUCGUAGCCCAAUGAUACAUGCAAGUCGAAGGUAUGGACUAUGGUGAGACUUAUGCUCCUGUUUCUAGACUUGAAUCCAUUUGUAUUCUUCUAGCUUAUGCCAAUCAACAUGAUAUAACUCUCUACCAAAUGGAUAUUAAAAGUGCCUUUCUCAAUGGAGAAAUUGAAGAGGAAGUUUAUGUUAACAACCUCCUGGUUUUGUGAACCUAAAGAAACCUGAUCAUGUUUACAAACUUCGUAAAGCUUUAUAUGGUCUUAAACAAGCACCUAGAGCUUGGUACAAAUGCCUAACAAAGUUUCUCAUUGAAAAGGGUUUUGAGAUUGGCAAAAUUGAUGCAACCUUAUUCACUCAAAGAGUAAAUGGAGAAUUAUUUGUUUGUCAAAUAUAUGUGGAUGAUAUUAUCUUUGGCUCUACUAACCCACAUUUUAGUGAAAAGUUUGGAAAGCUGAUGUUAGAGAAGUAUGAUAUGUCCAUGAUGAGUGAACAGAAGUUCUUCCUUGGAUUGCAAAUCAAACAAUCAAGAGAAGCAACGUUCAUCUCUCAAACCAACUACACCAAGGACUUAAUUCGGAAGUUCAACAUGCGAGAAUGCAAAGGUAUGAGAACCCCCAUGCCUACUAGUGGACAUCUUGACCUCACUAAGGAUGAUGCAGCCAUUGAUGAAAAAGUUUAUCGAUCAAUGAUUGGAUCAUUGGUAUAUCUUUAUGCCUCUCGUCCUGAUAUCAUGUUAAGUGUUUUCAUGUGUGCCCCUAUCAAGUAGCACCUAAAGAGUUUCAUCUAUUGGUUGUGAAAAGGAUAGUGAGAUACCUCAUACAUACACCAAAUUUUGGCAUAUGGUAUCCCAAGGGAUCUUCUUUUUAUCUUGUUGGCUAUUCCGACUCGGACUAUGUUGGAGACAAGGUUGAUAGAAAAUCCACCUCAGGUACAUGUCAAUUUCUUGGGAGAUCUCUUGUCUCUUGGACAUCCAAGAAACAAAGCUCGGUAUCCUUGCCAACUGCCGAAGCAGAAUACAUUGUCGUUGGAUCAUGUUGUGCUCAAUUACUAUGUAUGUCUCAAACGCAUAAGGAUUAUGGCAUUCAUGUUAGAAAAGUCCCAUUAUUGUGUGACAAUGAAAGUGCUAUUAAGAUUGCAUAGAAUCUUGUGCAACAUUCUAGAACCAAACACAUCCAAGUGCGACAUCAUUUCAUCUGUGAUCAUGUUGUCAAAGGAGAUAUUGAUCUGAGGCAUGUUCGUACUGACAAACAGCUGGCUCAUAUUUUCACCAAACCACUUGAUGAGAAAGUGUUUUGUCAUUUGAGGAGUGAUUUGAACAUCAUUGAUGAUUCAAACUUGAGCUAGGCUCACUCGGAUGCAUGCAAGGGCAUGAGCUUGAGUGACUAUUCCUUGAUGCCAUUGAUAUGACUAUCUUAUGUCUUGGAAACUAUGCUCCCUUGUAUUGCAUCUAACCUUUUGUAGGUACUUGGAAGAAAUACACUCCACAAGAUUGCAAACCAACUCUCAUCAAAAUCAAUCUUGACAUGGCCAAGUAUAAACAACCUUUUCUUCGGAGAUGAAGGAAGAAGGCAACAAAAUCAUAUCCUUGACAAUUUUAUGAUAUUGAAUUUCACUCAUGUCACUUGGAUAUAUUAUGUUCUUCCUUGCGUGACUAACCAUUAUAGGUGAAAAGUGAACCAAAACGUCAUGGAUAGCUCCCAACUCAAGAUGAUCAACAUCAACAUUGAGCAUCCACAACAAGUUCACCUACAUGCUAUGUCAUAAACAUCAUUUAAAGGUAUGUAAUCAUGUCCUUGAUAAAGAUCUACAUCAAUUCAUGGUUGAUGUCCCACAAGCGUAUGGGAUCGCAGCAGUUUUCGAGGGUAGAGUAUUCAACCCAAAUUUAUUGAUUCGACUCAAGGGGAAGCGAAAGAAUAUUCUCAAGUAUUAGCAGUUGAGUUGUCAAUUCAACCACACCUGAAAGAUUAGUGUAUGCAAGAAAAGUAUCAGUAGCAAGGUAGUAUGAUAGCAACGGUGCCAGAAAAAAGCCUUGGUUGACGGGAUGUUAGUACCGCUUACCUAGCCUCGGCAACGGCGCCAACAAAGUCUUGCAACAAGUAACAGCGGAGUAGUAAGGAACAGUAGUAGUAGCAGCAGCAAAGUAACAAGUAACAGCAGUAGUGACAAUAGGAGCAAAGUAACAAGUAACAGCAGUAGUGACAGCAGCAGCAAAGUGGCCCAAUCCCUUUUGUAGCAAGGGACAAGCCUAGGCAAAGUAACGUAGCGAGGACCAGUAGUAAAAGACUCGUAGGCAGUGGAUCGGUGAUGGAUGAGUGUGACGGAUGUGAUUCAUCAUGUAACAGCUAUAACACGCAGAGAUAUGUGGCUAGCUCCCGUUCGUCAAUGUAAUGUAUGCAUGUAUUCCGUAUGUAGUCAUACGUGCUUAGGGAAAAGAACUUGCAUGACAUCUAUUGUCCAUCCCUCCCGUGGCAGCGGGGUCCUAAUGAAAACUACGGGAUAUUAAGGUUCUCCUUUUAAUAAAGAACUGGACCAACGCAUUAACACGCGGUGAAUACAUGAACUCCUCAUACUAUGGUCAUCUCCGGGAUUGGUUCCGGCUAUUGUCACUCCGGGGUUGCCGGGUCAUAACACAUAGUAGGUGACUACAACUUGCAAGAUAGGAUCUAAAACACACAUAUAUUGGCGACAACAUAAUAGGUUCAGAUCUGAAAUCAUGGCACUCGGGCCCUAGUGACAAGCAUUAAGCAUAGCCAAGUAGUAGCAACAUCAAUCUAGAACAUAGUGGAUACUAGGGAUCAAUCCCCGUCAAGAACUAACUCGAUUACAUGAUAGAUCUCAUCCAACUCAUCACCGUCCAGCAAGCCUACGAUGAGAUUACUCACGAACGACGAAGAGCAUCAUGGAAUUGUCGAUGGAGAAAUAUUUAUGAUGACAAUGGCGAUGAUUUCCCCUCUCGGGAGCCCAAAACGGACUCCAGAUCUACCCUCCACAUGAAGAACACGAUGUGGCGGCGCUUCCGUAUCGCAAAACGCAAUGAAACCUUAUCUCUGAUUUUUUUCCAGGCGAAAUGGAAGAUAUAGAGCUGAGAUUGGGGGCGAUGGUGCCACGUGGGCCCCCACAAGCCUGCAUGGCGCGACCAUAGGGGGUGGCCGCGGCCUGUGGGCUUUCGGCCCACUGGCACGCCCCCUACGGUGGAUCUUUGCGCAGGUAUUUUUCUUUUAUUCCAGAAAAAAUCUCCGUAAAUUUUCAGGACGUUCCGAGAACUUUUAUUUCUGCACAAAAACAACACCAUGGCAAUUCUGCUGAAAAUAGCAUCAGUCCGAGUUAGUUCCAUUCAAAUCAUGCAAAUUAGAGUCCAAAACAAGGGCAAAAGAGUUCGAAAAAGUAGAUACAACGGAGACGUAUCAAUGGUGUACAACAACUCAAGUGAUAUGAAGACAUUUAAAUGCUUAAUCAAAAAAUGGCAAUCCCAUUUUGCGCUUAACGAUGAGUAUGACAUAUGGUCAAGCAUCCUCGCUUGACUCCUCAAGUCAAAUACUCUAAUAUAGGUGACCUAGUCACCGCCCCACAUCUAGAUGGAGAAUAUUGUAUGGUUCACCUUUGACCUUUCACAUUCUUAGAACCAUUCCACUCUCAUCUAUAUGUGUUUAUUUUCAAAAAAUAAAUCUUCUUACUUUUGUUUAAACUAUCUCAGUUGGAAUUAUCAUUCUUUUGGACUCUUGACCUUUUGAAAAAAUUCUCUCAAUCAACCAAUUUUAUGUUAAAGAGUUGACUAUCAUUGCAACUCGGUUUCACCGAAUUGGGAAACUCGGUCCAACCGAUUUCUCCAAGAGGCCUAAAUAUCAAUCUCGGUUCUACCGAAUCAUUAUGCCUCGGUGACUCCGAUUUUUCUGACUUUGUUGCUCUGAUAAUUUUUCUGGACUAUUGACUUAGAGGGAGACAACUUCUCUAGGGGGAGAAAACUCUCACUAAUCCCAUGUUAUAUAAGAGUGAAAAUUCUCUAGGAUCCCUAACUUAGGGGAGAUCGUUCAAGGAACUCUUUCCCGUACCUAAGGGGGAGAACAUUCAAUGAACCCUACAAAAUAUCUAAGGGGGAGAAAAGACAAAUUCUAGGAACCUUUACAAAAGAGAGAAGUAUCCAGGAACCCUCUAUUUACUCUCAAGGAGCCCUUACCCUCUGACCUUUCUUUUUGGUAAUUGUGCCAAAGGGGGAGAAAUAUCAUCAAAGCUUCCAUUCAGUGAACCUAUUUAUAGGGGAGAAAUACUAUCAAUACUAUCAAGAAGCUUAUACAAAAGAGGGAGCAACAACACUAAAGGGAGAUAUUUGUAUCAUACCCUAUACAUUAAGGGGGAGAGAGAUAAAUACCAUUUUAAUUGGCUUUAUUGGUUGAACUUAUUUUCCCUACCUACUCCCAAUAUCUACAUGCCAUGAUUCAGGGGGGAGGAAACUUUACAUACUCAUUUUUAAGGGAGAAAAAGUUAUUGUUCCUUGAAGACAUAUUCUUUCAUUCAAAUCCUAUUUUAAAAAUGUGUUCAAUUUCUUGGUACUUCUGAAUUUCUUUUGCAUCUUUAUAACAGGGUACUCUUGUGUUAUCUAACAUUUUUCCCCAAGUGUACUCCUAUGUCAAGACGCUCAAGAUCCUCAAGGUAAGUAUAUGCAUCAUAUCCUUGUUCAUGGUGACCUCUUGUUUCUUGCACAUACUGUUUGCAAGAGGGAGUUGUAAACAUGGAAGUCUCUCAAUCACAUAUGUUUGAUGCAUAUAGCCAAAAUUCCUAUGACUUGUCUUGUCCUUCGGCCUUGUGUGUGCCCAUGCAUUCCAAAGCAACUAUCCUUUAAAGGGAUUGCACACAUUUAGGGGGCGCUUGUACCAGUCAUAUUUCUUUCAAAGUUGUCAUAUCCUUAUGAGUAUAUUUAUUUGAAGCUUUGAUUGUAUGUUGUCAUCAAUUACCAAAAAGGGGGAGAUGGAAAGCACAUAUGCUCCCAAGGUGAUUUUGAUAAUUCAUGACAACAUACAUUGUCUCUUGGACUAACACUUUUACCUAGACAUUUCAGGAAAAAUCCAUAGAGAGCAUUGGCCAAAGGUUUAUGUGGAGACACCCCUGGAUGCAAUAAACGAGUAAUAUUGGCUAAAGCUUCAAGCUAGAAGAUAUUCAUUUUAUAUUUGUGAGAAAUCACGUUUGAGUCCAUAGGAAGCCAAUAUUAUUAAAAGGGGUGAGGUAGUAAAAUUAACUGAUUGCUCAAAUGCUCAAAGUUAGCCACCAAAACACUAAGUCAUUUUUUCCCACAUAUCCACUCUGUCAAGUUCCAAAUUCACCAAUUCAGUGUCACCAACAUUUCCACAUCGAACCCACCGAGUUUGAACCUCAGACAUAACCGAGUUCAGUGUGACCAACAUUCUGUUGCCAAGAUAAACAAAGUCGGAAUUUCUGAGUUUGAGUAUCGGUGCCACCGAGUUUGGCCAUCUGACCGUUAGUCACCUUUUCGGUGCCACCGAGUUCUAUAUACCGGUCUCACCGAGAUUCAAAAGUUCACACUUUUAGUACUAGUCGGUACCACCGAGUUGUCCACUUCGGUGUCACCGAUUGCACUUUUGUAUGUAACGGUUGGAUUUUGGUUGUUGCCUAUAUAUACCGCUUCACCAACCUCUCAUUCGUGGCAAAAGCACUCAGAACACACACUUCAUUUCUAGAUUCAUUUUCUGAGAGAGAACCACCUACUCAUGUGUUGAGACCAAGAUAUUCCAACCCAAUCAUUUGAAACUUGAUCUCUAGCCUCCCCAAACUUCUUUCCACCAAAACAACCUCUCCUACCCAUGCAUAUUCUGUGAGAGAGUGAUUUGUGUUGAGGAGACUAUCUUUAGAAUCACAAGAGCAAGGAGUUCAUUGAUCUACCACAUCUAUUACCUUUUGGAGGGUGGUGCCUCCUAGAUUGGUUAGGUGCCGCUUGGGAGCUGCCUACUUCGUUUUGUGGAGUUGAACUAAGAUGUUUGUAAGGGCAAGGAGAUCGCCUACUUCGUGAAGAUCUACCGUGAGUAAGGCUAGUCCUCCGUGGACGUAAGUCGUGGUGGGAUAGACAAGGCCGCUUCUUUGUGGACCCUCCCUGGCUGGAGCCCUCCGUGGACUCUCGCAGCUGUUACCCUCUGUGGGUUGAAGUCUCCACUAACAUGGACGUACGAUAGCGCCACCUAUCGGAACCAUGCCAAAAAUUGUCGUGUCAACCUCAUGCGUUUGAUCUCCCUACUUUACUCCUCUACAUUACACUUGCAUGUUUUACUUUCCGCUGCUAUACUCUUAGAACUGCAUGUGUAGGGCGACUUAGACUUGUUACAAGUGCUAGAUUUCUGCCCUCCUAGAAAUUAGGUUAGGAUAGAUUUUUUAUCUUGACAAGUAGUCUAUUCACCCCCCCCCCUCUAGACACAUAUUCUAUCGAUCCCUCAGGGUUCAAGUCCUAUAUUGGGGGUGCUCACAUUUACAUUGAUUUAUUUCGUGAUUUUCAGCAAUGUUCGUUUAGUGGGAAGAGACGUUUCCGUCAAAUAAGAAGGUACUUACGAUGAGUUUGCCAACCUUUAGAUGUUGUGUCGUCUCAGUAUCUUGGAGGUGCUCACAGAGGUAGGGUGUACGUGCUUUUAUAAGGGUGAGUGUAUGUUUGUACAUGUGCAUCAACGUCAACUAUGAAGGCACCUGAAGUGACCUCUCAAUAUGUUGUGUCGGAUCACUACCUCAAAAGUGCUAACAGAGGUAGGGUAUCCGCAUGAGUGUUCACAUGGUUGAAUUUAUGUGUGUGUAAGUGGACUUCAACGUCGACUACAAAGACGUCUGCGGUGACUUUGCCAAUCUCAAGAUGCUGUGUCGGAUCAAUAUUUCGGAGGUGCUCAUAAAGGUACGGUGUGCGUGUAUGCGUUCAUAGUGGUGGUUGUGUAUGCAUGUAUGUGGGCAUCAACGUCGACUACGAAGAAGUCUUCAGUGACUUUGUCAAUCUUAAGAUGUGUGACAUCUUGGUAUCUGAAGGUGCUUGUAGAGGUAGGAUAUGCGUAUAUACACUCACAGGGGUUGAGUGUAUAUACAUGUGGGCAUUUACGUUGUACUGUAUUAAAAAAUCAGUAGCUAAGCAAAAAAUCUGAUGAACUAAACAUGUGUCAGCUAGCGACACCCUCUUAAUAUGUUGUGCCGGCUCAGUAUCUCAGAAGUGCUAGCACAGGUAGGGUAUACGCGUGCACGUUCACACGGUUGAAUUUAUGUGUGUAUAUGGACUUCAACGUUGACUAUGAAGACGUCUGCGGUGACUUUGUCAAUCUCAAGAUGUUGUGUCGGCUCAAUAUUUCGGAGGUGUUCAUAGAAGUAUGGUGUGCGUGUGUGCGUUCAUAGUGUUGAUUGUGUAUGCAUGUAUGUGGGCAUCAACAUCGACUACGAAGACGUCUGUGGUGACNNNNNNNNNNNNNNNNNNNNNNNNNNNNNNNNNNNNNNNNNNNNNNNNNNNNNNNNNNNNNNNNNNNNNNNNNNNNNNNNNNNNNNNNNNNNNNNNNNNNNNNNNNNNNNNNNNNNNNNNNNNNNNNNNNNNNNNNNNNNNNNNNNNNNNNNNNNNNNNNNNNNNNNNNNNNNNNNNNNNNNNNNNNNNNNNNNNNNNNNNNNNNNNNNNNNNNNNNNNNNNNNNNNNNNNNNNNNNNNNNNNNNNNNNNNNNNNNNNNNNNNNNNNNNNNNNNNNNNNNNNNNNNNNNNNNNNNNNNNNNNNNNNNNNNNNNNNNNNNNNNNNNNNNNNNNNNNNNNNNNNNNNNNNNNNNNNNNNNNNNNNNNNNNNNNNNNNNNNNNNNNNNNNNNNNNNNNNNNNNNNNNNNNNNNNNNNNNNNNNNNNNNNNNNNNNNNNNNNNNNNNNNNNNNNNNNNNNNNNNNNNNNNNNNNNNNNNNNNNNNNNNNNNNNNNNNNNNNNNNNNNNNNNNNNNNNNNNNNNNNNNNNNNNNNNNNNNNNNNNNNNNNNNNNNNNNNNNNNNNNNNNNNNNNNNNNNNNNNNNNNNNNNNNNNNNNNNNNNNNNNNNNNNNNNNNNNNNNNNNNNNNNNNNNNNNNNNNNNNNNNNNNNNNNNNNNNNNNNNNNAAGAGUACGAACUUUCAAGACCAAACUCAAAGAGCUCGGGUUUUUUUUGCAGGUGAAAGGAGCUCGUUUUCAAAAGAGAUUUUUCUACAGCAUGAAAAAUUCAAAACUUUUUGUCAAUACUCAUAUGCAUGUGUAUUACGCGUGUGUGUGUGUGCUGUACAAAAAAAUGAAAAAUAUGUAUUUCUGACAAGGGCUGAUUUUUUUGGGCUGGAAUUUUAUUAUAUUUGUACUGCCUACAAAUCAUAAUAUUUUCAAAUGAUUUUUCACAUUUCAUGCGGAACACGUGUAAGUUUCCACAUAAUUUUAUUUGAUUUUUUCUGAAACUUUGAAAUAUGCCUUUUGAUUUUUCUUUUAAAUACCAAGCUUCGUGGAGCUCAGUCAUCGUUGGCAUUUUCAGCAGAUAAGAUAGCCUCUUAAAUAUCUGCCUCAUAUGAUCUUUAUACAUAUAUAUAAUCUUGGGCAUGACCGUAUACAUAUAUAUACAUGAACUUAUAUGAUCAAACACUUAAGGGCUGAGAACUAUUACAAUGAAAAAAGAGUGAGGAAGAGAGAGGAAAUCAGGCCAGAAAGAGUUUUAUUAGUUGAAUUGGUCGACCAUAUUGAGUACAAUACAUUAUAAUUCUUGUUUGAAUUACAUUAAGAUUUCAAGAAAAGAAAAUUCUAAUUUGCGAAGAUAUGGUUGAUGUAUUAAAAUGGAAUCGUAUAGAGAACAUUGAGACAAAUAUAUAGAGUAUGUCAUAAAUUUCAGAGAUAUUGUGUUUGAAAUGUAAGAAAAGUAUUUCUUUCACAACGGUACCAAUGCAUUACUAAUUACAACAAAAAUAUAUUAUUUAGCUUCAUGUGUGAAAGAGCAUGGUGCCCCCAUGGUUGGUUUUGAUAAUUGAUGACAAUCCAUAUGGACUAAUGGCUACCUUGAGUUAUAUGUGAAGGAUUUGUUCAUAGGCAUUGUUUGAAGACCAUUUGUUGGUUUCAAGAUUAUUUCAAGAACAUUAUUGCAAGCAUAUAUCUUGAAGAAAAAUAUUGUGUGAACAUUCAUGUUUACCAUCGAGAUAUCGUCUUUAUGAAGAGAGAAGAUAAGAUACUAGGUUAAUCAAGACUAAGUCAAAGAGUGAAUCAAGUUGAUCAACACACAAAGCAAAGAAGUCGUACUGAGUGGGAUCAAGUGAUCACAUGAUAUAGUAAGCAUUGUCCGGCUUUGUGUACUAACUCAUGGUCUAUGUGAGGGUUCUUUGUGGCGUUAGGUAUGUUUCCAUGGGCGUGCAACCAAAUGAAUAUAUCCUAUAACUCACUAAGGAUGGCAUCAAUUGCUGAUCGUCAUCAAGGUUACGGUGUGCAAGUUCAAGUGGAGCAUCACGAAGAUACCAUGCAUGAAGCUUGUUGUUCAUUCUUGUGAUGAUGGACAUGUGAAUAUGUGCAUGAAAGAGGCUCACCUAUAGUGGAGUAUGAAGGAGCAAUUUACAAGUCUUCAUCGAGCCAACGCAAUCAUGAAAGGUGGUCCAACUUGAGAAAGUCAAGAUUGUCAUCAUCUAGCUCAAGUGGACUAUGUCCAAGGUAAAGGUUUGUCAUUGAUAGGUUUUCUAUUUUACCGGCUUCGUGGUGUUAAUUGGGAGACCAAGUUACAAGAUCGAUUGCGGUACUAUCAAGGGGUGCUCUCGAGUGAGUAGCUUGAUCAUAUUGCUCGUAGAGAGCUCAAACCACUGCAUCCUUGGAAUCAUCUUUCUUGGUUCUUGUUUGGCUUUUAUCCAUGUGAGUUUUCGAGCUUAUGAUCUUUGCCAUGACAGGCUCUAGUUCACUAAAAAUGGAUUUCGUAUGCAUCAUAUUUGCAUUUUCGGUGUUGGAGAUUAUGUCGUUUCAUAUUUUGAAAGGUUCUCUUCCUUAUCCUAGUGGCAUUUAUCCUGUUGGAGAUUAUGUCGUUGUUGGAUAGUAUUCGUCAUCAUCUAUCCAACGAGGUUGAGUUUGCUGCUUUUGGAGCCCGUUUUCAAAAAGUUAUCACAGGUUCGGUCUUACUCGUUUCAUUUGUUUGCUUGGGCUAUUUUGUAGCACCCAAGAGGUAGUACCACUCUAUCCCAUGGUAGUACAGCUUAUGCGAUACUUCCGCCGCUACUGUUGCUUGGAUAAGUCCUCGAUGCAACUUUUUGUUGUGUAUUUUCUUUAAGUGGUAGUAGAGCAGUUGUAUUCCACUACCGCUCCUAUUUCCGCUUGGAUUCUAACUUAUGUAAGUCUCUGUUUUUAAGCAGCAGUAGAGCGGUACUACCGCUCACCCAAGCGGUAGUACCGCGUUACUGCCGCCGAGCAUAACUAUUGGAUCUUUUGUACCACUAUAAAAGGGGGUCUUGUUUUCCAAUGGACUUUAUCCUUUGAGCUCGUGUUUGCCCCCCCCCCCCAUUGUUGACCUUCUUUGAGCUUGUUAUCUCUCAAUCCCUCCAAUAAUUAUUACUCUUUCUUAAGGAAAAAAAGAGAGAGGAGAUCUAGAUCCACAUUUCCACUAAUCACUUUCUCCUCUAAGUGAGAGGAGCCCCUUGGAUUUAGAUCUUGGAGUUCUUUGUGUUUUCCUUGAUCUACCUCUCAUAUUCCUCCGUAGCUUUUGUUGUUGUGAUGGAAUUUGAGAGUGAAGGAUUUGACCACUUCGUGUGUUCUUGCCAUUGCAUUAGUUGCAUCUGUUUGAGUUCUCCAUGGUGAUACGUGGAAAUGAAAAGUUGAGAAGAUCAUUACUCUUGGGUGUUUGGCCACCCUACAGCUUGUGCCUCUCAGGUGCUUGGACGCCCUAGACGUUUGGUGGUGUCUUGGAGCUUAAUCAUCGUGGUGUAAAGCUCCUAGAAAGUGUCGGGGUCUCCAAUUAAGUUGUGAAGGUUGCCCCGAGAAAUUUUUACGGGUUUGGUGACCGCCCCUAAGGUCAUCCAUUUGUAUGGGAUCGGUGACCGCCCUCGAGGCUCCCUUAGUGGAGUCAAGACAUCUUGCACUAUGUGAGGGCCUGAGGAUAUUAUGGUGGCCCUAGUGGCAUCUUGAGGAGCAUUGUGCCUCCACACUACUCCAAGCGGAGAUAAUUUGUCGUUUUUCCCUAGGUAACACUUUUUGGACCAGAUAAUAUUAUAUGGAAGUAAUCCCAAGGAAUGGUAAUAAGAUCACGUAUUUUAUGUGAAAAUCAUUUACCAUAAGUGAAGGGAUCAAGUGGAACAAAGGAGUCGUUGCGCCGCCUCCAGAACAAAAGACGGCGUAUCAUGCAACCACGGCCGCUCGUAUGAGCAGUUGUAUGGAGUGCCAGUGCCGCCUCCUCGUCCAUUAUUUUCACCUCAUGGAAUCGGAUCAAGGAUCAGAUGCAAAUCAAAACUUGUCCACGAGGAGGAACCCUAGCCUCCGGAGCAUUCUGGGGGGAGGAAUUAGCAAGGAGGAUGCCACCAACUCCACCACCAUCACCGAGAAGGCUUCAACAUCAUCACCAAUGUAAUCGUCAUCAUCAUCCACGUCCAACUCAUUGUAAUCUCAGGAAUCAUGUUAGGGACAACUAUUCGGUUACAUGUGUGAUUAAUUCAUGAUCUCCAUCCGUGGUGUUAUGGUGUUCGUUGUUUCCAUGAGUGAGUAGCCCCCCCCCCNNNNNNNNNNNNNNNNNNNNNNNNNNNNNNNNNNNNNNNNNNNNNNGGUGAAACCUACUGUGUAAUAGAUUGUUUGAUAUUAAGAUUUAAUAUUCUCUUUGUAUGUUUGUGUUAAUGAUCUUCUUGAUGUUGGAUGAAGUCUAGCAUAAAUAUAUGUCAAGUUUGGGCGGAAGGUUAUUUAUGUUGGUGAACCGUGUGGUUGAGGGGGUGGGUGACGUGAUAGGCCCCAUCCCCUUCAUAGCGGAUCAUUGCAGCUGGGGGUAAAACAUAGACUACUUAUAUGUUGAGUCCACGGGUGUUAGAGCAUAUUUCUCCAUAUGUGGUUUUGGUAAUUGAUGAUAAUCCCUAUGGACUAAUGGUUGCCUUGAGUUAUAUUUGAAGGAUUUGUCCAUAGGCACUUCUUGAAGUCCAUCUGUUGGUUUCAAGGAGUUUAUAUGAUGACCAAGGUGGUAUUCAAGAUUUUAUCCAAAGAUUGGUCAUAAAGACACAAGGUUGAUCAAGACUAAGUCAAAGAGUGAAUCAAGUUGAUUAACACACAAAGUGUACAAGAUGUACCGAGAGGGAUCAAGUGAUCUCAUUGUAUGGUAAGCAUUGCCCAUUACGCUUUGUGUACUAACCCAUGGUCUACGUGAGAGUUAUAUGUGGGGUUAGGUAUAUUUCCAUGGGCUUGCGUCAAUAGAAGAUCUAAUAUGACCCAUGGAGGAUGACAUCAAGUGGUGAUUGUCAUCAAUAUUGCGGUGUGCAAUUUCAAGUGGAGGAUCAUGAGGAGAUCAAGAUUGAAGCUUGGUGGCAAUGGACUUGUGAAGAUGUGUUGAAGAAUGGCUCACCCAUACUGUGCUAUGGGGGAGCAAUCUACUAGUCUUAAUUGAGUCGGCACAAUCAAGAAAGGUGAUCCAUCUUGAGGAGGACAACAUCGACAUCAUCUAGCUCAAGUGGACUAUGCACAAGGCAAAGGUUUUCCCUUGAUAGGUUUUCUAUUUUUACCGGUCUCAUUGUGUUAGUUGGGAACCGGGUUAUAGGAUAGAUUAUCGUACUAUCAAGGGAGGCUCUCAAGUGAGUAUCUUGAUCGUAUCGUUCGUUGAGAGCUCAAACCAUUGCAUUCUUGACAACAUCAUCUUUCUUGGUUUUUGGUUGGCUUUUCUCUAUGUGGUUUCUUGAGCUUAUGGUCAUCUUCAUGACAAGCUUGAGUUCAUUGAAAACAGAGUUCAUCUCCAUCUUCCAUGAUGUUUUCGAUGUUGGAGUUUUUGUCGGUUCUUCAUUCAUAGAGGUUUCACAUCUCUAUAUCAUUAGUUGUUUGUAUAGUACUUGUCGUGUGUUAUUCAACGAGCUUGAGUUUUCUCAAUUCAGAGCUGAUAUGCGAAAGUUAUGGCAGUUCUCGUCUUACCCGUUUUCUUGCCAGCGGUUAUACCGCUUGUCCGAGCGGUUGCACCGCCUGGCCGUACUUCCGAUGCAACUACCGACCCAGGGGUGAUUCCGUCGGGUUGUUGCUCUCAAGUUAGUGUGAGCGGUUAUACCGCUGCCAACCCUGGAGAAUAGCUCUGGGCGGUUGUAUCGGCCCAGUACUGCCCUACAACUAGACAAGUCUCUAUUUUGAUGCGGUACUUGGGCGGUGGUGGCCCAGUUGUUCUGGUCAACAUUUUGAGCAGUUGUACUGCUCGGGACUUUGCCACCACCCGUGCUCGGUCCUCGCGGUUGUACCGGUUCUUAUAGUGUUUGUACCACUCCUAUGUUUUUCUACACAUAACGGGCAGAUUCGUGGGGACCUAUAAAAGGGGGUCUUCUUCCCCAUUGGUACCCAACUCUUGAGCUUGUGUUCUUCCCCCAUUGUUGACCUUCUUCGAGCUUGCUAACUCUCAAUCCCUCCAAUGAUUCUUGCUAGUUCUUGAGGGAAAAGAGAGAGGAUAUCUAGAUCCACAUUUCCACCGAUCACUUUCUCCUCUAUGUGAGGGGAACCCCUUGGAUCUUGAUCUUGGAGUUCUUUGUGAGCUCCUUGUUCUUCCUCUCAUAUUCCACCAUAGCUUUUGUUGUUGUGGAGGGAUUUGAGUGUGAGGAACUUGACCACUUCGUGUGUUCUUGCCAUUGCAUUAGUUUCAUCGGUUUGAGUUCUCCACGGUGAUACGUGGAAGUGAAGUUUGAUAAGCUUAUUACUCUUGGGUGCUUGGUACCUUGGAGCUUGUUCUUCUUGGGUGCCUUGGCGUCCUAGAAGCUUGGUGGUGACUCGGAGGUCAAUCAUUGUGGUGGAAAUUAUGCCUUAGUUGAAUCACGACAUCUUGCAUUGUGCGAGGGCGUGAGGAGAUUACGGUGGCCUUAGUGGCAUCUUGGGGAGCAUUGUGCCUCCACACCGCUCCAAACGGAGAUUAGCAUCUGCAAGGGUGUGAACUUCGGGAUACAUCAUCGUCUCCGUGUGCCUCGGUUAUCUCUUACCCGAGCCUUUUACUUAUGCACUUUACUUUGUGAUAGCCAUAUUGUUUCUUGUUGUAUAUCUUGCUAUCACUUAGUUGUUUAUCUUGCUUACGAUAAGUUGUUGGUGCACAUAGGUGAGCCUAGUUGUUUUAGGUUUUGUGCUUGACUAAUCAAACGUUAUUUUUAUUCCGCAUUUGUUCAAGACUAAACCGUAAUUAUUUAAAGUGUCUAUUCACACACCCACCCUCUAAGCAAUAUCCACAUCCUUUCAAUGGGAACCUCUCUCUCCUUAAUCAUCGUUUUAUAACCGGAGUGGGGAAGAAAAAUGGUGGCGUAUGUGAUAUGAGGCUGCCUAGAGUAUGCACGUAUUUGUACCGGCUCUGCCCACAAAUAUAAGUAUGCAAAGUGGCUUAGGAAUCUGACUUAGCAUUGUGUUUAUACACCACUAUAGAAGCACACUAGAGGGGAUUCCGGGCUCCUUGAGAACACUUUAGUCCUAUUUAUUUGAAAACUCUUUUUUUCAACCUUCACCGUUAGCUUUCAUUUCAAUACUUACUUUUAUGCUUGUUACAUCAUUCCUAUCAUAUAACUACUGCUUUGGGUUACUAACAACUUGUACGCAUAAUAUUUGAACCAUCCAAGAGACAAGAGAUUGAUUCAUGUGCUUUCUAUGGGAUCAAUGAUCUUACUUUAAAAAAUCUACAACUAAAACAUGUGCACUUGCAGGACAUCAUGUUCUUUUCCAAACUAUUAUGAGUUAACACACACAUGAUGUCACAUCAUAAUGACAUUGACAACAUGCACUACACUUGUUGUAUGUUUGUUUCUAUUGUAUGGUUGUUUAUGGUUGCUCUUUACUUAUGUUAGACUGUACGGAGAGCGAAAAGUAACUUGUUCAAGAUUGUGAGAUUGAAGAAUCAUCAAUACCAGACAAGAGGAACCUUUCAUCAUUAUGACCUAUAGUUUUACUUGCAUGUAUCAUUUCCCAAUUAGAAAUGCAUGACUAGGACCACACAUCAAGUUUCAUGAACCUAGUAGCAGAAACUUAGGUCCAUUUUUAACCUGGCCUUGUAAUGAAUCAGGUAGAUCUGCUUAGCUGCUAUUACGUAGAUUGGCAACAACAUUAAAAAGGUUACUUUAUGGUUGACUACUUAACAACAACUAAAUUGAUGAACCGAUCUGGGUGGAUUGGCAUUGAUUGGGUCAUUAGAGUGUAGUCAUUUGUGGGGAAUGGCACCCAGGUAUCAAAGGGAUUCUACGAGUUCAGAGUUGAGUAGAUUCCAUGUGUGACCGUGAGACAAUAUAGGAUCUAUAUUGACCAAUUAAGUUUUGGGAAUCCUCCGAGGUAUGAGAAACAUAUGUAGUUUUUCAUGUAGGGAAACUUGACUCGGUCUGCCAUUUGGGAGGGCUACUAUUUCCCAAAAGUCUUGUCUUGAUCUUCCUAGCCACUUCACGAGUGAAGUUUAGUAGCAGGAGGGUGUGAUUGGGAAUCACGGGUAAAGUACAAAAACCUCUUGAGAGUGUAUAAAACUGGUCAUGAUUAGUCAUGUUCCCGGUUACACGCAACUCUUGAGCAACUCAUCGGAGAAUUGUCAGCUUGAUCUCUUCACCUCUUCUUAAUUAAAUUUUGAUGGGUUUAACCAAUGGGGAGUAUGGACCCAACUCGGGUACCUAGGUGUGAACUAGGGGAUAUCUCGAGUUUGGUUUGGGGCAACUGUGCUGAUUCAGGAGCCCACAUACUCAAAUGCUAUAUGGACGAUCACGUGAUAUGAUUGUGCAGGACUACUAUGCUAUAUGGUAUGUCCAACUAUUAGAGUAGACCAUUUUGACAAAGGUAGGGGGAAAUGUUUUUGUGCAAAAAGGAAAAUCAGCCACACCAAAUUGCAUGUUAUAUUUCCAAGAAGCCAAUAUUGGUGAAGCUUGCCAAUACAUUCAAUGUAUUGACCCCUUGUGGAUUUAACAUAUCAUGUUGUAGGUUUACCGUAUCGAGGAAAAGGUAUGAAGUAGGGUUGUUAUGCUAUGUUCAACUCUUGCCCGUGAGUGGAUGGACACCACAAGACUAGGAUACCUCUGUUGCAUGGUUGUAUACUAAGCUAGCCCAUGAGCUAAACAGGUGUGUAUUGUAAAUCACUCGAUCUGUGAUAUAAUAGUAUGGCAUGUGAUGUAUUCUUGGUAUUUCAUCGUCGACUAUGCAUGUCAACUAUUGAUCCAGGGAGUGACACUAUAAGCGCAAAGAUUUGGACCCCUCUCGGGAUCGGGUCGUGAUAGAGCUGCUGAUGUGGCAUGCAAGCACUGCAUGUGCCACACAAACAUCACCAUACCUCGCGACGCGGACUGGAUGACAUACACAACCCGGCUGUGGUGGGGGAUGGGCGUGUGUUGGAGCCGCUGGACUGCACGGGGUGGCCACUAGUGAUAUGAAGCUAGUCGGUGAGCGUCCAUUAUGAUGAGGUAGAGGAGGAGAGGUUGUUUUCGUAUGGUCGCCCCGUCGAGAUCCAACCCCAGCACGCCAUCGUGGACCGGGUCCUGAUCGCUAGUCCUCACCAGGCGGAGCGGCUCCGUUCGAUGCGGAGGUGGACCGUGCUGAUCAGGGUUGGGGCGAUGGCGGACACAGUAGUCGGCGCAAGAGGGAGGUAGCGAGGAGGGGUGAUUGUGGCGGCACAAUGCCGGGCUUCUAGAAAAAGGCUAAUGAGGGGGCAGCGCCAGGUUGGGCUGCGAGGUGGCCGGGGGCGGGGCCUUUCUAGGUGCCUAAAAGCGCACCAUGGCCCGCCAGCAAGGGGAGGGAUGUUGCGUGUCGUGCAGUUCGGCAAGGGGAAGGGAUGCACGGGAGGAAGGUGGAGGGAGCUGGGGUGUGUUGGUUUGGGUGGGUUGGCUGGGCCUGGAGUGAGAAGAAGAUGUGGUGGUGGCCCAUGUGGGGGAUUUAUGGUUCGUGCGGGAGCUUUUAAGGCUGGUCGUAAUGGGGUAUCAUAUGUAGUAUCAUGCAUGCGAACUACUCCCUUCAUUUCUAAAUAUAUUUUUUUCUAAAGGUUCAACUACGUAUUACAUACGGAGCAAAAUAAAUGAACUUAUACUCUAAAAUAUGUCUAUAUACAUUCGUAUGUAGUCCUAGCGAAAUCUUUAAAAAGACAAAUAUUUAGGAACGGAGGGAGUAUGCAAUUUUGAUGAGGUGACAUAGAAUUAAAUAAAAAAAGAGAAGGUUGACUAUCAUAUCAUGAUACCGUAUCAUAUUAAAUGUUGUGGUAUUAUAUGUCAUGCAUGGCAAUAAAUGAACUAUCCUAUGAUACUAACAUAUGAUACUAUGCAUUAUGGAUGUAGUAUCAUAUGCAUGAUGAUAUUAGUAUAUGAUACUCUCUAUUACAACCACCCUAAGUUGUUUUUGUUUCAGUUUGGCUCGUAUAAAACUGUUAGCAGAAUAAGAUGGUGUUAGUAGAAUAAGACUCUUAAGGGUGUUAGUACACACACUACAAAUCUGAUGUAAAUGUGUAUUUAAUCUAUUUGAUUAGCACAAGAAUAUUUAUUUAAUGUGAACAUGGUCAUGUUGUUGACCAUGAACGAUAUGCAUCAUAUAGGCUUAUAUGUUUAAUAUGAUUCAUCGUGCUCAGCAUUUAGUAAUUGUAUCAAGAUUGUUUCUCGCUCUCCACUACUCCCUUUGUACCACAAUACUUAUUGUCGGAGAGAACUAGUCUAGUUCUCCUCAACAACAAGUAUUGUAUUUAGGAAUAGAGGGAGUAGUUGAUUUCUAUGCAUAGCUGAUACGUCUCCAACGUAUAUAUAAUUUUUUAUGGUUUCAUGCUAUUAUCUUGUCAAACUUUGGAUGUUUUGCAUGCAUUUUAUAUAUUUUUUGGGACUAAUUUAUUGACUCCGUGCCAAGUGCCAGUUCCUGUUUUUCCAUGUUUUUGACCCCUUUCAGAGGAGAUUUUGAAACGGAGUCCAAACGGAAGAAAAUCCCCGAAAACAUUUUUUUUCAUAAUAGAAGAAGAUCGGGAAGCUUGGGAGCCAAGGCAGGGGAGCCUCAGGGGCCCCACAAGCCCCCACCCCGCGGCCAGGGGGUAGGCCGCGGCCCACAGGCUUGUGGGCCCCCUGGGCGCCCUCUGCCUUAGGGGUUGCGCCUAUAUAUUCCCUAAAAAUCCAAAAAAAUCAGGAGAUCAUCGAAAUCACUUUUCCGCCGCCGCAAGCUUCUGUCUCCGCAAGAUCCCAUUUGAGGCACGUUCUGGUGCCCUGCCGGAGGGGGGAUUCGGACACGGAGGGCUUCUUCAUCAACACCAUGACCUCUCCGANNNNNNNNNNNNNNNNNNNNNNNNNNNNNNNNNNNNNNNNNNNNNNNNNNNNNNNNNNNNNNNNNNNNNNNNNNNNNNNNNNNNNNNNNNNNNNNNNNNNAUAGGCAUCACGUCCGAGACAAGUAGACCGAUACUUUCUGCAUCUACUACUAUUACUCCACACAUCGACCACUAUCCAGCAUGCAUCUAGUGUAUUGAGUUCAUGACGAACAGAGUAACGCCUUAAGCACGAUGACAUGAUGUAGAGGGAUAAUCUCAAACCAAUGAUGAAAACCCCAUCUUUUUACCCUUGAUGGCAACAACACGAUGCGUGCCUCGCUACCCCUUCUAUCACUGGGUGAGGUCACCGCACGGUAUGAACCCAAAACCAAGCACUUCUCCCAUUGCAAGAAUCAUAGAUCUAGUUGGCCAGACAAAACCCACAACUUGAAGAGAAUUACAAGGAUAUGACNAUCAUGCAUAAGAGAGAUCAGAAGAAACUCAAAUAAGAUUCAUAGAUAAUCUGAUCAUAAAUCCACAAUUCAUCGGAUCUCGACAAACACACCGCAAAAGAAGAUUACGUCAGAUAGAUCUCCAUGAAGAUCAUGGAUAACUUUGUAUUGAAGAUCCAAGAGAGAGAAGAAGCCAUCUAGUUACUAGCUAUGGACCCGUAGGUCUAUGNNNNNNNNNNNNNNNNNNNNNNNNNNNNNNNNNNNNNNNNNNNNNNNNNNNNNNNNNNNNNNNNNNNNNNNNNNNNNNNNNNNNNNNNNNNNNNNNNNNNAUAUGGGCAUCCAGGUCCCGCUAUUGGAUAUUGACCGAGGAGUCACUCGGGUCAUGUCUGCAUAGUUCUCAAACCCGCUGGGUCUGCACACUUAAGGUUUGACGUUGUUUUAUGCGUAUUUGAGUUAUAUGGUUGGUUACCGAAUGUUGUUCGGAGUCCCGGAUGAGACCACGGACGUCACGACGGUUUCCGAAAUGGUCCAGAAACGAAGAUUGAUAUAUAGGAUGACCUCAUUUGAUUACCGGAAGGUUUUCGGAGUUACCGGGAAUCUAACGGGAAUGACGAAUGGGUUCCGGGUGUUCACCGGGGGGGUAACCCACCCCGGGGAAGCCCAUAGGCCUUGGGGGUAGCGCACCAGCCCUUAGUGGGCUGGUGGGACAGCCCAAGAAGGCCCUAUGCGCCAUAGGAAGAAAAUCAAAGAGAAAAAAAAGAGGAGGUGGGAAAAAGGGGAAGGACUCCUCCUUCCAAACCUAGUUGGAUUCGGUUUGGAAGGGGAGGACUCCCCCCCUUGGCUCGGCCGACCCCCUUGGGGCUCCUUGAGCGCCAAGGCAAGGCCCCCCCCUCUCCCACCUAUAUAUACGGAGGUUUUAGGGCUGAUUUGCGACAACUUUGCCACGCCAGCCCGNNNNNNNNNNNNNNNNNNNNNNNNNNNNNNNNNNNNNNNNNNNNNNNNNNNNNNNNNNNNNNNNNNNNNNNNNNNNNNNNNNNNNNNNNNNNNNNNNNNNUGAUAUGAUCGGUAAAGGCCUUGUUUUGGCUAUAAGCGUGUGGAGAGUUUAACAUGGAUUACAUCAAAGAAAUGCAUUCAAUCCAGGAGCAACUAUCAUAAUUGAAUUCCUUGAAAUCCACGGUAGUAAUUUCAUUACUACUCAAAGUUUUAACAUCUUCUGCUCCACUUUCAAUGCUUUUAGCAUCAACAUAGAUGGACUCCGAAUCAUUGGGCACUUUUCAACCAAAGUGGAUUCAUAUCCAGCCCCAUAAUCAUUAGGUUUGACACAAGAAAACAAAGAUUCAAUGGGAGUCACACCAAGCACUUUAGGAUCUUCAUGAUUCUCAUCACGAGAACACGCCUUUUUAAGCCAUUCAUGUCUAGCANNNNNNNNNNNNNNNNNNNNNNNNNNNNNNNNNNNNNNNNNNNNNNNNNNNNNNNNNNNNNNNNNNNNNNNNNNNNNNNNNNNNNNNNNNNNNNNNNNNNNNNNNNNNNNNNNNNNNNNNNNNNNNNNNNNNNNNNNNNNNNNNNNNNNNNNNNNNNNNNNNNNNNNNNNNNNNNNNNNNNNNNNNNNNNNNNNNNNNNNNNNNNNNNNNNNNNNNNNNNNNNCUAUCAACGCUCUUAGCCAACUCAUUAAUUUUGAGUAGCUUUUCCUCUAUGGACGCAUUGAAAAUCUUUUGAGAGUUGAUGAACUCUUUGAUAUUACUCUCUAGAUCAGAGGGUAAUCUAUUGUAAUUUCCAUGAGUAUUGUUGUAGGAUUUGCCAAAUUAUUAGAGGAGUUACUAGCAAAAGGCCUAGGAACAUAGUUUCCUCUAAAAGCAUUGUUGUUGCCAAAGUUAUUCCUACCAACAAAAUUAACGUCCAAGCUAAUGUUGCUACUCUCAAUCAAAGAAGACAAGGGCAUAUCAUUAGGAUCCAAAGGAGCACUUCUACUAGCAACCAAAUUCANNNNNNNNNNAUCCAUCUUAGCACUCAACGAGUUAGUUUCUUCUAUAGCGUGUACCUUCUUACUAGUAGGUGACCGUUCAGUAUGCCACUGAGAGUAGUUCAUCAUGAUGUUGUCUAAGAGCUUUGUGGCUUCUCCUAACGUGAUUUCCAUGAACGUUCCACCUAAGGCGGAGUCCAAGAUAUUUCUAGAAGCAAAAUUCAAGCCAGCGUAAAAGAUUUGAAUAAUCAUCCAAAGACUCAAGCCAUGAGCGGGACAAUUUCUAAUCAUUAAUUUCAUUCUCUCCCAAGAUUGUGCAACAUGUUCAUGAUCAAGUUGCUUGAAACUCAUGAUAUCAUUAUGGAGAGAGAUAAUCUUAGCCGGCGGAAAAUACUUGGAUAUAUAGGCAUCUUUGCACUUAUCCCAAGAAUCGAUACUAUUUUUUGGCAAAGAAGAAAACCUAGUUUUUGCGCGAUCUCGCAAUGAGAAAGGAAAAAGCUUCAAUUUAAUCACGUCAUUAUCCACAUCUUUCUUCUUUUGCAUGUCGCAAAGUUCAAUGAAGGUAUUGAGAUGGGAUGCGGCAUCUUCACUAGGAAGGCCGGAGAAUUGCUCUUUCAUAACAAGAUUCAGCAAAGCGGCAUUGAUUUUGUAUGACUCCGCACUAGUGGAGGGAGCAAUCGGAGUACUAAUGAAAUCAUUAUUAUUAGUAUUCGAGAAGUCACAAAGUUUGGUGUUUUCAUUCAUGGUGACUUCGGCAAGCAAGCAAGCACACAAGGGAACAAAGAUCAAGUGAGAAAAAGGCGAACGAAAAGGCAGACGGAAAAAGGCAAACGAAAAAGGCAAAUUGGUGCAGUGGGGGAGAGGAAAACGAGAGGCAACUGGCAAACAAAGUAAAUCCCAGAGAUGAGUUUGCAACACUUACUUGGAUGAGUUCUUGACUUGAUCUUCUGCUACGGCAACGGCGCCAGAAAUUCUUCUUGCUACUUCUCUUGUUUGCUACGGCAACAAAAUUCCUUCCCAAGCAACGCCAGCAAUUCUUCUUGCUACUUCUCUUGUUUGUGUCGUUUUUUCCCUUGAAGAGGAAAGGGUGAUGCAGCACAGGAGCACUAAGUAUUUCCUCAGUUUGAGAAUCAAGGUAUCGAUCCACAAGGAGGGUCUCUUCAAGUCCAGAGUACCUGCACAAACACAAACGAGCUUGCACCCAACGCUUCAAUGGGUUGUCAAUGCCUCCAAGAUUGUUUGCAAAGUGAGAUGUGAAGGCGAAAAGUGCAACGAAGUAAAAAGUGUAAGACUGAAAAAUAUGGUGUGGAGUAGACCCGGGGGCCAUAGUGUUCACCAGAGGCUUCUCUCAAAAUAGCAAAUAUCACGGUGGGUGAACAAAUUAUNNNNNNNNNNCCGGGCCAUAGUGUUCACUAGAGGCUUCUCUCAAAAUAGCAAAUAUCACGGUGGGUGAACAAAUUAUUGUCGAGCAAUUGAUAGAACCGCGCAAAGUCAUGACGAUAUCUAAGGCAAUGAUCAUACAUAUAGGCAUCACGUCCGAGACAAGUAGACCGAUACUUUCUGCAUCUACUACUAUUACUCCACACAUCGACCGCUAUCCAUCAUGCAUGUAGUGUAUUGAGUUCAUGACGAACAGAGUAACGCCUUAAGCAAGAUGACAUGAUGUAGAGGGAUAAUCUCAAACCAAUGAUGAAAACCCCAUCUUUUUACCCUUGAUGGCAACAACACGAUGUAUGCCUCACUACCCCUUCUGUCACUGGGUGAGGUCACCGCAUGGUAUGAACCCAAAACCAAGCACUUCUCCCAUUGCAAGAAUCAUAGAUNNNNNNNNNNNNNNNNNNNNNNNNNNNNNNNNNNNNNNNNNNNNNNNNNNNNNNNNNNNNNNNNNNNNNNNNNNNNNNNNNNNNNNNNNNNNNNNNNNNNCGGUAUUUGCCAAGUAAUUAUUUUCGCACUCUUACUUUCUCAAACUUUUUAUAACUAUCACGCAAUACAUGAGCGUGAGCCAUGGAUAUAGCACUAUAAGUGGAAUAGAGUGUGGUGGUGGUUGUGAGACAAAAAGGAGGAGACGGUCACAUUGACUCGGCAUAUCAAAGGGCUAUGGAUAUGCCCAUUAAUAGAUACCAAUGUGAAUGAGUAGGGAUUGCCAUACAAGAGAUGCACUAGAGCUAUAAGUAUGUGAAAGCUCAAAAGGAAAACUAGUGGGUGUGCAUCCAACUUGCUUGCUCACGAAGACCUAGGGCAAUUUUGAGGAAGCCCAUCAUUGGAAUAUACAAGCCAAGUUAUAUAAUGAAGAUUCCCACUAGCAUAUGGUGGUGACGAAGCAAGAAGCUCUCAAUCGUGAACAACAUGGUGCUAUUAUGUAGCACAAGUGUGGAAAAAAGAUAGUAGCAUUGUCCCUUCUCUCUUUUUCUCUCUUUUCUCUUUUUUUUCAUUUGGGCUCUUAGGCCUCUUUUUUUUCUUUUUUCUUUUUUCUUUUUGGGCUCUUUGGCCUCUUUUUUUUCCUCACAUGGGACAAUGCUCUAAUAAUGAUGAUCAUCACACUUUUAUUUACUCACAGCUCAAAAUGAUGAUGACUCUAAAGGAAAUGCCUCCGACAGUAUACCGGGAUGUGCAACGAUCUAGCAUGCGUAUGACAUUGAAAACAUCUCGCUAGCUAUUUUACGAUCAUGCAAUGGCAAUAUGAGAGUGACGACACAAGUCAUGAGACGGAACGGUGGGAGUUGCAUGGCAAUAUAUCUCGGAAUGGCUAUGAAAAUNNNNNNNNNNNNNNNNNNNNNNNNNNNNNNNNNNNNNNNNNNNNNNNNNNNNNNNNNNNNNNNNNNNNNNNNNNNNNNNNNNNNNNNNNNNNNNNNNNNNAUCUAUACCAUGGACUCGCAUUAGUCAUGAAGAACUCACAUACUUGUUGCGAAAGUUUUUAUUAGUAAUCGAAACAAAGUGCUAAAUGCAUACUCCUAGGGGAAGGGUUGGUAGGUGUUAACCAUCGCUCGAUCCCGACCUCAACACAAAGGAUGACAAUCAAUAGAUCAAUUAUGCUCCGACUUCCUAACAUAGCGGUUCACCAUACGUGCAUGCUAUGGGAAUCACUAACUUCAACACAAGUAUCUCUAGAUUCACAACACCCUACUAACAUAGCUCUCAAUAUUACCGAAUCCACGUCUCAAAACUAAUUGAGAGGAAUCGAAACUUCUCUUUCUACUCAAUGCACAUGAAGAUCGAGGUUUUUGCAUCCUCUUUGGGUACCUAUCACAUUUGGGACUACUUUCAUAGCAUAAGCCAACUACCAAAUCACGCACCGCCGAGCUCUAAAGGAUAUAAGUGAAGCACUAAAGCAAAAGUAUCUAGCUCAAAAGAUAUAAGUGAAGCACUAUGAGCAUUCUAGCAAAAUCACGAUGAGUGCAUGUAUCUCUCUCUCUCAAAAAGGUGUGAAGCAAGGAUGAUUGUGACACAACAAAAAGAAAAGACUCCUACGAUACAAGAUGCUCCAAGCAAAACACAUAUCAUGUGGUGAAUAAAAAUAUAGCUCCAAGUAAUGUUACCGAUGGAUUGAAGACGAAAGAGGGGAUGCCUUCCCGGGCAGCCCCAAGCUUAGGCUUUUUGGUGUCCUUGAAUAUGGCUUGGGGUGCCUUGGGAAUCUCCAAGAUUGAGCUCUUUCCACUCCUUAUCUCUUUGCCAUGGGAACAUCACCCAAAACUUGAAAACUUCUUAACACAAAACUUAAACAGAAACUCGUGAUAACAUUAGCACAAGAAAACAAACUACCACUUCUUUUGGUACUGUAGAAAACUUGAAUUCCAUCUAUAUUGGUGUUGGGCUACUGUAUUCUCACUUUUCCAUGGCUAGUACCCCCCGAUACUAACCAUAGUUUCAUCAAAACAAGCAACCAACUCAACAAAAAACAGAAUCUGUCAAAAACAGCCCAGUGUGUAGCAAUCUGUAUACUUUGUAUACUUAUGGUACCUCCAAAAAUCUGAAAAAUUAUGAAUGACUAGGCAAAAGGCAUAUCAACCAGCAGAAAAAAGAAUCAACUAAAAAGAUCUUUCUGAAUAAAAAUGAAAAAUCAUCUCGUGAGUGAAAAGUUUUUGUCUUUUUCCAGCAGGAUCAAACAACCAUUACCAAGACUAGUCAUCAAGGUUUUGCUUGGCUCAAACACAAAAAGAAACACAAAAACCACAACCAGAACAGAAUUAUGAUGGUGUGGAUGCAACAAAACAGAAAUAAAAAGAUAAAUUCAUUGGGUUGCCUUCCAUCAAGCGCUAUUGUUUAACGCCCUUAGCUAGGCAUAAAAGCGAUAGAAUCACGUAUCGUCGUCUUUGNNNNNNNNNNNNNNNNNNNNNNNNNNNNNNNNNNNNNNNNNNNNNNNNNNNNNNNNNNNNNNNNNNNNNNNNNNNNNNNNNNNNNNNNNNNNNNNNNNNNNNNNNNNNNNNNNNNNNNNNNNNNNNNNNNNNNNNNNNNNNNNNNNNNNNNNNNNNNNNNNNNNNNNNNNNNNNNNNNNNNNNNNNNNNNNNNNNNNNNNNNNNNNNNNNNNNNNNNNNNNNNNNNNACACCGAUAGUCCUUAGGAAAGGUCUACCAAAAAUAAUAGGGCAUGCAGGAUUGCAGUCUAUGUCAAGCACAAUGAAAUCCACGGGUACAUAGUUCCUAUUUGCAAUAAUAAGAACAUCAUUGAUCCUUCCCAUGGGUUUCUUGACGGUAGAAUCCGUAAGAUGCAAAUUAAGAGAACACUCUUCAACCUCAUUAAAACCCAGAACAUCACAUAAAGACUUUGGAAUCGCAGAAACAUUAGCACCCAAAUCACACAAAGCAUUGCAUUCAUAGUUUUUGAUUUUGAUUUUGAUGGUAGGUUCCCACUCAUCAUGANNNNNNNNNNNNNNNNNNNNNNNNNNNNNNNNNNNNNNNNNNNNNNNNNNNNNNNNNNNNNNNNNNNNNNNNNNNNNNNNNNNNNNNNNNNNNNNNNNNNACUAAUAAAAACUUUCGCAACAAGUAUGUGAGUUCUUCAUGACUAAUGUGAGUCCAUGGUAUAGAUGCACUUGUUUGAAUUAUGCCCUAGAGGCAAUAACAAAUAUAGUUAUUAUUAUAAUUCUUGUAUCAAGAUAAUCGUUUAUUAUCCAUGCUAUAAUUGUAUUGAAUGAAGACUUAUAUACAUGUGUGGAUACAUAGACAAAACACUGUCCCUAGCAAGCCUCUAGUUGGCUAGCCAGUUGAUCAAAGAUAGUCAGGGUCUUCUGAUUAUGAACAAGGUGUUGUUGCUUGAUAACUGGAUCACGUCAUUAGGAGAAUCACGGAUGGACUAGACCCAAACUAAUAGACGUAGCAUGUUGAUCGUGUCAUUUUGUUGCUACUGUUUUCUGCGUGUCAAGUAUUUGUUCCAAUGACCAUGAGAUCAUAUAACUCACUGACACCGGAGGAAUGCUUUGUGUGUAUCAAACGUCGCAACUUAACUAGGUGACUAUAAAGAUGCUCUAUUGGUAUCUCCGAAGGUGUUCGUUGAGNNNNNNNNNNAACUAUGACCAUGAGAUCAUAUAACUCACUGACACCGUAGGAAUGCUUUGUGUGUAUCAAACGUCGCAACGUAACUGGGUGACUAUAAAGAUGCUCUAUUGGUAUCUCCGAAGGUGUUCGUUGAGUUAGUAUGGAUCGAGACUGGGAUUUGUCACUCCGUGUGACGGAGAGGUAUCUCGGGGCCCANNNNNNNNNNCGGUAAUACAACAUCACACACAAGCCUUGCAAGCAAUGUAACUUAGUGUAAGUUACGGGAUCUUGUAUUACGGAACGAGUAAAGAGACUUGCCGGUAAACGAGAUUGAAAUAGGUAUGCGGAUACUGACGAUCGAAUCUCGGGCAAGUAACAUACCGAAGGACGAAGGGAAUGACAUACGGGAUUAUAUGAAUCCUUGGCACUGAGGUUCAAACGUAAGAUCUUCGUAGAAUAUGUGGGAUCCAAUAUGGGCAUCCAGGUCCCGCUAUUGGAUAUUGACCGAGGAGUCACUCGGGUCAUGUCUGCAUAGUUCUCAAACCCGCUGGGUCUGCACACUUAAGGUUUGACGUUGUUUUAUGCGUAUUUGAGUUAUAUGGUUGGUUACCGAAUGUUGUUCGGAGCCCCGGAUGAGAUCACGGACGUCACGAGGGUUUCCGGAAUGGUCCAGAAACGAAGAUUGAUAUAUAGGAUGACCUCAUUUGAUUACCGGAAGGUUUUCGGAGUUACCGGGAAUGUACCGGGAAUGACGAAUGGGUUCCGGGUGUUCACCGGGGGGGAAACCCACCCCGGGGAAGCCCAUAGGCCUUGGGGGUAGCGCACCAGCCCUUAGUGGGCUGGUGGGACAGCCCAAGAAGGCCCUAUGCGCCAUAGGAAGAAAAUCAAAGAGAAAAAGAAAAAAAAAAGGAGGUGGGAAAAAGGGGAAGGACUCCUCCUUCCAAACCUAGUUGGANNNNNNNNNNNNNNNNNNNNNNNNNNNNNNNNNNNNNNNNNNNNNNNNNNNNNNNNNNNNNNNNNNNNNNNNNNNNNNNNNNNNNNNNNNNNNNNNNNNNGGCGCGGCCGUAGGGGGAGGGAUCGCUGAAGCUAGGGGAUGCGAUGGUCGCGGUCGUGGCCGGAGUGGAGGGAGAGAGGAAGGGAAGGGAGGAGCCCCGGGGCUCACCACCAUUGUAGGGGUGCCAGGGGCUCGAGGUCGAGGUGAGGAGGCCACAUCUAGUGGCGGAGGAGCUCUGGCGUGGGGGCCGGUGGCGGAGGGGGCCGAUCCAGUGGUGGAGAGCGACGGGCUUGAUGCGGGGCUGGCGUGGGAGUCCCUCGCGGUGACAGGGAGAGGCGGUGUGGGGCCGGCGCGGGGCUGGCCCUGGCAGCGGCGAGUGAGGCGGUGUGGGGCCGACGCGGGGCUGGCCCUCAUGGCGGCGGGGGUUAGCGAGGGGUGGGGGACGAGGGCGAGCGAGGGAGAGGGUGCUCGGCAAAGUUAUCAGAAUCGCGACUGAAGUCCUAGAAUCUUACGAUCCAAACUAGCCCCUCUCAUUCUACAAUUUUGGUCAUAAAAUCGAAGUUUCUACAAUCCUGAUAGUUAUGAUUCUACAAUUCACGAUCCUAGCAACGGAGCUCCGAUCCGAUUCAGAAUCGUGAUUCUGACAACUUUGGCGCUCGGUCCCUCGCGUGGUCAUGGCGCUGGUGGGUGAGGGAGUGGGGCGCUCGGGGUGUGGGUUAGAUUUAGGUGGGGGUUAAAUACCCGAGGGGUGGGGUGGGCUUGUGGCUAGUUGGGAUGGCUCGGGGCCGGCCCAAUGUUUUUUUUGUUUUUUAUUUCUUUUCAAUUUCUAUUUUAGUUUCCGUUUAAACUUUGAUUUAUAAAAUAUAUAACUAGUCCCUAAUUUAGUUUUAAUAAUUAUGUCUCGGCCACAAAAAGUUUUAACCCCAACUAAAACUAGUCUAGUAUUUCAUAAAAUAUAAAAGGCACUUAUUUAUUUGUUUUUCUGUUGUUUUAAAUAUUAUAGUGCAUUCAAACAGUUUAUAAAAAUGUGGUUUUUUCACCAAAAUUAAUCAUGAUUUAUUUGCUACAACGUGAACAUUUUAGUUUUGACAUUUGAAAACUUUUAUUGUUUGACUUUAUUUUAAAUUUGAAUUGGAAUCGGUUUUGAACUAACGCGAGAUUAACAACAGUAAUCAUGGUGACGUGGCAUCAUUAGCAUAGGAUUACUAUAGCCUAAUUACAGAGAUCACUGUAGAAAAAACUGAGGAUGUCACAAAGCUACGGCAACAAAAGUCCUUCCCAAGCAACGCCAGGAAUUCUUCUUGCUACUUCUCUUGUUUGCGUCCGUUUUUCCCUUGAAGAGGAAAGGGUGAUGCAGCACACGAGCAGUAAGUAUUUCCCUCAGUUUGAGAACCAAGGCAUCGAUCCAGAAGGAGGGUAUCGUCAAGUCCAGAGUACCUGCCCAAACACAAACGAGCUUGCACCCAACGCUUCAAAGGGGUUAUCAAUGCCUCCAAGAUUGUUUGCAAAGUGAGAUCUGAAGGCGGAAAGUGCAACGAAGUAAAAAGUGUAAGGCUGAAAAUAUGGUGUGGAGUAGACCCGGGGGCCAUAGUGUUCACUAGAGGAUUCUCUCAAAAUUGCAAAUAUCACGGUGGGUGAACAAAUUACUGUCGAGCAAUUGAUAGAACCGCGCAAAGUCAUGACGAUAUCUAUGGCAAUGAUCAUACAUAUAGGCAUCACGUCCGAGACAAGUAGACCGAUACUUUCUGCAUCUACUACUAUUACUCCACACAUCGACCGCUAUCCAGCAUGCAUCUAGUGUAUUGAGUUCAUGAUGAACAGAGUAAUGCCUUAGGCAAGAUGACAUGAUGUAGAGGGAUACUCUCAAACCAAUGAUGAAAACCCCAUCUUUUUACCCUUGAUGGCAACAAAAUGAUGCGUGCCUCGCUACCCCUUCUGUCACUAGGUGAGGUCACCGCACGGUAUGAACCCAAAACCAAGCACUUCUCCCAUNNNNNNNNNNNNNNNNNNNNNNNNNNNNNNNNNNNNNNNNNNNNNNNNNNNNNNNNNNNNNNNNNNNNNNNNNNNNNNNNNNNNNNNNNNNNNNNNNNNNUAGGGUUCUCCCCUGUCGCCGUCGUCUGCCCUCCAGCCACCGGCACAGCUCGCCGAGAGCCCCGUCCCCCGUCCAUCUCCCCCUCCCCUACCCUCCCCUCCCGCGACCUGCGCCACCCCCGCGGUGGUCGGGCCGCGCCCCAACCUCUUGGCUCCUCGCCCCGCCCCUUCCCUCCCUCCUCCCGCCGUCGUCGGUGCGUCGCGUCGGCCCUUGGUCGGGUGGCCCCAAUGGUGGCGGGCCUCCGGCCUUUACCCUCCUAGCUCGGUUGGCACGGGGCCUGGCAGUGCGGCUCGACGGCAGUGGCCCGGCGCGGCGGUAGGGAUCCCCCUGGUGCGGCGUGGAUGGUAUCGAUGGCGGUGGUGCUGGCGUUGGUGGCUGGGCGGCAGUGGCAGUGCUCGAGCCCUACAGGCCCAGAUCUGGGCCCCUCGGGCCCGAUCUGGGUCAGGUCAGGCCUGCCUCGUUGCCUCCGGUUGGUCUGCGGCACGACUCGCAACGGGGAUGACAGCGUUGACGUCGCACUGUUGCAGCGUGACGAUGGGAGCUUCUCGAGCUUGUCCAUGUCCGGCUGAGCUUUUGGGCUGCAUGAUGGUAGCGGCGGUGGCGGCCUGCGUGCAGCAGCACGAUGGCGGGGACUUUACGAGCCCCUGGACUUGGUCAGCACUCGGUCGGGCCUAUCUGGCCUGGUAUGUCCUGGCUGUUGUGUUUGGUAGGCACCCCCCGAUGGCGGUGGAGGACGUCCUCCGGGUGGCUGCGCUGUUGUAGCCCUCCGGUUCCAAUGGUUCGGCGUGCACUCUCGUCGUGUCCGGACGGUGAUAGCCUUGGACGGUGGAGGUGGUCCCCUCCUACGUGGUUGUCCUCCUGUCGGGUCUUGUCUUCGGGUGGUUCGCCUCAGACUGACCGGCCUUGCUACGUUGGCCAUGGUGAGACGACGAUGGUGAUUGCAAGACCGUGGUGGCGUUUGUUGGUGGUUGGCAUGCUUGGUGGAGCGUCUCUGAUUGUCCGGGAGGUGGUGGUUUGGUGGUCGGGAGAAAUCCUUGUCUUUUGACACCAAUACGGUGAUGCUUGAGAGUGUCACCCUUCCUUCCUAAAGGGUGUCGGGUGUUCCUCCUCCCCACGCCCCGGAGCGUACCGGGGGAAACCCUAGGACCUGUUCGGAGAGCAGUGUCGUCGUCGUCAUUAUCCUUCUUGGAGGUGAUGUUUGGUACGCGAUGGAUCAAGGUGCUUGGAUAGUGGUGGGAAUAUUUCAGAGGAGACGCAGCGAUUGCGGUCAUUAUUGUUUUCGUUAAGCCGUAGGUGUUGGCAUUGUUUUCUCUUUCUUUUCUUUUGAACGUGGAUGUGUUGUUUGCCCCAUCAGUGGUUUCAUGUUGUAUCAUGUGGUUGCUAUAUAUAUAUAUAACGGGGCGAAAGCCUAUUUUGAGAUCAAUGUUAUAUUGUUCCUCAUUUUGGUGUUUGCACGGAUUUCACCUCCAAAUCAUAGUGCCAGCCAAACAUGAAAUUUGGCUGUGGAAUCUGGAUUCAGCCAAAUGAUACCCUUAUCAGAAUUUCAUUUCAUUUCUAACAAAUGAAAUAAAUCAAGGGACGCAAACAAGCUGCAAUUGUUCUGCUGGGCUCAGAAUAUGCGUGGAUGUAUUGGGACCACCUGUCUCAUUGAACAUUGAUUCUUGAACGGCACCAGUCACACUGAACUUUGUAAUCACUGAUGGAAUUCUAACAGCAAUCAGUUCAUGGCAGCGCUCCAUUCUGCGGAGUAGUAUGGCUCAAUUACUAUAUAUCAUUUUCUUCAGAAAGCCAACCAACAGGGGCUCGUCACAGUUCACGAAUUUAAGAAUGUUUCAGUCAUAAGUGCACAAUGUUGUUACUGACAUGUCACGUGUUAGGUUAACUCCUCUCUCCCAGUCUAAAGAUCAGUGCCUAUCAAGGAUGAGCACAUCGACAAACGACAAGCUACAUGGAGGAAUCAAUCCAUAGCAGAUAUCCUCCUCUACAAAGGGGCAGAAGCUAAACACAAGACAAAAUUUCAUUGAAAUAAGCUGGUGAAACUUAAAAUGGCAAGGUCCAACAGAAAGUAAAAAGAUCAGAGUUAUGUUGGAAUUUCAACAAGCCCAGUCCAUAUGUUAUGGAAUUCACACAAGUUUGGAUGAUGAAAUUCCAGAGGGACAAAGAAGUAUUAUUGAAUGCUCUGGUAAAGGAACUUGGACUUCCAUCGUUAUCUAGUAUCCCCAGUAAUCGUUACGCAUCUCAUCAUCAAACUUCUUCUUGAGUUCAGGGUGCUUCGCAAAGUACUCGUCUGCUGUCAUUGUGCUGAUCUUUUUCUGCAUGUGUAAACAAAGAUGUUAGGAUGAAUGUAAAACCAACUGGCACCAAAUUUGUCAAAGAUCCACCUCACCUUCAUCUCCUUCAUUUCAGCAAUCUCCUUCUCUAUCCUCUCUGAUUCCUUCAGAGAUGUCUUCUCUGCCUCCUUCAAUUCGACUAACUAUGAAUUUUCAAAAGAAAGUUCAUAAGUAUCUGAAUGGAAGAGCCAUCAAUGGCAGGCAUCUAUGCGAAAAACAGGAAAGUGAAGCAUAUUUACAACAGUGAACCCUCACCAGAGCAUCAAACUUUGGCUUAUACUGAGGAGUGACAGUGUCAACAUACUUCGGGAUCUCAAUGCCUGCAUUAGUUCCAUUGAUUGGUGUAUCAGUGAGAGGUUAAACAGAUUGAAUGAGCAUAGACUCACAACUUCACAAGACUAACAGCUGUACUGGAAGGCAGCAGAAACCAGAUGCUAAAUUAUUUGGUGUGCAUUAGCCAAAAUCCAUAGCAGGGUUGAAAUUCCUAACACUAUGAUACAACAUAUUGCUAGGGGCGCCUGCUUAAGAAGGGAAACGAAACCUAAAACAUGAUGUAUUAGAAUGCAUACAUGAAGUUAUAUCACAACUAGAAUAUUGUAAAGGGAGCAUCUUAAACUAUAAGCACGUUACAGGUGGUAUCCUAAUUCUUAAUCUUCGGAAGACACAUCAUCCACAAGUUUAGAAUCCAGUAUUAAAUCAAAACCAUCUUGUUUACAAAUUUAUAGCACAGUGGUUUCCUGGAAAUGCAAAUAGAUGGAGAAUACGAAAUACACAUACUAUCAUAAGCCUCCUUGUACAUAUCCACAACUUUUGAUCCGAUUCCUUUUCUGUAGUAUUCCCAGUCAAUUGGCUGUGGUUCCUGCAGUAGCAAUACAUAUAGAUCUCUCAGAUCAGUCGAUAUGCCAGAAAUGGCCAUGCAUGCUUCAUAGGUAGCCAUAAGACUAGCAUACACAAGUUAAAUUCAAAGCUAACAACAAAUAGGGUUAAAGUUUACAAGCAUAUAACAUAUGCCAAAGAAGGCUACUUAGUCCAUCCUACAUGCCUGUAUUGAGACAGAACCACACCUUUUCCAGUCAGUAAUGUUGGGGUGUGCAGUGACUUGUGAAUACGUUGUUCUACACGGAGUAAAAUGUAAAAUGUACUGCCAAAGAUAAAGAGGAACAAUAGGGAGAGACACAGGAUAUACGACGCAUCCAGAAAUUUCCCCAAAUGUUCUUGCUCAUGUCUCAACCUCCUCUCAAAUCCUGCAUCAGAUCCCUAAAUCGUUCACUAGUUUGACAACUAAACCAACUGGGCAGGUAAAUCCUAAAAGCGAAUCGAUAUUUGAUUGCCCCCUAUUCAUGGAUCUGCGAAUCCCAGGCGCAACCGCGUUGACUAGCGAAAGUUAACGAUUCCCCUGAUCUGAUCUGACCGAGGACCAAACCCUAGCUACAUUGGCCAGAUCGAUUAGCCGAGCGCGAGACAGGGACUGGACCCCGGCGAUUGGAAUAAUACCUGGGAGAACUUGGUCUGGAGCUGGUGGUUGACGUCCUCGAAGGUGCGGCGGAGGUUGGCGAACUCCUUCCGGGCCUCCUCGGAGACGAGCAUCUUCGCCAUGCCGUCCCAGUCGAUCGCCUUCCCGGCCUUGGCCGCAACGUCCGCCACC